rnacentral:lncRNA from 1 species
GUGGUUUCUCUCCCUUGGGAGGUUUACCAAUUGGGGUUGGUGGCUUGUGUUCUGGGAGUGGUUUCUCUCCCUUGGGAGGUUUAGUGGGUGACUUGUGUUCUGGAGGUGGCUUCUCCACCGAAGGCUUGUGCUCCGGUGGUGGCUUUUUGGUUGGAGGGGGCUUGGGGUAAUCAGCAAGAGAUGGGGUGGUGAGAACCACCAGUCCAAGGAACAACACUAGCAAGUAUGUGGGAGACAUUUUUGAGUUUGGGCUGAUCAGAUGAUGCAAAACUAAAGCAUUACGUGACCUUUUAUAGCAAGUAGCUCCCAAUACCUACUUGACACGUGUUACUGUGACCCAUAAAUAUUAUGGGGUCUAUUUGUGCCCUACCGGGUUGAAAACUUGGACAAUUGGGCAAGGACCCGCCUGACUAUGGAGGACUACUGAGGUGUGAUCACAGCUUUAGGAUUUUUCUUCCUCUGCAGCCGUCUUGCCGUUGGCAUGAUUUUCUUAAUCUCAAAUAAAGGCAUAGUUAUAGAGUUGUUUAAUCUCUAAAUGGGAUUUUAUAUAUCUUCAGAUAGCCAUUAAUACAUUUGAUGAAGAAAGAAAGACAAGUGCAUACAACAUGUAUACGACUAGCUUUCAUGGAGUUCAUUUAUGAUCAGUUUUCCUGUACAUGUAAACCAAGAUCAUAUAUGUUUUUGUUCCACAACAAUUUUGGAAUCUUGUUUAUCCGUUUUUAUCAUUAUAAUGUCACAUAGGCUGCCAACUUGGGCGCUAAAUUAAAGAUCCAGUUGGGCAAGUUCGUUUCAGAAUUUCAAUGGUGGAUUCAGGAAUUGUUUUAUAAGAUAUGCAAAAUAGUAGAGGGAUGAAUAGUGUUUCAUUAAGAAAAGAGCCCUGUAAAAAUAUUGUUUAAAGGUGCCAUAGAAACUAUAAUCAAUAAAUAACUUUUUUUCCCCAUGGGUGGUGUUUCUUGUGGGGAUCAGUGACUGGUUUGAGUCAACGCCGUGUCUCUUUAGUCCAGAAAUCAACUAUUUUAUGCAUUGAAUACAUCAACAAAGAAAAUAUGAAAGCCAAAUGACACCUCCCCCGCAAAAACUAAACCCUGGUUGCUAACUUUCUAUGUUUCAGUUCCAUUCACACAAGAAUAUUAGUUCAAGUUUGAGAAAAAUGGCGACUUACCUAGUGAUAACUCGGUCUUGGUUUGCGAUUUGACUUUAACGUCAUGGGUUGAAGCCUCCUACAAUCAUCGUGUAUGCUAGUUCAAAGCUCGUGGAAGAAGUUAUACAGGGAGGGAGAAACCUCCACAGCAAGCUCCAAAAGAGAAUUAUCACAUUGAAAGCUCCAGUUGAACACUGGGUGAAAGCCAUAACAAGAUUGGUUUUCUAUCGCUCUUUUAAGUAAUGGAAGAUUAUUAUCUCUGCUUGUCACUACAACCGUGCAUGCUGCUAGAUCUUUCUAGACACUUCAAACAGUGAAACCAAGUAUGAUUCUUUUUCUCUUGAGUGGGUCCACUUGCAUGCCAAUGAACGAGUUGAAAAGUUGGACAAUUGGCCACAGCGCGCACUUACCUUCUGGAACCGAAGGUCAGUGAAGUGGGGUUCCUUUUGGCCCCUUGUGUUUCUGUUCCAACCUACUCCAGGAACCGAAGUUCAGUGAAGUGGGGCUACUUUUGGCCUCUUGUGUUUCUGUUCCAACCAAACAAAAAUGGGAGGGAAAAAUAGCAUUAUGCUUGUGCUAAAGAUCAACGCAUGAUAGCUGAAUAAGGGAGAAAAAGGCAUUGCUAUCUCAAUUUCAUAAACUUGAUAAGUAGUGACAUUAAUAGUCUUCCUCAUAGAUGGAUACAUGGUUUUAUUUUAUUUAUUUAUUUUUAUUUUUUUGUUUUAUGUCAAUGCUAAUGAAUGAAGUGCAUUAGCUUGUUUUGUGACUAGAACUACAAAUGUCCAAAUUGGAGCUUCUCCAAUAUAUUUCUCAGUGAGUUAUUGAUUAGAACUCUUGGAUUGAGUUCCAAGAUUUGAAUCAGACCCCUCUAGCAGCUUCAGGGGUACGUAGCAACCUAUAGCAUAUUAAUGAAGACUUAGGAUUUAGACUUAGGAAUACAAAUUAAUAUGUACCUCAUGCUCUGACUAGCUUCCCUGCGUAUGCACAAAAUGGAGAUGACUCCCAAAAAAAUAGCAGAAUCGCCUUAGUAUGUUUUUGUGGUUAAGAUGAUUCUCCACUUUAUAUAUCCACAUUGGUUCAUUAUGCAAAUUAAUCAACUAAGCUAUUUUUAUUUUUUCUUAAAUGUGAAAUAGGAGCUCCAAAUUAACCUAACCAUUGGCCUGAUUGAAUUGAUUUCACUUGCAUAAUGUUAUAGUAGAAGUCCGUAAUUUGAAUUUUAUUUUUGCAAAAGGUAACGUAAAUGAAGCAUUGUAAUUAAAUUUAUUUGUAAUUACAAACUAAUUUUAUUUUAUUAAGAAUUAAUUUAAUUACUCAUUUAAAAUAAAAAUCAGUUAUACUUUUACCAAGAUGAUAAUAUUCAUAUUUUUCUAGUUAACAUAUAUAAAAUAGUACACUUUUUCAUAUAAAAAAAUAAUUUAUGAUUUAUUAUAAUGUUACUAUUCACAUUUUACUAAAUUGAUGGUACAUGAUAGUGAGAGAAGGGGGUGUCACACUCAGCUAAAGUUCUUUUCAAAAUAUUGCAUGGUGUUUAAUUUUAUGUGUCGGCGCGCGUGUGAAUGGAACCUGCAAAAGUCCAAAUUGGCGUUUCUCCAUUUUCCACAUAGGAUGGUGACGUUAAUAGACAAAGAUACAAUAUCUGUAGACAUUGCUUAAAAAUCGAUGUGAAGUAUUAGAAAUUACAGGGCACUGUACUGGGGGAGCGGCUGCCCCGCCAAAGGAGGAAGAAUGUAGCAAUUUCUUCUGUUAGCCAGGCCUUAGGAUUUAUGCAUGGGAUGCCUAAUAACAAACAGAGAAAAUAUACUUUUGGGGAAGGUAUCCAACAACAGACACCAUCAUUCAGAUGGUGGGAAGGUAUCCAACAGAUGCCAUCAUUCAGAUGGUAACAUAUAUAUACAUUUAUUAGUGAGUUUUUUUAAUACCUAUAAAAAAAAAUAUACACUUUGAUAUUGUGGCUGAAUCCAUUACAUACUCAACUAACCUUGCUCAUUAGGGAUUUGACUUAACAAGGGCAACGUUGCAGUACAAGCUCAAAACUUUAUGCAGGUGACAUUACAUUUGGUAAAGAAGAGGAAAAUAACGAAAGCCAUCCAUAAAAGCAAAAUUCCACAUGGGAUGAAAUUCACAAGCUUCAUUUACGAUAGAGUCGCAUCCAGGCAAUUAAUUCCACAUUAGACCGCCUGUUGACAUGUGUACCAAUCUUUUUUCAAAAAAUAUUUAUAAAUAAUUGAUACUCACAAAAAUAAUUUAAUAUUUAUAAAGGAUAAAAAAAUAUUUUCAAAUCUAUAACAAUUUAUAAAAUAUUAAUAAAAAAUUAUCUCUUAAACUUAGUAUAGUUUUAUCAGAUUAAACUUUUAUUUUGAACAAAUAAUUUUAAUCUAAGUUUUAAAUUCUAAAAUUAUUUCCUUAAAAUAAAAUUUUAAAAUUCAACACUUCAAUUGAAAUUGUCUUUUUAAAAAAUAUCUUCUUAUUUUAAUCCUUAUAAACUAUAGUUGAUUGAAAAUACUAUUGAAGUUCUCUCUUAAAAAAAAGUCUUAUUUUAAUCUUCAUAAAUUGCCCUUGAUUUGAAAAUAAAUUUUCAGUUAUCAUAUUUUAAAUAAUAUCUAUAUUUAAAAUACUCUAUUUAAAAAAAAAUGAACUAAUUUUAAUUAUAUUAUAUUUUAUUUUUUUAUAUAUUUUUAAUGAUAAACCAAACAUAGAAAAUCAUUUUUCUAAAUAUUUUAAAAUUUCUAAGCAACCAAACAUAAUCUUCAAAAUAAAAGGAAAAUAAGGAGGGACAUUUGAGAAAUGGCGAUUAAAAAAAAGUGUACAAAAGCUCAAUUAAUUUUCUUCUAGUCUUUUAUAUAAAAAAGUAAAGGAAUUGAAAAGUAUUGAUAUGUAAAUUAAUAUUUGGAUUUUAAUAGUAUUUUAUUUGUCUUUCUCUAUCUCAUGUAAAAGAGAAUUUAAGAUAUUUCCUAAAGCAAAGCAUUAGUUAUCUGCAAUCAGUGGUGAUCAUGCCCCAUGUCAAUUUCGGACCCAUAUCUUAAAACUGUAUAAUUUGCAUUCAAACAUUACUGAUUUCUCAGAUGUUUCAUACUCCACAGAAGAGCAUUGUUUGUGAAAGCAUGCAUUUAUGUUGGAUUUUGGAUGAUGUGGGAACUGGGGCAAGGAUCAUAUGGAAGAGUGGUCGAUUUUGUUCUGUACUUUAACAUUUGAAAUAGGAGAAGCUCGGGCAUUUGUGGGGCUUAAUUGAUUUUGAAGCCUGAAAUUGCGUUUCUGUCAUUUUGUAAAAAAUAUGGCAGAUUCCAUGCUCUCAUAUGUUUGGUCUGUGGCCAUGUAUAGAUGCCCCUUAGUGACCAGUUUGUAACUGUCAAUCAUAGUGUUUUGACUCUGGCUCAACAACAUCAGCCAUUGACGGAUUUUCAUACUUGCAAAUCAAAUAGUCUUCUUCCUCCCUUAGGAAUUUCGGUUUAAAUGUUAUUAAGCAUACAUUUGGCUGACAAUUAUUAACCACUUCAUGAUAUGGUUUCUUACCCUUAAUCAAUGGUUUCUAAGUGAAUAUAUGCAGAAGGAAAUCUGAACUGUAGACAGCAGUAUUGAUAACUCUCAAUAUUCUUUAUAUAAGAGAAUAAACAACGUCAUAGUGAUCGUCGCCUACAAGAAAGGUACAUUUCCCAACAAGAUGUAGUUGUGACUGGUACAUGGACGCAAUUAACUCGUACAAAAGAAUAAGACCAGUGCACGGCAGCUCUUAUUUUACAUGCUAAUUAUGCUAACCAAAGUCACUCAGUUGGGAUGGGAGGGAGAUGGAGGUUUGUGCGGUGGCUUGUGGGGCGGAGUUGGUGGCUUCUUUUCAGGAGCUUGUGGCUUUUUCGGAGCUGAAGGAGGCUCAAUCUUAUGAGGCGGCUUGUACGAGUCUUCUUUACUCUCGACAGGAGGGUGGCCAGGGUUGUGACCAUAAUGUGGUGGCUUCUCUCCCUUAGGUGGCUUGCCAACUGGGGUUGGUGGCUUGUGUUCAGGAAGUGGUUUCUCUCCCUUGGGAGGUUUACCAAUUGGGGUUGGUGGCUUGUGUUCUGGGAGUGGUUUCUCUCCCUUGGGAGGUUUAGUGGGUGACUUGUGUUCUGGAGGUGGCUUCUCCACCGGAGGCUUGUGCUCCGGUGGUGGCUUCUCCACCGGAGGCUUGUGCUCCGGUGGUGGCUUCUUGAUUGGAGGGGGCUUGGGGUAAUCAGCAAGAGAUGGGAUGGUGAGAACCACCACUCCAAGGAACAACACUAGCAAGUAUGUGGGAGACAUUUCUGAGUUUGAGCUGAUCAGAUGAUGCAAAACUAGAAGAAUUACGGGACCUUUUAUAGCAAGUAUCUCCCAAUACCCACAUGACACGUGUUACUAUGACCAUAAAUAUUAUAGGGUCCAUUUGUGCCCUACCGGGUUGAAAACUUGGACGCUUGGCCGAGGACACACCUGACUAUGGAGGACUAUUGACGUGUGAUCACAGCUUUUGGAUUUUUCUUCCUGUGCAGCUGUCUAGCGGUUGGCAUUAUUUUCUUAAUCUUAAAUAAAGGCAUAGUUAUAGAGUUGUUUAAUCUCUAAAUGGGAUUUUAUAUAUCUUCAGAUAGCCAUUAAUAUAUUUGAUGAAGAAAGACAAGUGCAUACAACAUGUAUACGGCUUGCUUCAAUCGAGUACAUUUAUGAUCAGUUUUCCUGUGCAAGUAAACCAGUUUUUUGUUCCACAACUAUUUUGGAAUCUUGUUUAUCAGUUUCUAUCAUUAUAAUGUCACAUAGGCUGCAAACUUGGGCACCCAAAGAUCUAGGUGGGCAAAUUUGUUUCAGACUUUCAAUGGUGGAUUCAGUAAUUGUUAAAAGGUGUUUCUUCAUUAAGGAAAGAGUCCGGUAAAAAUAUUGUUAAAAGGUGUCAUAGAAACUAUAAUAAAUAAAUAACUUCUUUUCCCCAUGGGUGGUGUUUCUUCUGGGGAUCAGUGACUGGUUAGGGUCACCCAAAAUGAGUCCAGAUUAAAAUUGGUUCGAGUCAAAGCAGUCUCUUUUGUCCAGAAAUCAACUAUUUUGCGCAUUGAAUGAAUCGAUAAAGAAAAAAUGAAAGCCAAAUCACACCUCCCCUGCAAAACCUAAACCCCGGUUGCUAACUUUCUAUGUUUCAGUCCUAUUCAUAUAGGAAUAUUGGUUCAAGUUUGAGAAAAAUGGCAACUUACCUAGGGUUUACUUGGUUUUGGUUUGCGACUAUUUACGCAACCAACCAUGAGUUUGACUUUAACGUCAUGGGUUGAAGCCUCCUACAAUCAUGUAUGAUAGUUCAAAGCUCGUGGAAGAAAUUAUACAGGAAGGAAGAAACCUCCAAAGCUAGCUCCAAAAGAGAAUUAUCACAUCGAUAGCUCCAGAGAUUCCCAAGGGAACUGAAUCAAAGACAAGUUCCUCACUUUUUCUUCUUUUGAGGCCAAAUAUGAACCAAGGAUCACACGACCUCAUUCAACUUCAUAAGUUUGAUUUCAUGCAGUUGAACACUGGGUGAAGGCCAUGACAAGAAUUGAUUAAAAAAUUCUACCACUCUUUUAAGUAAUGGAAGAUUAUUAUCUCUGAUUGGCACCACAACAGCACAUGCUGCUAGAUCUUUCUAGACACUCCAUGCAAUGAAAGCACAAUGGAUCUUGUAAUGAUAGAAACUAAGCCAUGCUACAGUACUAGAUGAGGGGGUAAAACUAGUAGACAUCUUUCUAGACACUCCAUGCAAUGAAAGCACAAUGGAUCUUGUAAUGAUAGAAACUAAGCCAUGCUACAGUACUAGAUGAGGUGGUAAAACUAGUAGACAUGGCUGGCAGUUGAUUACUACUCAAAAAGUACUCUUUUAUAGCUUGAAACUAACUGUUUUAAACACUUUUGAGUAGUAGUUAAUACCUUUUAACUUAAUUGGCACAUUAAGGAACCUAGCAAGGGUUACUAAUCAACAUUUGGCAAGUUUUGAUGUUUUUGGUAGCUAUUUGAUCAUUGAAACAAGCCAAGAAUGAGGGGGAAUUUUGUGAAGUCCAUGGCAAUGCAAGUUAAAGCUCAAAUACAUGAAGAAUCCAAGCUUUGGAGCACUUCAUAGCCCUUUGCCAAGCCAAUCAAAGAUGCAAGGAAGAAAACCAAAGGAAGAAAUCCAACAAUCAGCAUUUUGGCAUGGCUAUGUGAAAUUUCGCACACCAUGCGAAACCACAAGAGGCAGCCAAAGAAUUUCGCAUGGUAUGCGAAAUCUUCUUGUGCACUGACUCUGUUAGAUUUUUAUCUUCAGAUAUUUUGUGUAAUUUCCUAGUUUCUCCUUGUAACCAACUUAGAUAUUUUCUUUUAUAUCUUUUUUUAUAUUUUUUAGGUAACAUCAUAUAUAAGAGGAGAGACAUAAGGAGGAUAUGGAUGUUUUUCAUAGAACACUUGUAAAUUUUUGGUAGUAAGAAAUAUACAAAGCUUUUUGCUCUGCCUUACCUUCUCAAGGGAUGAGUGGCUAGGUUUUCUUGGAGUGAGGGAAGCUAGGUGAAGGACCUGAAUGCAAAGGUGGGAGUUUUCCUUACUUUAAAUGAAAGUAGUUGUUAAACAUUAAUGGUUUUUAUUUUAAGGUUUAGCUUUAAAUCCCUGAAAAACACCUUGAAUGGCCAAUACUUGGUAAGCUUUUUAGAUUCUAUGGAUGCUUAUUGCUAGAUCCAUGGAUGUCUAUUAGUUAUCAUUUACGAGCCAUUGGAAGGUGAUUCAAGGUGAGGGUCUUUAGUGUUUGAAGCCAUUAAUGGGAAGCAAUUACCAUUUUUUCAUGAAUCCUUUGGAUCAAAUCUUAAUUGCUAAAUAUAAAACCGGUUUCGAGAGAUAACCACCAUCCUUUAUGUUAUUAUCCCCAACGCGAGGAGAAGAUCCGAAAUCUUCCUUUUUAUCUAAGGAACCCGAUCCUAGUGACCUAAAGCUCCAAGAUACCUUUUCUUUGUAGUUAACUUCAUUUAUUGUUUUUGCUUAACUUAAAAUCAAUCUUUGCAACCACAAUUCCAUUUUCUUUAAAAGCUAAUUUUUAUAAGGAAAAACACCAUUUUAUUUCCUUCACUAAGUCAACUGUACGAUGAAAACCCAUCCCUGUGGACGAUCCUAGAGCCACUAUACUAUGUUAGCUAUGCUACCCUAGUGUGAGGUGAUUUAGGUUUUAUAAAUUUUUUUGAUAACACCCAUCUGAGCCAGAAUCAAAUGGCACGACUGAACCAGGGACGAAUCAAAUGACGCCGCUACCAAGGAUGGUGCCAAAGUACAUUGACAUGACUUUUGGUGAACACUUGUGAUCUUCACCACAAGUUUGGUGAUUUUUCUUUUACUAAUUUUUUUUAUUUUAGCUUAUCUUUUAUUUAGUUUUUAGUUAACCUUAAAUUUUUCCUAGAAUUGUAUUUCUUUUGUUUUCUUUGUUUUUGUUUCAGUGAUCUUUAGUUGUGCAUGCCCUAUUGGAUAAGAGAUAUUGAGGGAAUACUUGUGAAGAUUGAAACUCCUCGAGAAACUGAGUUAGAAGUGUGCUUGAACAUCAUGGAUGUUCCACCUGAAGACCAGAAUAGCCAACAUGGUUAAGAGGAUAAUUUCAACACAUACCGAUCCAUGAGGAACCGCAUACAUCCACCUUGUAUGAGUGCACCGUCAGGCAUAAUGCCUCCCACUGAGCAGCUAGUAAUCUGACCUCACAUUGUGCCACUCCUACCUACUUUCCAUGGGAUGGAGAGUGAGAAUCCCUACUCGCAUAUUAAGGAAUUCGAGGAGGUUUGUAAUACAUUCCAAGAAGGAGGAGCUUCAAUUGACUUGAUGAGGCUCAAGCUAUUUCCUUUCACUUUGAAGGAUAAGGCCAAGAUUUGGCUUAAUUCUUUAAGGCCAAGAAGUAUCCAAACUUGGAUUGAUUUGUAAGCCGAGUUUCUUAAGAAGUUCUUCCCUACCCAUAGGACCAAUGGUUUGAAAAGGCAAAAUUUGAACUUCUCAGUUAAAGAGAAUGAGAAAUUCUAUGAGUGUUGGGAGAGCUACAUGGAAGCUAUUAACGUUUGUCCUCACCAUGGCUUUGACACAUGGCUCUUAGUGAGCUAUUUUUACAAUGGUAUGUCUUCUUCAAUGAAGCAACUCCUAGAAACUAUGUGUGGAGGAGACUUCAUGAGUAAGAAUCCGGAGGAAGCCAUGGACUUUUUGAGUUAUGUGGCUGAAGUUUCAAGAGGAUGGGAUGAACCAAAUGCUAGAGAGGUGGGAAGAAUGAAGUCUCAACCUAAUGCUAAGGGUGAGAUGUAUGUUUUGAAUGAAGACAUUGACAUGAAAGCAAAGGUUGCAGCUAUGGCAAGGAGAUUGGAAGAGCUAGAAAUGAAGAACAUACAAAAAGUGCAAGCCAUUUCUGAGACAUCAAUGAAAGCUAUGCCUUGUUCCAUUUGUCAAUCUUAUAAGCACCUAGUGGAGGAGUGUCCUACAAUUCCAGCAGUGAGAGAGAUGUUUGGUGAUCAAGCAAAUGUUAUUGAUCAAUUCAAGCCUAAUAACAAUGCUUCAUAUGGCAACACCUACAAUUCAAAUUGGAGGAACCAUUCAAAUUUCUCUUGGAAACGAAAGCCACCUCAAUACACACAACCUACUCAAGCACCUUAGCAAUCCUCGAAUCUUGAACAAGCUAUUGUGAACCUUAGCAAGGUUGUGGGAGACUUUGUGGGAGAUCAGAAGUCCAUCAAUGCUCAACUGAAUCGGAGAAUUGACAGUGUGGAGAGUACAUUGAACAAAAGGAUGGAUGAGAUGUAAAAUGAUCUGUCUCAAAAGAUAGACAAUGUCCAAUACGUAAUCUCAAGGCUUACCAACCUCAACACAGUGUAAGAGAAAGGAAAGUUUCCUUCUCAACCUCAUCAAAAUCCUAAGGGUAUCCAUGAAGUAGAGGCUCAAGAGGGAGAAUCUUCAAAGGUGAGGGAAGUCAAAGUAGUUAUCACCUUGAAGAGUGGUAAAGAGGUUGAUCAACCCACAUCCAAGCCAAAGCAUAAUGAAGAGAGUGUAGCAGAAAAAGAAAAGAGAGGAAAAUAAAGGAAUUAGAAUAGAGAAAAAUACAAAGAAAGAUGACCAUGAGUCUAGUGUGGAUGAAGAGCCCGAGAGGAUGGUGAUCAAGGAAGAUAUGAUGAAGAAACACAUGCCUCCACCUUUCCCCUAAGCUUUGCAUGACAAAAAAAGAACCAAUAAUACAUCAGAAAAUUUUGAAGUAUUGAGGCAAGUGAAGGUCAAUAUCCCUUUGCUAGACAUGAUCAAACAAGUGUCGACAUAUGAAAAAUUCUUGAAGGACUUGUGCACUGUAAAGAGAGGGUUGAAUGUGAACAAGAAAGCUUUAUUGACCGAGCAAGUGAGUUCCAUCAUACAGUGCAAGUCCUAGUGAAGUACAAAGAUCCGGGUUGCCGUACCAUCUCAGUGAGUAUUGGAAGGACUUGUGUGGAGAAAGCUUUGUUGGACUUGGGAGCAAGUGUGAAUUUGCUAUCCUACUCUGUCUAUAAGCAGUUGGGAUUUGGAGAGUUGAAGCCAAUAUCCAUCACUCUAUCUCUAGCGGAUAGAUCAAUGAAGAUUCCAAGAGGGAUGAUCGAAGAUGUCCUGGUUCAAGUUAACAAAUUCUACUAUCCAGUAGAUUUUGUUGUUCUUGAUAUGGAUCCGGUUGUCAAAUGAACUAAUUAUGUUCCUAUCAUACUUGGAAGACCCUUCCUAGCUACAUCAAAUGCAAUCAUCAAUUGUAGGAAUGGAGUCAUGCAACUCACAUUUGUCAACAUGACAUUAGAGCUCAACAUCUUCCAUUUGUACAAGAAGCAUAUCCAUCAGGAGGAAAAAGAAGGUCUAGAGGAAGUGUGAAUGAUUGACACUUUAGUGGAAGAGCAUUGUGAUCGAGAAUGCAAAAAGAUUUAGUUGAGAAUUUUGGGGAUCUUGAUGAAAGGUUACUUGAACCCUCAGAUUUGCUUGCUACCCUACUCCAUUGGAAGAGAAGAGAAGAAAUUCUACCCUUAUUCAAUGAGGAGGAGACGCAAAGAGCUGCAAAGGAGAAACCCCCAAAACUUAUUCUUAAGCCACUACCCACAGAGUUGAAGUAUGUAUACUUGGAAGAAGACAAGAAGUGCCCUAUUGUUAUAUCUUCAACUCUUACCAUUCAUCAGGAGGAUUGUCUACUUGAAGUCCUUAGAAGAUGUAAGAAGACAAUAAGGUGGCUAAUUUCUUAUUUGAAAGGGAUCAGCCCUUUAGUCUGCACCCAUCAUAUUUACAUGGAGGAUGAAGCUAAGCUAAUUCAUCAACCUCAGAGAAGGUUGAACCCUCACAUGCAAGAGGUGGUUCGAGCUGAAGUUCUGAAGCUACUUCAGACCAGUAUUAUUUACCCCAUAUCAAAUAGCCCAUGGGUGAGUCCUACUCAAGUUGCGCCAAAGAAGUCUGGGAUCAUGGUGGUGCAAAAUGAUAAGGGAGAAGAUGUCUCUACACGCCUCACUACAGGUUGGAGGGUGUGUAUCAAUUACAGGAGGUUGAAUGCAGUGAUAAGAAAGGACCAUUUCUCAUUGCCCUUUAUUGAUCAGGUGCUUGAGAGGGUCUCUGGGCUUUUUUUUUUAUUGUUUCUUGGAUGGCUACUCCGGGUACUUUCAGAUAGAAAUUGAUGUUGAAAACCAAGAUAAGACCAUUUUCACAUGCCCAUUUGGAACCUAUGCAUAAAGGAGAAUGCCUUUCGGCUUAUGCAAUGCACCCGCAACUUUCCAAAGAUGCAUGUUAAGCAUUUUCAGUGAUAUGGUGGAGCGUAUUAUGGAAGUCUUUAUGGAUGAUAUCACCAUUUAUGGAAGUGCAUUUGAUGAAUGCUUGGUCAACUUAGAAGCUGUUCUGAACCGAUACAUUGAGAAAGACUUAGUGCUUAACUGGGAGAAGUGCCAUUUCAUGGUACACCAAGGGAUUGUCCUUGGGCACAUUAUCUCCAAGCAAGGCAUUGAAGUUGACAAAGCAAAGGUUGAACUCAUUGUUAAGUUGCCAUCCUCAACAAAUGUCAAAGGAGUAAGGCAAUUCUUUGGCCAUGUCGGGUUCUAUAGGAGGUUUAUCAAGGAUUUCUCUAAGCUUGCAAGGCCUCUUUGUGAAAUAUUGGUGAAUGAUGUUAAAUUCAUAUGGGAUGAUGGAUUUGAAAGGAGUUUUGAAGAAUUGAAGCUAUUUUUGACAACCGUACCAAUAGUGAGGGCUCCCAACUGGCAACUGCCCUUUGAAGUAAUGUGUGAUGUCAAUGAUUUUGCUAUAGGAUUUUUUCUUGGGCAAAGAGAAAAUGGAAAACCUUAUGUGAUCUACUAUGCGAGGAAGGCAUUGAAUGAGGCACAAAGAAACUACACAACCACCGAGAAAGAAUUGUUAGCUGUAGUUUUUGCCUUGGAUAAGUUUCGCGCUUACUUGGUGGGGUCCUUCAUCAUGGUUUUUACUGAUCACUUUGCUUUGAAGUAUCUGUUGACUAAGCAAGAUGCUAAAGCAAGGCUGAUUAGAUGGAUUCUCUUACUUCAAGAGUUCAAUCUCCAUAUCAAAGAUAAGAAAGGAGUGGAGAAUGUGGUAGCAGACCACAUUUCAAGGCUAGCUAUCGCACAUAAUUCCCAUGCUUUGCCCAUUAAUGACGAUUUUCUAGAGGGGUCUCUCAUGUUGGUGGAAGUUGUCCCUUGGUACGCUCACAUUGCUAACUACCUGGUCACGGGAAAAGUUCCAAGUGAGUGGAAAGCACAAGAUAAGAAGCACUUCUUUGCAAAAAUUCAUGCCUACUAUUGGGAAGAGCCAUUUCUAUUCAAGUAUUGUAUGGAUCAGAUAAUAAGGAAGUGCGUUCCUGAAGAAGAGCAACAGGGGAUCCUUAGUCAUUACCAUGAAAAUGCAUGUGGAGGCCACUUUGCUUAUCAAAAGACAGCCAUGAGGGUGUUGCAAUCGGGUUUCUGUUGGCCAUCACUUUUCAAAGAUGCCCACACCAUGUGCAAGAGUUGUGAUCGAUGCCAGAGGCUUGGGAAGUUGACACGCAGGAACAUGAUGCCUUUGAACCCCACUUUAAUAGUUGAUAUUUUUUAUGUUUGGGGCACUAACUUCAUGGGACCUUUCCCUAUGUCUUUUGGCUACUCUUACAUCUUGGUAGGAGUAGAUUAUGUUUCUAAGUGGGUUGAGGCAGUCCCAUGCAAACACAAUGACCAUAGAGUGGUUCUCAAGUUUCUUAAAGAGAAUAUCUUCUCAAGAUUUGGGGUGCCCAAAGCCAUAAUUAGUGAUGGGGGUACUCAUUUUUGCAACAAGCCUUUUGAAACUCUCCUAGCCAAGUAUGGGGUGAAGCAUAAGGUAGCUACACCUUACCACCCUCAAACUCAUGGACAAGUUGAGUUAGCAAACAGGGAGAUUAAAAACAUAUUGAUGAAGGUGGUGAACACAAACAGAAAAGAUUGGUCAGUCAAGCUUCUUAAUUCACUAUGGGCAUAUAGAACAACUUACAAGACCAUUCUCGGGAUGUCUCCUUAUCGCCUAGUUUAUGGCAAAGCAUGCCAUCUCCCUGUGGAAUUGGAAUACAAAGCUUGGUGGGCAAUCAAGAAGCUCAACAUGGAUUUGAGCAGAGCUGGGUUGAAGAGGUUCUUAGACCUUAAUGAGAUGGAGAAAUUGAGAAAUGAUGCCUACAUCAAUUCAAAAAUUGCAAAAGAAAAAUUGAAGAGGUGGCAUGAUCAGUUGAUUUCCCGCAAGGAUUUUCAAAAUGGACAAAGAGUCUUACUUUAUGACUCUAAACUCCACAUCUUUCCGGGCAAGCUGAAAUCAAGGUGGAUAGGUCAUUUUACCAUUCACCAAGUGCAUUCAAAUGGAGUAGUGGAACUACUCAACUCCAACAAUAUCGAGAACUUCAAAGUGAAUGGCCACCGUCUCAAGCCCUUUGUGGAGUCUUUUUCUCACAACAAGGAGAAAUUCAUCCUCCUUGAUCCACAUCAAGCUUAACAAGACCAAUUUUCUUGAUGGACUUAGUCUUUCUAAAGACUAUCGAGUCCAUAACUUUUUGUUUUAUUUUUUAUUUGAGAUUUUUUCGGUAUUGUUACUUGUUUUGUUUUUUAUUUUUCGUUUUAAUUUUAUUUGGUUUGAUUUAACUUAGGUUUUUGAUGAUCAAUUACAGGGGGGAUUUCAAAUAGAGGAAAAACCAAGAUAAUUCGCACACCCUACGAAAAUUUCGCAAGGCAUGCGAAAUUUAUGGCUUAUUUUGCAUGGGGUGAAAAUUUUCGUACAUCUUACGAACCAAUUUCGAACACUUUGCGAAAAUAAACCAACCCUGCGAAAUCAUUUCGAUUACUCUACGAAAUUUUCGUAGAGCAUGCGAAAAAUUUAGCACACCAAACACCAUUUCGCAUACUAUGCAAAAACCUAAGGGGUCUGCGAAACCAUUUCGCACCUCCAAAUCCAUUUCGCACAUUGUGCGAAAACCAAGAGGCGCUGUGCGAAAAUGAAAAGUCGCCCUGUCAUCCCUUUUUAAACCCCUCGAGCCCUAAAAUCUCCAUUUCGCAAGCACCCCUGUCCUUGCGAAUCCCUCAUUUUCCUCUACUACCUUGCAACCUCGUCCCUUUCCAUUUGAUAUUGUGCCCCGCGCACAUCUCAUUUCAGAGACUCGCACUCCGCGCCCCCUCAAAGCAUGGACUCGAGACCCACCUUCCAUUUCCGACGUGGCACGGACCCAAGGAGCCCUUUCUGCCCCUUCACUAAGACACACACCAAGGCAGAAAGCCUCCUUUGCUCAAGUGCCUAGUGAUUCUCCAUCUUAGGCCUCAGAGGCCUCGGAGGCCCCGUGGAUUCCACCUUCCGAGGGUAGAGCAGCCAUUGGUCCUUCCUCUUCUACUCCUUAGCGUAGAUACGAGACGAGGAGACCACCUACUACACAAGGGGCGACUACUUCGAGCCUUGAGAAUUCAGUACGAUGCCUUCCUGCCAAGAGGGUCAAGACUUCAGGUCCAAGUGAGUCAUCCAGAGCUUCAUAGCCUAAGCCUCCUGUAGAUUCCAAGGUUCCUACUGACAUAUCACCGGAGUCUAUUAUCAGAAGCCCGAUGCUCAUAGCACCGCCCAUUGAGGGCAACUCAGAUUAUAGAGCGAGAUCUUUCCACUUGGAGCUAUAUUUUGAUCAGGAGGCCAUACGACAGCAGCCUGAGCUCCGAGACUCUUAUGGCUUACUGCAGAGGUACCAUCUUGAGGAACUUAUGACUCCUCGUGAGUUUUUUUAUCCCAGAGUAGCACUAAACUUUUACCAGUCCAUGACUACUCGUGGCGUCCCGAGUCCUACCACGAUUCACUUCACCAUUGAUAGACGUCAUGGUAUCCUCAAGGCCAGACAUAUUACAGAGGCUCUACAAAUUCCUUUCGAGCUAGAGGAUCCAUCUGUUUUUCGCUAAUGGUCCCCAGUAUCUCAGAGGGACAUGGUCCGUAUUUUAUCUAGGGGAACAUCUACAGAUUCGAUCUUUCUACGGAAGGAGCUUCGACCUGGGAUGCUCCUCUUAGAUGUGGUGCUAUGCUCCAACCUCUUUCCCUUACAACAUUCGGUACAUAGGUGAUGAGCUAUUUUGGACGCUUUAUUCCGUAUAUCAGAGGGCUUCUACUUUGGCCCGCACCACUUGAUCAUGGUCUCCCUCAUCCACUUUGAGGAGAAGGUUCAUAGGAAGAAGCUUCAGAGGGUGGACACCAUUCCAUUACUAUUCCUGAGGUUACUUUGCCAGGUCUUGGAGUACAUGGGCUUUCCUACUGAGCCUCGGCUCGAGCUUUGCCGCCUUUGUCGAGAGUGAUCCACUCUCGACAAAUGGAAUUAGUUGGCGGGCUAUUCUGCACCUCCAGGAGCCCCUCCCAUGGUAGCACCUCCAAUGUCCCCACAGGCAAAGUAGGGCGAGCUCCCGGCAAAGACUGUACCACCAAUGCCCACACUUGAGGCUAUUUCUGCUGCUCUGCCUAUGACUCCUACUGUUCCACCAGUUGGUCCUUUUACAUCCGAGCCUUCCAUCACCAUCUCGGCUUCGGAGUUUCGCGCCCUUGUGCAUACCUUUCAGACACUCACCACCACACAUACUCCUCUCUUCUAGCAAAUGGUUGAGAUGUGUGCCCAUCAGGACCGGAAGACUACUAUACUCUGCCAAAUUCAGCAGCACCUAAGACUUUUGCCUCAACCUCAACCUAACCAUCCCAUAUCAUCAGAGCCUCUAGCUCCAACUGAGGAUACUAUUCCACCUGAGAACACUACCACAGUAGAGGUCCGGUUUCCACCACCUUAAGAGGCCACCACAGCUACAUCAGAGGAUGUGUCAUCUCCACUUGAGGCUCCCACUACUUGAUCAUAGGACAUAUCUUUAUCUUAUUGUAUUUACAUAUUAUAUUACUAGAGAUUUGUCCUUGUUUUGAUACUUUAUAUUCUGGGAUUGGAUGUAUUGCCUGAUGAUAUCUCAAUUGUACUUUCUCAUAUUAAUAUAUAGACAUCAAUUUUUUUUAGUAUACUUAGCAUUUUUCUAUUUCCUCUACUCAUUACUCUUUUGUUUUUUUUUACUCAUGUGGUUUCUCUUAUACAACUCAGACUCCAUUUCACUCAGGAGGUACCACUUCCUCCCUUUAUUUUCAAUUGCUCUUGAAAUAUUGAGUGCAAUGUUGAUCUUGGUUGGGGGGAGAGUUGAGGAAGGAAGUUUUGUUAAUAAUGCUAGGUUAAUUUGUUAAUUUAGUUACUUUCUGCUUAAUUUUAAAAGUUUUCACUCUACUUUCCAUGGUUAUUAAGGAAAAAUUCUCAAAAUGAAAUGGGAGAAAUCGAAUUCUUGCAUUUUUACUUGAAUCUUAGAAUUUGUAUCAUGCUUAUUAAAGUUGAUGAAUUAUUGAAACUCCUAUUGAAUUCAACCUUAUUUUUUCCACUUUAAUCUUACCACACACGGUGCACAUUAGGUUCCAGUUAUAAGAUAAAAAACUAUCUCACCCCCUAAACUUAGAAAAAUUUACACUUGGUACCUUUGACAUCGUUUUAAUAGUGUUGGGACACCUUAUAAAAGGCCAAUGAGCCUUUAAAAAAAAAAAAAAAAAAAAAAAGAGAAAGAACAAAGUAUUGCACUUGCCUUGAAACCUGAGCAAGAUCCGAGGGGUAUACAGUGAAAGUCUUUAAAACCUGGUGCCCUAAGCCUUGAUUGGUUGGGAGUCACCGACCUCAAUGCUCGUUAUAAGGGUGAAUAGGUGGAGUUUAACAUAUUGUAGGUGCUUGGGUAUUGAAUUUCAAUCUCAAAAGUCCGGGAAAAAAUCUAAGGAGUUAGUGGUCAAAAGAUCCUUAAAGCUUGAUGCCCUAAACCUUGAUUGGUUGAGAGUCAUUGAUGGAUCCCCGCUACAUGGACAUUUUAGAAAACAAUACCUUUAGCAUUGCACGCCUACAAUGAAAAAAAAAUGUGAAAUAAAAGAGGUGCGUUCUUAGCCUAUUGGAGGUUGGUCAGUUUGCUAAAGUUUGAGAAAUCUAGGUUGGGGGGAGAGAAUAGUCCGACAUACUAUAAUAAAAAACUAAUAACCUUAACACUUAGAUUUUUGUGGAAGAGUAAGGAUUGGACCUUUAGGGGUGGAAAUUCUUUUGAUGCUUAAAUUUGCAUAAUGCCUACUCUUUAUAAAUUAUGAUUAGGCAAGAGAUUUGAUGACUCUUGUUCAAAGUUGGGUUUUUCCUCUUUGAUGUUCCAUGAGAGAGUAUAAUCCUCAUCAUGCCACUUGAAAUCUUUUUGGAGUGAUUAACAUGAUUUUGUAAAUUAUUUUACUGUCUAUUUUUCUUUAUCUCUCUUUUAUUGCUAAUGGACUAGCAAUAUGUCAGUUGGGGGGAGUGAUUACUACUCAAAAAGUACUCUUUUAUAGCUUGAAACUAACUGUUUUAAACACUUUUGAGUAGGUGUUAAUACAUUUUAACUCAAUUGGCACAUUAAGGAACCUAACAAGGGUUACUAAUAAGUUUUUGGCAAGUUUUGGUGUUUUUGGUAGCUAUUUGAUCAUUGAAACAAGCCAAGAAUGAGGGAGAAUUUUGUGAAGUCCAUAGCAAUGCAAGUUAAAGCUCAAAUACAUGAAGAAUCCAAGCUUUGAAGCACUUCAUAGCCCUUUGCGAAGCCAAUCAGAGAUGCAAGGAAGAAAACCAGAGGAAAAAAUCCAACAACCAGCAUUUUCGCAUGGCUGUGCGAAAUUUUGCACACCAUGCGAAACCACAAGAAGUAGCCAAAGAAUUUUGCACACCAUGCGAAAUUUCGCAUGGUAUACGAAAUCUUCCUAUGCACCAACUCCGUUAUAUUUUUAUCUUCAGAUAUUUUGUGUAAUUUCCUAGUUUCUCCUUGUAACCAACCUAGAUAUUUUCUUUUAUAUCUUUUUUUUAUAUUUUUUAGGUAACAUCAUAUAUAGGGGGAGAGACAUAAGGAGGAUAUGGAUGUUUUUCAUAAAACACUUUUAAUUUUCUGGUAGUAAGAAAUAUACAAAGUUUUUUGCUCUGCCUUACCUUCUCAUUUUGUUUUCACCUAUCUUUCUAGCCAAACAACCUCUGAGAAUGAUUUCUCAGGGGAUGAGUAGUUAGGUUUUACGUUUCUUGGAGUGAGAGAAGCUAGGUGAAAGACCCAAAUGCUAAGGUGGGAGUUGUCCUUGCUUUAAAUGAAAGUAGUUGUUAAAUAUUAAUGGUUUUUAUUUUAAGGUUUAGCUUUAAAUCCCUUAAAAACACCUUGAAUGGCCAAUACUUGGUAAGCUUUUCGGAUUCUAUGGAUGCUUAUUGCUAGAUCCAUGGAUGUCAUUAGUUAUCAUUUAUGAGCCAUUGGAAGGUGGUUCAAGAUGAGAGUCUUUAGUGUUUGAAGCCAUUAAUGGGAAACAAUUACCAUUUUUUCAUGAAUCCUUUGGAUAAAAUCUUAAUUGCUAAAUAUAAAACUGGUUCGGGAGAUAACCAUCCUUUAUGUUAUUAUGCCCAAUGCAAGGAGAAGAUUUCGAAUCUUCUCAUUUGUCUAAGGAACCCGAUCCUAGUGACCUAAAGCUCCUAGAGACCUUUUCUUUGUAGUUAACUUCAUUUAUUGUUUUUGCUUAACUUAAAAUCAAUCUUUGCAACCACAAUUCCAUUUUCUUUAAAAGCUAAUUUUUAUAAGGAAAAGCACCAUUUUAUUUCCUUCACUAAGUCAACUGUAUGAUGAAAACCCAUCCCUGUGGACGAUCUUAGAGCCACUAUACUAUGUUAUCUAUGCUAUCCUAGUGUGAGGUGAUUUAGGUUUUAUAAAUUUUGUUGAUAACACCCGUCUGAGCCAGAAUCAAAUGGAACCACUGAACCAGGGACAAAUCAACAGCCUAUAUGGGAGGGACACAAGUUUAAUUGAUUUGCAUUUCAGCGUUAUAGAUAAGUAUGUUUUGGAAGAUUUGUUCUGGAAAUACUGCACCAAGUACGAUUCUUUUUCUCUUGAGUGAGUCCAUUUGCAUGCCAAUUAACGAGUUGAAAAGUAGGAGCACCUACCUCGUGCUCAUGGAACCGAAUGUCAGUGAAGUGGGGCUCCUUUUAGCCUCUUGUGUUUCUGUUCCAACCAAGGCGGCGUAGGGAAAAACAACAAUAUGUCUGUGCUAAAUAUCAACGCAUGAUAGAUGUUUUUUUUUUUUUUUUUGGUAUGUCAAGGCUAACGAAUGAAAUGCAUUAGCUUGUUUUGUGACUAUAACUGCAAAUGUCCAAAUUGGAGUAUCUCCAUUUCUCACUUCGGAUGGUUAACUUUAUAAACAAGAUAUAGGAAACAUGUGAACAUCUUGAGGAACAAUUCAAAUUAUUCAUUAGAAGUCCUGGGUUAAGUUCCAAGAUUUAAAUCAGACCCUUCUAGCAGCUUCAAGGGUACUUAGCAACCUAUAACAUAUUAAUGAAGAUUUAGGAUUUAGACUCCGGAAUACAAAUAAAUAUGUAUCUCAUGCUUUGACUAGCUUCCCUACAUAUGCAUAAAAUGGAGAUGACCCAAAAAAAAUAGCAGAAUCUAGCUUCCCUACAUAUGCACAAAAUGGAGAUGACCCAAAAAAUAGCAUAAUCGCCUUAGUUUCUGUGGUUAAGGUGAUUCUCCGCUUAAUAUCCACAUUGACUCAUUAUGCAAAAUCAACUGAGCUAAUUUUAUUUAUUUAUUUAAUGUCAAAUAGGAACUCCUAAUUAACUGAUUACUGUCGAAAAGUGCUAUUUUGUAGACCUAAUUAUAAGGGUUUUAAGCACCUUUGAGUAGUAAUCAUAUUCAUUUAACCUAAUUAAUUCAUUAAGCUCCUUAGUAAUUAGUUCUAACCAUUUUUAGUGGCAAGUUUACAUGUUUUUCAUCAGCUUAUGAACCAAUUCAAGCAUGCCAAUUGAUGGAGGAGCUACUUGGGCGAGUUAAGCAAGGAUUUUGGACGUUUACAGGCUUGAAUUUCAAGUGGAAACACGAGCACAAGCAAUGGGAACACCAUUUCGCAAGGGGAGGCAAUUCACCUUGCCAAAUGACCAAUUUCGCAAGGGGAUUUUCCUCAUGGUGCAAAAUUUGGUCAUUUCGCACCAUGAAGAAACCACCUUGCAAAAUUUCGCAAGGUGGAUUUAGGCACCUUGCGAAAUGCCAAAUUUCACAAGGUGGCUUUUCACCUUGCGAAAUUUGGACCUUUCAUCUUCCCCCCUUGCGAAAUGCCUUUGAAAUCCCCUGUUUUGAGACGCUGUUGAUGAUAUUCCACUGCCGGUUCUCCAAGAUAUUUUGCUUGACUUUUAGCUUUAUAAAUACCUAUUUUACCCUUGUAAUCAACCAAUGAAAAGGUUGCUUUUGUAAUAGCUCUUGUAAUUUAGCUUUUUAUUGUCUUUAAAUAGAGGUGAAGAGCCUCAGACACGAUCAUCUUGUAACCUGUAACUUUAUAAGUUAUAAGAGCACUUUUGUUCAUACGCUUCUUUUCUCUUUUCUUUCUCAUUUUCUUAGUAGCCAAACAUCCUUGGAGGAUGAAAUCCCCAAGGAUGAGAGGCUAAAACCUUUUAGUUUCUUGAAGUAAUGGAUGCCAUGUGAAGCUCCCGUGUCAGGAUGGAGAUUUCCAAGCCAUAAAUGUAAGUAGCUGAGCGUCAUAAAUGUUUUCAUUCAAAGUAAAGCUUUUAAUCCCUCUGACUUGCUUUGAAUGGCCAAUACUUGAUAACCUUUUGGUCUCAAUGGAUUCUUAUUGUUAGAUCCACUGACGUUCAUUAGUUAUCUCCUACGAGCCAUUGUAUUGCAAGUCGAGGAGAUGACCUAUACCAAUAAAAGAGCAUUUAUGAGGUUCAACUACCCUUUUUGUAAGUUUUCAAGGACUAAAACUCAGUUGUUAAACUCAUACCGGUUCGAGAAGUAAGCAUCACCUUAGUUGCUUCCCCAACUCGAGGUGAAAAGUCCCAAAAUCUCCAUUUUUACACAGUGAGUUAAGCAUGGCUAUCCAAAGCUUUAAGAAACUUCUUUUUCCAUCUUUUAACCUAUUUUCAUGUUAGUUUAGUUUACAACACCUUCAUCUUUUUAUGUUUUCAUCUUAACCUAAUUUUUAUUAAGAAAAGUUCACUCCAUCCUCCGAACUUCACCAGUUAAAGUAAAAACCCUUCCCAGUGUUCGAUCCUAGAGCCACUAUGCUAUAGUAGCUUUGCUACUUUAGUGUAAGGACCUUAGGUAUAAAUUUUGUUGAUACCCUUACAUGCCAAGCUACCAAGAGUCGGGUUAUCAUUAACCUAACCAUUGGCCUGUGUAAAUUGAUUUCACAUGCACAAUGUUGUAGUAGAAGUCCAUAUUUUGAAUUUUAUUUUUGUAAAGGUAAGGAAAAUGAAGCAUUGUGUAAUUAUAAAAAUAACUUCAUUGGAAUUCACAAGGUUCACCCAAAAUGGAGCUACAUCUGUAUUCUAUCCUACAGUAGACUAUAUAGAUUGUACAAUAGUAAAUUGCAAAUACAAUUAAUAAGUCUUGUGCUUCCUUACUAAUAAUCCUUUGACAUGAACAUUGCAGCACUAAGGUCCUCUUGGGAAGACACCUUGCACCCAUGAGAGCACUAAGAGGAAGCAAGGCAGAGUCAUGGGUGCAAUGUCAUGACUUGUUGUUGCACCAAGAGAGGCUUGGUGAUGCCAUGGUGUUGCAGUAGCAAGAAUGUUGCCUUGGCAGGGACACGAUCUAGGGAUAGAUGCCAAGAAAGGCUUAGCACUCACAUGAGUUGCACAAAGAUGAAUGUAAUAGAGCAUCAGAGAGACGUCUUGGCAAGUAAAUGAAUGGAUCCAAGAGACAACAACAUGAGGAGUUUCAAAUGGAUAAGGAAUGACUCAAAGACAUUUGAAAGCUACAAGUUGGAUUCUAAUUACGAUUGCAAUUUGAGUUUGAGUAGGAGUUUAGAUUUUGAUUGUAAUUGUAGUAUGAGUUGGACUAGGAUUGCUUAUCCUUAGUCAAUAUAGGAGCGGUUCGUGUCACCCUAUGAAAAGAGUUUGAGUAGGGACUAGGAUUGCUUACUCCUAGUCAAAUAUGGAGUAGGUGGUGCCACACCUAUAAAAAAAAGGGACAACAUGAGAGAGAGAGAGAGAGAGAAAGAGAGAGUGAAUUCACUAAAGAUAUUGUGGGAGUUUUGCUUUGUUACGUCUUGUAUUAUUACUUAGAAUAGGAAUAAAAUACAAGUUGGGGCUAGAGCCCCAUAAUUAAUCUCGUGUGCCUUUGUGGUUAUUCUUUAUUUGUCAUCUCGUGUGGAUUGGAUUAGGUUGACUUAGAGGGCUUCUAAGCACCACCUUUGUGGGUUAUUAUUUAUUUUCCAUCUCUUGUGGAUUAGAUUAGGUUGACUUAGAGGGCUUCUGAGCACCACCUUUGUGGGUUAUUAUUUAUUUUCCAUCUAUUGUGGAUUAGAUUAGGUUGACUUAGAGGGCUUUUAAGCACCACAUUUGUGGGUUAUUCUUUAUUUUCCAUAUCGUGUGGGUUGGAUUAGGUUGACAAGGAGAAAAAUUAUGUGGGAAAUUUGUGUUGGGACACUUACCAUAACCAAGUAAAAUCUACCAAGUCCUUUGUAAUAUCUUCAACAAAUAUUUUAGACUAGUUCUUUCAGUUAGUGUAAAGGAGGAAGAAGUGGUAUUGAUUCUAGAAAUAGGGUGUGUGUAUUUGAACUACAAUCCUUAUGAUCCUUAGGUCUCUAAACCUUCGUGAUGGGCUCCCUGACAUUUCAUAGGUUGUGCUACACAUGCGUUUGAAAUUUAGAGUGCGUUUGACAGUGAUUCCGGGAAGUGUUUUUGGCCUUUCUUACACUUGAAAAUUUUUAUUUUUCAAGUAUUAGAAAUGCUACAAACACUUUUGAAAAUUACUGUCAAACACACUCUUAGGAGCGCACAUAUAUAGUAGAAAACUAGAAAUUGUGGUUUUUUUAGGAUUUACUGUAAUGUCAUUAGGAGGGUAGUAAGUUGAAAUUGAGUAUGAACAAAUAUUUCUUUCUUUGGGAUGUUCUUCUAGUAGGUGCUGAUGAAACUGUUCUUUCUACUGCCAAUGUCACAUAUCAGCCAGAAAUUGAAAAUUUCAGUCAAGGUGUCCUCUGUUUUAGUGGUGAGGAAAGCUAGAAAUUUUAAGGUGAAGUUUUGUUAAAAACCUUAAGUAGCUGGGAUAUCAGGCCUGUUUUGCUUGAAAAAAAAAGUUGCAAGAUAACUCAUAUGCCAAACAGGUUCUGAUAUUGUGAAUCUAUCGGCAGACAUCAGUAAUCUCAUCUUCUGAGAUGGAUGUUGGGGGUGCAUGUGGUGGUGGAGGGGCAAGGUUUCAUUUGGUUUAUUUUGUUGAUGGAUAUUGUCUAGCCACCUGCGCCAAGUUUGAGGGGUGGUGGGUUGUGAUGACCCUACAAUUACUAUUAAUUUCUUCAUCUUUUACCGAUUAAAGUGUCCGAACAGUCGAAGUUACCCUUAUGCAUGUCAACUUGAUCACUUACCUCUUCAAUGGAGUUUAUGCUGGUUCAUUUAGGAACUGAUUUUUAUUGUUAUGUAUUAUAUGCUGAUGUUUAGGUCUCUCCAUCAUCACUAUAUACAAAAAUUCUAGGUUGAUACUAUAGGUUGAGAUUUAUUUUUUAAAUAAAAAAUAAUAAAAAUAAAAAUUAUGGUGAUGUUUAGUUGUUUUAUGGAAAAUUUUAACAAGUAAAAGUUAUUUUUGGGCAAGUUUUCAAACAAAAAGAAAAGUAAAAGUUGUUUUGACAAAAACAUAUAGAAAAAAAAAUCAUAGAAAAUAAAUAAUUUCCCCAUAUUCUAACUUUUUUGAAUUUUUCUCAAUGGGCAAAGGAAUAUCAAAUCAAGUUUGAGUAGGAUUUCUUAAUUUUUAAAAUAACUUACAAUUAAAAAAUUUUGGUGUUUUCAUUUUUGGACAAUUUUUUAUUAAGCAAAUGGACUCUGAGUCAUGCAAGAGAUAUGGUUCAUUAACCGGUCGAACAAUUUUUUUAAAUUAAUUUAAAAGUCAAAUACAUAAUCAAUUUCACAAAAUUUAUAAACAAAAAUAGGUUUAGAGAAGAUCUACACAUAAUUUUACUUUUCUAAUUUUAUUUUAUUUUAUUUUUUGUUGGAAAAUAGUCUUCAAAUCAUGUAAGAUUUAAUAGGUUAAAUUUGUUAACAAUAAAUUUUAAAUUAUAAAAUAUAAUCUGGAACUCAAAAAUCAAUUCAAGUAAUGCUAAAAAAAAAUCAAAUUUGGUAUAGAAUGACUUUGUAAAUUUUUUUACAAAACAAAUGAAUUUUAAAUCAAGUGAGAUUUAAUGCAUUAGAUUUUUAUCAAAUAUAGUAAUUUUAAAAAUAAAUUUGGAACUCAACAAUAGACACAAUAAAUACCAAAAAAUAAUGAACCAAAAUUGGUUUGGAAUAACUCCACAACCUUUUUUUUUUUUUUUUGGUGCACACGAAUUUUCUUACUAGGUAUAUUGCUUUCAAAUUGAGAAAGAUUUACCAUUUAGAUUUUUUUUUAAUGAGUUUAAUGGUAUUUUAAAAUAAUUCAAAAUUUAAAAAAUUGACUAAUUAAUAUUAUAAAUUGAUAAACCAAGACUAUUUCAAAAUGCAUUGGGGGCUAAGGGGGUUGAAAAUAGGGACAAUGGGAUGGGUUUGGGACAUGACACUCAUAUCUCAUUUCCAUUCCAAUUACACAGUUAUCUCCCAUCCUUAUCCCAAACUUGUGUUGGAGCAAGUUGAUUUGUUCCCAUCUUUGUUGACGAAAUGACUAAUAACCUCAUCCCCUCCUUAUCUUAGAUGUACAUUUUGUCAAAUUUGAUCAGGUAUGAUUGAUCCAAGCCCUAACCCUAAUUGGUAAUGAGUGAAUACUACACCUAAUUGCAUUCUUCUUUCAUUGCAAAAUAAUGAGAUUAUAAUAAUCUAGCAAAUAAGAAAAAAUAGUAUGGAAGUUCAAAUUAACACCAUAACUAUCAAUAAUUUUAAGCUUAUAGAUGACUUAAAUGAUUAAAAACUAAUGCAAAAUCCUAAAAAAAAUAAAAAUCAUAUAAAGAAUUCACAAGAGAACAGAAUGAACAAAAACCAAAUAUGAACAUGGGUCAACAUUAGUUAUGGAUUUGGAUUCCUUUCAAGGCCAAUCUUUGAACCAAGACUUCAUCAAAUCAACUACUUCAAAGGCUUUUGUGUUCUUCUUGGGUUGUGCUCUCAAACAAAGACUUCGAGGUGAUGUUCUAGAUGAUUGAAUUACACAUAUUUAGGGUGGAGAGAUUGGAGAAGCUUGAAGAUGCCAACGAUGGGUACAAUUGAGUGGUCAAUAAGAACAAUGUAGCCUAUGACUAGUUUGAUGUCAUGGUACAAGAGUUUUAGGCAUUGAGGUUAAAGCAAGAGCAACAUGGAAUUGAUUUCGGAGUCUUUCAGUUAGUGUAAAGGAGGAAGAAGUGGUGUUGAUUCUAGAAAUAGGGUUUUAAGUGGUGCGUGAUUACUACUCAAAAAGUGCUAUUUGAUAGCCUUUAAUUAAUCCUUUUUAACACUUUUGAGUAGUAGUUUAGGCCUUUUAACUCAAUUGGCAUGUUAAGGAUCCUUUAAAGCAAUUUUGAUCACUUUGUGCAAGUUUUGGUGUUUUUGUUAGUAUUUUGAUCACCAAAGCAAGUCAAGAAUGAGGAGAACUAUGAGGAAUCAUGGGCAAAGCUUAGAAUUCAAUUGCCAAGAGUGAAUCCGGAUUGCAAGGAGAAAAAGCAAAGAGAAUCUGUCAUGAAGCCUAUUCUUGAUGACAGUCGUAGCAGCCACUUUUGGAGCACUUUCUGAAGUCCAAAUGAUGCAAGCUAUAUACCAUUUCAAAGAUCAGGAAGUCAACAAUCCAAUGCUUCAAACGGUGCGCGAUUCGGAGUUGAAACGAAGAAGUUGCAGCCAUUACAAGCCAGUCACUCUAAAGUGUUGCGGAAUCAGCCUUUUGUUGCGAGAAUUUCGCAGCACUUUUGUACAGUAAGGUGUUUCUCCUUCUGACGAUGCACGAACCAUGCCGCGAGAGGGAAGCUAGGAACUUCAAGAUGGAAGCCAACUUUGCAGCCUGGUGAAGAUAGCUUGGUCUUGCGAAAUAAUUUCGCAGCCCUCUUGGGUGUCUGCGAAAUUUCGCAGGCACCACUUUUUUCCUGCGAAAUGGCUCCGGAAGCCUCCCGAAGCUUGCUACCGACAUUGGGAGAUAUUUUCCAUUAGAUUUUUGUUGUCUAAAUUCCAAAAUACUCCUUGUAAACCACCAAUUACAUGAUUCCUUAGUUUUUAAGUUAGUAAAAAGACCAAAUAUCUAUGUAAUAAUUAGUUUUAUAUUAGUUUGCUAUAAAUACCUCUCGGGAGCAUGUUCUCAGAGAGGAGUUCCUUCUGUAACCAUUUUGGUAAGCAAGUAAAGUCUUUUCUUUCUACUGCCUUACCUUCUCACUUUGUAUUUUCAUUUUAUUUCUAAGUUAUGAAUUCUCUGAGGAGCUUUCCCCAGAGAAUGAGUAACUAAACCUCCAAUUCCUUGGAGCUAAGGUUGCCGGGGAAGGUUCCAAGUGCAAGAAUGCAAAGCUCUGUGGUUUUAGCUAGUAAUGAAGAGGAAGUGAAAUCCUUUAGUGAUUUCAAUGUUUUUAGUUAACUUAAAACACCUUGGAGUCACCUGGGCCAACACUUGGUAAGGCAAGUGAUUUCCAACCGUGGAAAUGCACUAGUUUACCCCUUGCGAGCCUCUGGUAGGUGACUUCAAGGUAGGAUUUUCUGGAAUUACCAACACUUGGUAAGCUUUUGGACUCCUAGGAGACAUCCAUUAGUUAUCUCUUGCGAGUUUGUGAAGGGGAAUCCAAGGUUAAAGAUCACCUUGAAUGGUAAGUGCUCGUGAGAGGCAUGAACCAUUGCAAGUUGUAUCAGUGAGAGAAUUAAAGUGAAAUCUAAUUGAAGGAGUCUCUGUACAUCACCGGUUAGAGAAUUGACUAUAAGUUGAAUCUCUAAUGCGAGGAAAUGAACCAUCUGACCGGAGCUAUGUCUUUUGCAUGAGGAACCACCCCAGUGAACCUAAAUCUCCAAGGAAUGCUUUUCUUCCUAAAUUAUUCCAAACUUCUGUUAAGUUAGUUAGUUUAAGUCUAAACCUUUACCAAUCAAACUUUGUGUUUUAUUUCUUAAGCUAACCGUGAAAUGAAACAAAACCAAUUCACUUGGAAUUGGUAUCCUUGAUUGCUUGCAAAUCAUUCCCAGUGAACGAUCCUUAGAGCCACUAUACUAUAGUAGCUUUGUAUUUGCUACCCUAGUGUAUGGUGUUAUAGGUAUAAAUUUUGUUGAUCACUUCCUCAAUCAAGGAACACCAGCUGAACACAAAUCAGCUGAGACACCAAUUGGGCAUGAGUCAAAUGGCGCCGUUGCCGGGGAAUGAGUGUCAAGAUCAUUGUGAUACCAUUUUUGAGCACUUGUGAUUUUCAUCACAAGUUGGUAAAGUUUCUUUCACUUUACUAAUUUUCAUUCUCUCUUUGUUUAUUUACAAUCUAAGUUUAUCUUUUUAAAAUUUAGUCUAGUUUAAUUUUGCUAUUGUAGCCUUGUUUCUCUUGUUGUCCUCUGUUCUUGUUGUCCUCUGUUUUCAUUUUAGUUGCAGCUGAAUACUAGUUGUGUAUGCCAAAGUGGAUACGAGACAUUGGAGGUAGGCUUAUUAAGUGUGAUACACCUCAGAGAGGAGAAUUGGAAGUAAUCUUGAAUAUCAUGGAGGCUGCACCUGAAGAUCAGCAUAGUCACCAAGGUCGUCAAGACAAUCUCAAUGAAUUCAGAUCAAUGAGGGACCGUAUGCAUCCACCUCGUAUGAGUGCACCAUCAUGUAUAGUGCCCCCUACAGAGCAACUAGUGAUCAGACCAUAUCUUGUUCCACUUCUACCAACUUUCCAUGGGAUGGAAAGUGAGAAUCCGUAUGCACACAUCAAGGAAUUUGAAGAUGUUUGUAAUACAUUCCAAGAGGGAGGAGCUUCAAUUGAUUUGAUGAGGCUUAAGUUAUUUCCUUUUAAUUUAAAGGAUAAGGCCAAAAUUUGGCUUAAUUCUUUAAGGCCAAGGAGUAUCCGCUCUUGGACUGAUUUACAAGCUGAAUUCCUCAAGAAAUUUUUUCCUACUCAUAGAACAAAUGGCUUGAAAAGGCAAAUUUCAAACUUCUCAGCUAAAGAGAAUGAGAAAUUCUAUGAGUGUUGGGAAAGAUACAUGGAAGCUAUAAAUGCUUGUCCUCACCAUGGCUUUGAUACUUGGCUACUGGUGAGUUAUUUUUAUGAUGGUAUGUCCUCCUCAAUGAAGCAACUCCUCGAGAAAAUGUGUGGAGAAGAUUUCAUGAGCAAAAAUCCAGAGGAAGCUAUGGAUUUCUUGAGCUAUGUAGCUGAUGUUUCAAGGGGAUGGGAUGAACCAACUAAAGGAGAAGUGGGAAAGAUGAAGUCUCAGUUGAAUGCUUACAAUGCAAAGGCUGGGAUGUAUACUUUAAAAGAGGAUGAUGACAUGAAAGCAAAGUUGGCAGCUAUGACAAGAAGAUUGGAGGAGCUGGAGCUGAAAAGAAUGCAUGAAGUGCAAGCUGUUGCUGAAGCACCAGUGCAAGUGAAGUUGUGUCCCAAUUGUCAAUCGUUUGAACAUUUGGUAGAGGAAUGCCCUGCAAUUUCAGCUGAAAGGGAAAUGUAUAGAGAUCAAGCAAAUGUUGUUGGACAAUUCAGGCCCAAUAACAAUGCUCCUUAUGGAAAUACCUACAAUUCAAGUUGGAGGAAUCAUCCAAAUUUUUCAUGGAAGGCCAGAGCAACUCAAUACCAACAGCCGGAUCCACCAUCUCAACAAUCUUCAAGUAUUGAACAAAUAAUAGCUAAUCUCAGCAAGGUAGUGGGAGAUUUUGUGGGAAAGCAAGAAGCCACCAAUGCUCGAGUGGAUCAAAGAAUGGACAGAGUGGAUCAAAGAAUGGACAGAAUGGAGAGUAUGUUGAACAAAAGAAUGGAUGGAAUGCAAAAUGAUAUGAAUCAAAAAUUUGAUAACAUCCAAUAUUCAAUUUCAAGGCUUACAAAUUUGAAUACACUGCAAGAAAAGGGAAGAUUUCCUUCUCAACCUAACCAAAAUCCCAAAGGUGUCCAUGAAGUGGAAAGCCAUGAGGGAGAAUCAUCACAGGUGAAAGAUGUGAAAGCUUUGAUCACUCUAAGGAGUGGUAAGAAAAUUGAGCAGCCAACACCCAAGCCACAUGUUGAGAAAGAAGAAGAGAUGAAGAAAGGGAAGGAAAUGGAAGAUAAAGGCAGUGAGAUCAGUGAAGAAAAGAAGGACUCUGAUGCAACAAUGAAAGUAAUUCCAGAGAAGGAGCUUCUGAAGGAAGAAAUGCUGAAGAAAUCAACUUUUCCACCUUUUCCUCAAGCAUUACAGGGGAAAAAGGGGGUUAGAAAUGCAGCUGAAAUCCUAGAAGUAUUGAGGCAAGUGAAAGUUAAUAUUCCACUGCUGGAUAUGAUCAAACAAGUUCCAACGUAUGCAAAAUUCCUAAAGGACUUGUGUACUAUCAAAAGAGGGUUGACUGUAAACAAGAAAGCCUUCUUGACUGAGCAAGUAAGUGCAAUCUUACAGUGUAAGUCUCCUUUGAAGUACAAAGACCCUGGAAGUCCUACCAUUUCAGUCAUGAUUGGAGGAAAGGUAGUGGAGAAAGCCUUGCUAGACUUGGGAGCAAGUGUGAAUUUGCUUCCAUAUUCUGUCUACAAGCAACUGGGACUUGGAGAGUUGAAGCCAACAGCAAUCACUUUGUCUCUGGCAGAUAGAUCAGUGAAAAUUCCAAGAGGGGUAAUUGAGGAUGUAUUGGUUCAAGUAGAUAAUUUCUACUAUCCUGUAGAUUUUGUUGUUCUUGAUACAGAUCCUACUGUAAAGGAAGCUAAUUUAGUUCCUAUCAUCCUUGGAAGGCCAUUUCUUGCAACUUCAAAUGCAAUCAUCAACUGUAGAAAUGGGCUUAUGCAACUCACUUUUGGUAACAUGACACUGGAUCUAAAUAUUUUCUAUAUGUCUAAAAAGCAAAUCACUCCAGAAGAAGAAGAGGGUCCAGAAGAGCUAUGUAUUAUUGAUACUUUGGUGGAGGAGCACUGCAAUCAACAUAUGCAAGAUAAGUUGAAUGAAAGUUUUGUGGAUAUUGAGGAAGGUUUUUCUGAAUCUCCUAAUGGGCUUGCUACUCUACAAAGUUGGAGAAAGAUAGAAGGAAUUCUACCUUUGUUCAAUGAAGAAGAGGAGGCAGCUGUUGAAAAAGAAAUUCCAAAACUCAAUCUGAAGCCUUUACCUAUGGAGCUGAAAUAUACAUAUCUUGAAGAAAAUAAUCAAUGUCCUGUCGUAAUAUCUUCAUCUCAAACCAAGUCUCAAGUGAAGGAUGCAAGCUUCAAAUGGGAUCCGGGCAAACUGAAUCAGGAAGGGCAAAAAGUUUUGAUGUAUGACACAAGACUCCAUAUCUUUCCUGGGAAGCUCAAGUCAAGGUGGAUUGGUCCAUUUGUUAUUCACCGAGUAUAUUCCAAUGGAGUGGUGGACUUAUUGAAUUCCAAUGGCAAGGACAGCUUUAGAGUCAAUGGAUAUCGUCUUAAGCCGUUCAUGGAGUCAUUCAAAUCAGAAAAGGAGGCAAUCAACCUCCUUGAACCUCAAAAAGCCUAAGUGAAAUGGGUUUGCUGGACGUGGUUUUACCACAGUCCAAAAAUUUUUGUAAAUUUUGUAAAUUUUCAAGUUGUUUCCAUGCUUUUAAUCUUAGUUUUUGAUUUUAAAUCAUGUUUUUAGGUGUGUUUUAAUCGUUUUAUAUGAUCCCAGGCGGAAGAAAUUUCAAGGGGAUUGAAAAGAAAAAAAUCGGGUCGAAAUUGGAGCCGAAACAGAGCAAAAACAGGGGAAAAACAGAGCUCUGCGAAAUUUCGCAGGGUGAAGGAAACUUCUGCGAAAUUGGCAUUUUGCUGCCAAACCAUUCCGCAGCACUGUAGAAGCCUCUGCGAGUGUAUUUCGCAAUUGCGAAAGUGGAUUUGGCACACGAGUGCCACUUCGCAGCACAGUGACAUCAAUUUCGCAGCUGCGAAACUCACUGCGAAGUUGCUGCGAAAAUGGCAAGUUGCUGCGAAAUUGGCGUUUUGUUGCGAAACGUAAUCUGACCCCUGGGCUUCCGUUUUUCCUAUUUAUACCUGUCAAAAGUGCUGCGAAAAAGGUUUCAAAAAUUAGAGCACCAUUCUCGCAGCCCUUUCAUCUUCUUCGCCAAGCCACGCCGUCCGUUUCUCCGGUCGUCUUCUCCGUUUAGCAGCGCCGGCCAAAGAUCGAUAGCCCAAAAAUGGCACGAACGCGAGGGGCAAAGUCUUCAUCCCCUUCGAACCGCAAAAGGAGUCUGCGAAAGGAGCCAAGUUCAGGCUCUGUUCCAGAACCUGCUCCAAAGCCUUCGCCGUCGAGACCACAACCUUCUCCAGUGAAGCCGGCGCCACCAAAGCCGCCGGCAAGGCGAUAUUUAACCAGGUCAGGUGGUCAGCCAUUGAAGAAGAAAGCCAGAGUUGAGAGCUCUGAACCAAUCGAUUUGACUGAGCAAUCCCCUGAGAAAUCACCAAAUCCUUCACCGGUACAAAUUCCAGUGCCAUCACCGGUUCCCUCGCCAAUUCCCUCACCAGAAGCAACUCCAAUUCCAUCGCCGGUACCAUCUCCGGCACCCCAAGAAAAAGCUCAGGAGCCUCAAGCGCCAAUUCCAGAGCCCCAAAUUGCAGCUGAAGCACCUCUGGAAGAAGUGAUCCGAAGGCCAAUGCUGCCUCAGCCCCCAAUCGAAGGAAACCUGGAUUGCCGAACUCGGGCAUUCCAUUCUGAGCUUUGCUUCGAUUUAACAGCAUUCAGAGUGAGGCCAGAGCUUGCCCAAUCCUUCCAACUGCUGAGGAGAUAUCAUAUGGAGCAUCUGCUAGCUCCAAGGGAUUUUUUCUAUCCCCGGGUAGUCACGGAUUUCUACCAAACCAUGACAACCAAAGAAGUAAGAAAUCCAACUCUGAUUCAUUUCAUAAUUGAUGGAAGGCAUGGUAUUUUGGGAGCAAGACAUAUUGCUGAAGCCCUGCAAAUUCCUUUUGAGCCAACUCAAUUCGACAAUUUUAAAGCUUGGACAAAUCCUACUGAGUUAGAGAUGGUUAGCACACUAACCAGAGGAGCUGCAAAUCGAUCGCAUUUGUUGAGGGGGGAGCUACCUCCAGUUAUGUUUUUGAUUGAUGCCUUUUUGAGGCAUAAUAUCUAUCCCCUGCAGCAUUGGACCCAAAGAAGGGGAAUUCUCCUAGAAGCCUUGUACAAAAUGUCUGAAGGAUUCUUCUUUGGGCCUCAUCAUCUGAUCAUGGCAGCCCUUCUAUACUUUGAGGAGAAGGUUCACAAGAAGAAGCUUCAAAGAGCAGAUUGCAUUCCACUCCUCUUCCCAAGGCUGCUAUGCCAAGUUUUGGAGCAUCUCGGAUACCCCUCUGAGCCUCAGCAGGAAAGAAAGAGAAUAUGCCGUGAGCCUUUUACCCUUGAUAAAUGGAAUAAUAUGACGGCCUACAAAAUUGAUCAGCCUGGGCAGCCUCAGCCAGCAGCAAGGAGAGUCUCCCCAAGACAUAUACCUGAAGGUAUAACACUUGCUACUCCUGCCAUCCCUCGAGCUCCACCAGCUGCACCUGCUCCAUCACAGCCAUCCACAUCAGCUGAGCCGAGGAUGGCCAUCCCUAUAUCCGAAUAUCGAGAGCUGUGCCGUGCAUUGGAGACUCUUACAGCUUCUCAGAGCAAUCUUGCUCAGGAGUUGGCAGCCAUUAAAGCAUGCCAGGAGCAGAUGUUAGCCUCUCAGACUCAACAAGCUGCCAUCCUAAGGCAGCUUCAAGUCCAUUUCGAUCUGCCACAAGCUGUAGAGCCCUCUAUUCCUACUCCACCAGAGCCACACUCUCAGCCUUCAGAGUCUCAUCCUCCAGAACCCGAAGCACCAGCUGAUCCACCUACUGAGGAGGCAGAUCCUUCUGCCUAGCACCAUCACCCCCCUCAUCAGACAUUAUAUAUAUAUUUGCUGUUUAUGUUUUUAUGCAUGUUUGUUUUGUUUUAGUUGAAAAGAAAUCCCAGUAUUUUGGUACUAUAUAUGGGAUUCCUUGUGUUACUUGUCUUUAGUAUUGUAAUCACAUGAACUCAAAGUAAUACAAGUUGACUAUUUCUUGUUAAAAGUUAGCAUUAAAGUUUCCUUAUUUCCUUUUCUCACAUAUUCUAUUCUUUUUGAAACAUGUGGUUUUCCCCAAUCAAUAUUCGAAUUUGAUAUCAGCAUGGAGGUACCACUUCCUCCCUUUUAUUACAGUCACUCAAAUCACAUUGAGGACAAUGCUCAGUUCGGUUGGGGGGUAUGAGGAAGGAAGUAUUCUAAACCUUUUUGGUAUUGCAAUUAUAUUGGUUAAUUAGUUGUAGAUUUUACUUUUUACUAGUGUUACUCUAUUCUCCAUGAAUUUUGAGGAAAAAUUUUCAAAUUAAACCAAGAGAAAUUGAACUGUUGUUUUUCACUUGACUUAGAGUAUGGAUUAUGCUUACUAAAGUGGUUCAAUUGUUGAAACUUCUACUGAAAUUGAAUUGAGUUCUUCCACUUUAAGCUAUCCACACACUGUGCACAUUAGUUUCCGAUUAUAAGAUGAAAAGCUAUUUCCCUCUUGACUUAGUAUAUUUUUGGGACUUGGUAUAUUUGACCUCAUUUGAUAAAAAUUGAAACACCCUGCAAAAGGCCAAUGAGCCUUUGAAAUAAAGAAAGUUGUUUGCUUGCCUUGAAACCCGAGCAAGGUCUGAGGGGUAUAUGGUGAAAAUCUUUAAAGCCUGGUGCCCUAAGCCUUAAUUGGUUGGGAGUCACCGACCUCAAUGCUCGUUACAAGGGUGAAUAGGUAGAGUUAGCAUAUGGUAGAUGCUUGGGUAUUAGAAAUUCAUUCUUAAAAGUCCGGGGAAAAAUCCGAGGAGUUAGUGGUUGAAAGAUCCUUAAAACUUGGUGCCCUAAACCUUAAUUGGUUGGGAGUCAUCGAUGGACCCCCAUUACAUGGACAAGUCAGAAAGAGUACCCCAUAAAGCUACCUUAAAAAAAAAAAAAAAAAAAAAAAAAAAAAAAAAGAUGAAAGUGUGUUCUUUUCUUAUUGAUUUUGGUCAGUUUGCUAAAGUGUUGAAAAGAGAUAGGUUGGGGGGUGAGAUUAGUAGCAUAUUAUUCUCGGAACCUAAGGAACCAAUACACAUAGAUUUUUGUGGAAGAUUGAAGUUUAGUUCUUAGAAAAUGAAAUGAUUUUAAAACUUCAGUUUGCAUAAUGCACUCCCUUGAUUGACAGUGUUUAGCAUAGGUGUUAUGACUCUUGUUGAGAUUUGGGUUUGUAUUUCUUUAAUGAUUCAUGUGAGAAAUAGAUCAUCAUGCCACUUGAGAAUUAUUUUCCUUUUAGCAUGAUGUUGUAAAUUUUAGAUUAGUUUGCUAUUUAUUUUUUAUUUUCUCUCCUAUAUUGCUAAGGGACUAGCAAUAUGUCGGUUGGGGGGAGUGAUUACUACUCAAAAAGUGCUAUUUGAUAGCCUUUAAUUAAUCCUUUUUAACACUUUUGAGUAGUAGUUUAGGCCUUUUAACUCAAUUGGCAUGUUAAGGAUCCUUUAAAGCAAUUUUGAUCACUUUGUGCAAGUUUUGGUGUUUUUGUUAGUAUUUUGAUCACCAAAGCAAGUCAAGAAUGAGGAGAACUAUGAGGAAUCAUGGGCAAAGCUUAGAAUUCAAUUGCCAAGAGUGAAUCCGGAUUGCAAGGAGAAAAAGCAAAGAGAAUCUGUCAUGAAGCCUAUUCUUGAUGACAGUCGUAGCAGCCACUUUUGGAGCACUUUCUGAAGUCCAAAUGAUGCAAGCUAUAUACCAUUUCAAAGCUCAGGAAGUCAACAAUCCAAUGCUUCAAACGGUGCGCGAUUCGGAGUUGAAACGAAGAAGUUGCAGCCAUUACAAGCCAGUCACUCUAAAGUGUUGCGGAAUCAGCCUUUUGUUGCGAGAAUUUCGCAGCACUUUUGUACAGUAAGGUGUUUCUCCUUCUGACGAUGCACGAACCAUGCCGCGAGAGGGAAGCUAGGAACUUCAAGAUGGAAGCCAACUUUGCAGCCUGGUGAAGAUAGCUUGGUCUUGCGAAAUAAUUUCGCAGCCCUCUUGGGUGUCUGCGAAAUUUCGCAGGCACCACUUUUUUCCUGCGAAAUGGCUCCGGAAGCCUCCCGAAGCUUGCUACCGACAUUGGGAGAUAUUUUCCAUUAGAUUUUUGUUGUCUAAAUUCCAAAAUACUCCUUGUAAACCACCAAUUACAUGAUUCCUUAGUUUUUAAGUUAGUAAAAAGACCAAAUAUCUAUGUAAUAAUUAGUUUUAUAUUAGUUUGCUAUAAAUACCUCUCGGGAGCAUGUUCUCAGAGAGGAGUUCCUUCUGUAACCAUUUUGGUAAGCAAGUAAAGUCUUUUCUUUCUACUGCCUUACCUUCUCACUUUGUAUUUUCAUUUUAUUUCUAAGUUAUGAAUUCUCUGAGGAGCUUUCCCCAGAGAAUGAGUAACUAAACCUCCAAUUCCUUGGAGCUAAGGUUGCCGGGGAAGGUUCCAAGUGCAAGAAUGCAAAGCUCUGUGGUUUUAGCUAGUAAUGAAGAGGAAGUGAAAUCCUUUAGUGAUUUCAAUGUUUUUAGUUAACUUAAAACACCUUGGAGUCACCUGGGCCAACACUUGGUAAGGCAAGUGAUUUCCAACCGUGGAAAUGCACUAGUUUACCCCUUGCGAGCCUCUGGUAGGUGACUUCAAGGUAGGAUUUUCUGGAAUUACCAACACUUGGUAAGCUUUUGGACUCCUAGGAGACAUCCAUUAGUUAUCUCUUGCGAGUUUGUGAAGGGGAAUCCAAGGUUAAAGAUCACCUUGAAUGGUAAGUGCUCGUGAGAGGCAUGAACCAUUGCAAGUUGUAUCAGUGAGAGAAUUAAAGUGAAAUCUAAUUGAAGGAGUCUCUGUACAUCACCGGUUAGAGAAUUGACUAUAAGUUGAAUCUCUAAUGCGAGGAAAUGAACCAUCUGACCGGAGCUAUGUCUUUUGCAUGAGGAACCACCCCAGUGAACCUAAAUCUCCAAGGAAUGCUUUUCUUCCUAAAUUAUUCCAAACUUCUGUUAAGUUAGUUAGUUUAAGUCUAAACCUUUACCAAUCAAACUUUGUGUUUUAUUCCUUAAGCUAACCGUGAAAUGAAACAAAACCAAUUCACUUGGAAUUGGUAUCCUUGAUUGCUUGCAAAUCAUUCCCAGUGAACGAUCCUUAGAGCCACUAUACUAUAGUAGCUUUGUAUUUGCUACCCUAGUGUAUGGUGUUAUAGGUAUAAAUUUUGUUGAUCACUUCCUCAAUCAAGGAACACCAGCUGAACACAAAUCAGCUGAGACACCAAUUGGGCAUGAGUCAGUGCGUUAGAGGAUCAAGAAGAAGAAAAAGAAGGAACUGUUGGAAUUAGUAUGAGUGUGAAGAGAAAAGUAUAUAAAUAAGGGGAAGUAAAAGCAAAGUUCAAAAAGCUAUAUUUUUUUAUUGUUGGUGUAUGGUUGCAUGAUUAUCCCUAUAAAUAAUAGGAGUUUUUUGGUAUUCUACUAGUAGUUGAAGCAUAAUUUCAUAAAUUAAUAUUUAGAGCGGGGUGGGGUGAGUUGUGACAAAAUUCAUACCCGUCCCAAACCUUGGUUCAGAUUUUUAAAAUAUUCUCAAACUUAUCAUAUACCCAACUUUUAUAUUUCAUACUUGUCCUAAUAGAGGCACGUUAGGCCGGGUUACUUGAGUAACCUACAUAAUUGUCAUCCCUAGUUGAAAUACACUUUUUGGCAGUGGCCACCAACUGAGCUAGAAGCUUGAUUGAUUGACCUACAAGAUUAGUUCUCAUCAUUUUAAAAAAAGUUCUGGCUUUGGUUGUGAGUGCAAUUGAAUCUAAACUGGCAUUUGCUUAAUGCAUCUACUUCAAUCCUAAACUUCUUACUUCUUAAGCCUCAAUUGUUGUUAGGAUUUUGGAAAACCCAUUUCCUUAAAUUGUAAAUUUAAGAUAAAAUAAAAUAAAAGUGAGACAUUUCUUGAUUGAAUAUUGUUAAAGGUCCCUUGGCAUUAAGACUUGGUUGAAGCCUUGGAAGAUUAGUGGAACUCUCAACAUGUGUUUGAAUCUUGAGGAGAGUGGAUGUAAGCCAAAAUUUUGUCAAACCAUUAUACAAAUUGAGUUUGAAUCCUCAUUUCUUGAUUUCUUAUUUAUUUGCUUUUUCUUAUUAUUACUUGAAUUGUCAUUUGCAUUCAUUAAUGUUAAAAUUGGUUAUAAUUAACCAACACUAAUUCUCUUUCCCCUUCCCUUUCUUGGGUGUAAACCUAGGUUGGAUUAACUAGAUAAAUCUAUUAAGAUGGUAAAAGAAUAAUUAUUCUUAACAUACAUAAGAUCAUCUUCAAUCAAAUGACUCAUUGGCUAAUAUGUUGAAUUUGCUUAUUACUUGCAACUCAAAAUUGUGUUCUAGUUGUGUCAAGUCCCCAGUGUAUGGACAUUAAAUUUGUAGUACGUGAUGAGUAAUUAGAUGGUCCAACUCCAAGAAAGUGAUUGAAAAGUAGUUCAAGAAAGGUGCAAAAGGGAAUUGUUUUGGUAUUUUCGUUUUUAUUCUUGAAGGUGGCAGAGCUAAAAUUUGAGAAAUCAAGCAAAACAUACUGAAAUUACAUUGAAAGAAAGAAGAUGGGAGUUAAUGUCUUGCAGUACAUGAUAAGGACUUCAUGCAUGUAGUGUGACCCAUGUCUUGGACUGAUGCCAACUCACGGUUACACUUAUACCCUUGGUUCUCUCUUUACUACCUUGGCUAACCUAGAUCAGGCUAUGAGAUAGGCUCCUCACCACACCAUUACUUGCCCAUUAAUUAGAGACAUUUUCAAGCAAUGAGGUAACAUGGUGACACCAAGAGGGUCUAUUCCUCGCCCGGAACAAGUCUAGACUUGGUCUCAAAAAAAUGGAGAAAAAUGAGGUGUCGUUAUGUAGAAAUACAACAACCAUGCCUUCCUCAUUACUUAGAUUCAGAAUGUGAAGGUGAAAUUGAGAAACAGAAACUCUUGAAACCAAAAUGAAAAUUGAUACUUUUACGAAGAAUUACAACAACAUUAGAGGAAGACUACAUUCUUCCUCUUUAUUCCUACAUUUCUACACUACUUCUACUCCACUCCAUAUUUCUACAUACAUCUUUAAUCAGUCUUCCCUCCUUUAUAUAGAGCCAUCUUCACACAAAUUUCGCAAGGUAGAAAAGAGGAAUGAAACUUGGAGCAAGGUUCGACUACUGGUUGUAGCUUGUCAAGGCUGGAAGUGAACUUUUCUUGGCUUUCUGGGCAUGGGUAGUAACUUGUGGGUUCCUGUUUGGCAUAAAAAUGGCUAGAACAUGUGGCACUAUCUUGUUGGAUGAUGUGUCAAGCAUGUGGCAGCCAUCUAGUGGCGAUUAUGUCAAUUUUGGGAUGGAGAGUUGGCAUCCAAUUGCAAAGAAAUAUGACGUCUACCAACAUGCAAUGUAAACCUAUGUAGAUCAUAUGAAGAUAGAGAGGAAAAAUAUAGAAAUGGAUAUAUACCUAGAACUAGCUUUUUAUUAAAUGAAACGGAGAGACAACAAUGAAGGAAAAUAAAAUUUUUUGGCUUAUAUCAAAGAGUUCACAUUGUGUUACCCUAGGUUUUCUUAAAACUUACUUUUAUGAUAACAAAAAAGAAAAAACCAUUAUUGUUUAAUCCUUUGUUUUAAACGCAUGUAAGGUGUAAUUAAGUUAGUUCAAUGCAUUAAUUUAAGAAACUUGACCUAUCAAAAGUACAAAAUUAGAUGAAAUCCAUUUCAAUGGUUAAAAUGAUCAAAAUCAAACUUUUUCUAAGUAUUUUUUAAAAGCAUCAAUAGUGAAAGACAAUUUUAUAUUUAGUCGGAGUUUGGACAAAACUGAAAAACACACAAAAUCCAAGCGACCAUCUCUAGCUUGGAUGGUCGCUUGAUCCCACCUAGAGAUGUGCAUGAGUAAAAGGAUUUGAAAAUGGAAAUUGACUAUGUAGUCGAUCAAUUAACUUUGCAACAUCAUAUGCAAUCCUAAUUGCUAGUCAUCUAAUCAAUUAGGUAGUCAAUCAACAGGCCAAAAAUAUGUUUAUAAUGACUAUUUUGUACAAAAACCACCUGUAUAGUUAAAUAUAAUGCAUUUCAUUUAUAAAUCUUCUAAUUCUUGAAUAACGAUCCUAUCAUCCUUUGAAAGUUUUUAUUACACUUUUUUUACUUUUGUUCUAAAACUUACACAUCACCCUUAAUUGUACCAUGAGAACCUAGCUAUUUUUUAUUUUUUUUUUUGUAAUUCAUCAAAGUUAGCUUUUGUAUUCAUUGUUGUAUUAUUUUUAGUAUAACUUAGAAAGCUAGUGUUUUCAAGUGAGUAAAAUUAACUUGUAAAUAUUGUAAAGAUUCAUCGACAUGUAUCUUAAACUAAGUGUACAAGUUAAAACAUUUGCUAGUAGAUUUUCUCAAAAUUUAGAAUAGAGCUUGAGACUAUUGAAAUAGGUGGGGUUGCACCAAACCACAUCACAUCGUUGUUUGCACCUUUUUUCACUCUCUUUUACUUAGUUGCUCUAUAUUUGUUGUCUAGUAAUAUCCUAUAGGCUUGAUGGGUUAGGGAGCAUCCCUUUGUGAAAAAAUUUUAUUCAAUCCUUAGUUGUAUCACGCAUAUAUAAAAUGCCUCAUUGUUUUAAUGGUAUUCAGUCGUGGCAUCACAGAUAUGGGCAUCUAAAUUUUAAAAGUUUGAAACUUUUAUCUAAAGAAAAUAUGGUGCUUUGCCUUUUUGUAAAGCAUGUUGAUGAAAUCCAUGAGAAUUGUGUACUUGGGAAGCAACACCGAGAUGACUUUUUUUUUUUUUUUAUAAUAUUGUUUGUCCAAAUUCCCUACAAAUUAGGCCACCAGAUGUUCAUAAUUCUCCCUUCUUGAAUUUGAAAACUCGGACAAUUGGACAAUGCGACACCUAAGUCCGGUUUCUAAAUGCUAAAGUGAAAGGGUAGGUAUGGACCAUUGAAAUGUGAUCACAACUUUUCUCUGUAGCCAUGUUGUCUCUUUUUUCUUUUGCAUGAUUUUCUUACCUUAACAGAAUCAUAGACUUGUUUAGUCUCUAAAUGGGAUUAAUUUCAUCCAGCUUUAAGCUACUAUAUUAUAUCUAGGUGGAGGACUUUUAAGAGUGCAACCGACAUAGAGCACAUGGAAGUGGGUAUAUGGGACAUGAAAUUUCUUCUUAUAAAGAUUGCAUGAUUUUUAUAUUAGAGUUGUUGAGGCGCUAUGUAUUUAGCUUGUUUUGCAGUUAAAUUAAUUGGAUAAGUAGACAUUGGCGUUUCUAAAUCUACUGUGAAGUGCUUCAUGUACGUGUGAAGUAUUAGAAAUUUCUUUCUUGGCAACUUGUUUUUCUUUGCGGUCUACUGAUAGGUUUGACUAAAAUUAUAUUCCCUGUCAUGCUAAUUAAUUUUCACGUGCAUGCUCAAAAGAAAAGUAUGACCUUAGUGCACCAAAAUCACUUUGAUUAAUUUGUGAUAGGUUUUUGUGCAUCAUGACAUUAGCCUUAUUCAUUUAGAUAAUGUUUAGUUUUUAGAAAGUAUUAAGAAAAGGAAAAUAAAUAUUAAGAAAAAUAUUCUUAUAUUUGAUUGUAUUAUGAAAAAUAUCAUAAAAAAAUCAAAUAUAAUUUAAAUUAAUUAAUAAUUUAUACAUUUUCAAAUUAUUUAAUCUUUAUAUUGAAGAUAUAAUAUAAAUGAAAUGAGUUUUAAGUAUUAUAUAAAAGUGAUUUAUUGAUCUUACAUAUAUAUAUUUCUUUUUUUUUUCCUUCUAUUUUUUCUCUUUAUUUUAUUUUCCUUAUGUUUUCCUCAACAUUUUCCGGAACCAAACAUAGCCUUAGGAAAUCCACAAUUACCUUCAACUGAGUAGAUUCUGUUGUUUUAGCAAUGUUAGGCUGCUAACUUGUGUUGGUACGAACCUAUUAAGCCUAAAGAUGUAAUUAGUUAGGAUAUUCUUUUCCCUCUAGUCUUGUAGCUCCACGUGUACAGUUGGUUAGGACCUCAUUGUAUAUAAUGCUUGCCCUGUUAUUGUAGAAGACAACAAAGAUAAAUAAUAUUAACAUUUUUCCUCUCAUCUCUCUCUGUUUCCCUCUGUUUUCAUCUCCUCUCUCAUCUUGGUAUCAGAGCCUCCAUGGCUUCUUUCAAAGAAACCUCCGAAUCACCUUCUGCUAGCAUUGUUAAUGUGCAAAACCCAUUAUCUCAAUCAAACAACCUUCCUUCACCAGUAGCCACACCCUCUUUUUCUUUCUCGUCUAUGAAUCAACCUCUCACAGUGAAGCUGGAUAAUGGGAACUACCUCAUAUGGAAGAAUUAGCUUCUAAAUGUCAUCAUUGCUAACGGACUCGAUGAUUUCAUUGACGGAUCUCGACCCUGCCCUCCUCGAUUUCUCGAUCUGCAACAACAAACCCUCAAUCCAGAGUACUCAGCUUGGCAGAGAUACAAUCGACUUCUGAUGAGUUGGCUGUACGCAUCCUUGUCCAAAGAUAUAAUGGCUCAGAUUGUUGGGUAUUCAACAGCUAUGGAGAUUUGGAAUGCCCUUAAUCAGAUUUACUCUGCCUCUUCUAUGGCGCGGUUUACUGAGCUUCGCACCAAGCUUCAAACGCUCAAGAAAGAUGGACUCUCAGUUGGUGAAUAUAUUCAAAGGCUCAAAUCCAUUUGCAAUAGUCUUGCAGCAAUAGGAGAACCAGUUUCUGAGAAAGACCAUCUUAUCUAUUUGUUCAAUGGAUUAGAUUGUGAGUAUUAUUCUUUUGUUACCUCCAUUCAAAAUCGAUCUGACCAACCAACUAUUGACAAAAUCCAUAGCCUAUUGCUUAGCUAUGACUUCCGGCUUGAACAACAAAACUCUGUUUCUCUCCAUUCUGCCCAAGUCCAUAUGGCUCAUCUGAACAAGAAACCUUAUAAAUCAACUCCUCAACCUACAUUCAAUCAUAUUCACAUUCAACCUAGAUACUCUUCUCCACCUUUUAAGCCAACCACUAGUCAAUAUCAACCCAACAUUUUGGGCAAACCACAACCACAACCAUGACAGCCUCAACCUCAAUGGAAACCACAUUUUUCAAUCUAAAAUCAAAAGCCUCAGCGCCAAAUUUGUGGUAAAUUUGGACACACUGCUCUUAUUUGCUUCCAUCACACAAAUUUGAACUAUUCACCCCAACCUUCUCCUAAAUCUUUCAAUACUGUUCUCACCACAAAUUCCCAGCUCCCUAAUCCUCCAAAAUUUUCUUACCCUACAAUGGCUCAUCCUGCUGCUACGCAUAACACGGUUCCCGAUACAAAUUGGUACAUGGACUCAGGUGCUACACAUCACUUUACUCUGGACAUCAACGUGCUUGACACUGUGACACCAUUUAGUGGUUCAGAACAGGUGACAGUUGGGAAUGGUAAGCAACUCUGUAUCUCACAUCUUGGUACUGCAAAACUACCAUCUUCGUAUUCUCCUCCUGUUCUACAUCAGGUAUAUCACACUCCAAAAAUUUCAAAUAAUCUUAUUAGUGUUAAAAAAUUGUGUUCUGAUAAUAAAGUUUUUGUUGAAUUUUAUGCCACUCAUUUUCUUGUCAAGGAUCAGGUUUCGAAGAGAGUUCUCCUUUAGGGUCAACUUGAUAAUGGCUUAUACAAAGUUCAGUCGUCAUGCUCUCCUUCUGCUGUUUCCUUUCCUCCUCAAGUUUUCAUAGCCAACAUCAAGUAUCCAAAUCUGUGGCACAAGAGACUAGGCCACCCAGCUUUAUCUGUUGUUAAUCAAAUCUUGGAUUCUUGUAACAUUGCUCGAACACAGAAAAUUUGUUUUAAUUUUUUAAAUUCUUGUCAAUUAGCAAAGAGCCACAGGCUUCCUUUUUCUCUGUCUCCAUCCAUUGCAGAAAAACCUUUUGAGUUAAUUCAUACAGACCUAUGGGGUCUUUCGCUCGUUCGCUCUAUUUCUGGUGCUCUUUAUUUUUUACUUUUCAUUGAUGAUCAUACUCGUUUUACUUGGUUUUAUUUGCUCAAAACAAAAGAUGAAGCAUAUCCUACUUUUCUCAAGUUUCAAGCUCUCAUUGAAAAUCAAUUUAAUACCAAGAUUAAGGCUGUCCAAUCUGAUUGGGGAGGUGAGUUUCGAUCUCUCUCCAUACCGUUUUCAAAUAUGGGCAUUGUCUAUUGUUUAUCGUGUCCAUACACCUCACAACAGAAUGGGCGAGUUGAGCGAAAAAAUCGCCAUGCGAUUGUCCUUUCUUGCUUGCUCUAUGCCCUUAUCUUAUUGGCCUUAUGCCUUUCAAACUGCCACUUACCUUAUUAAUCGUCUCUCUACCCCUGUGCUGCAUCAUCAAUCCUCUUACUUCGCACUCUAUCACAAACUCCCAACUUAUACUCAUCUUAAGGUCUUUGGUUCCUCUUGUUUUCCGUAUUUGCACCCUUAUAAUACCCAUAAACUCCAAUACAGGUCACUAGAGUGUGCUUUUCUUGGUUACAGUUCACACCACAAAGGUUAUCUAUGUCUUGACAUUCAUUCUAGCAGGGUGUAUAUUUCUCGCCAUGUGAUUUUUAAUGAAGAUUCUUUUCCAUUCAAGAAUUUGAAAUCUUCUCUCUCUCAGUCUAUUUCUUCUUCCUCUUCUUUAUAAGUUCCUCUGUUCAUUCUCUUGCCUCCCCUUUCCCCAUCUCCUCUUAUUUCUUCAUCUAUACCUCAUUCUUUUCCCUCUUCUUCUUCUACCUCUAGUACUUGUUCCCCUCUCGUUGCUCCUACCUCUCUUCCUUCCUCUUCACACUCUGUGUCUCCAUCUAUUCCACCUCCUUCUCCACCUUCUCCGAGUGUGGACCUGCUUGCACCUUGUGUGAAUACAAAUUUACAUACUUCUUCUCGCACUCACAAUAUUCAUCCUAUGGUGACUAGAUCUAAGGUUUGUAUCUAUAAACCUAAGUUGUUGUUGAGUGUCUCCAUAGGUUCUCUCACUAAGCCUACUUCCUUUCUUCAAGCUAUUAAAGAUCCUUCAUGGAAGCAAUCCAUGGAAUUCGAGUUUGCUACCCUUCAACACAACAAGACCUGGCAUUUGGUUCCUUCACCUUCCUCAGGCGAAGUAAUCGGUUGUAAAUGGGUCUAUAAGCUAAAGCUUCAGCCUGAUGGCUAAAUUGAGAGAUACAGCCUGCUUAGUAGCUAAGGGUAUCAUCAAAUUGAAGUAUGGACUACUUCGAAACAUUCAGCCUGAUNNNNNNNNNNNNNNNNNNNNNNNNNNNNNNNNNNNNNNNNNNNNNNNNNNNNNNNNNNNNNNNNNNNNNNNNNNNNNNNNNNNNNNNNNNNNNNNNNNNNAGCUUCAGCCUGAUGGCUAAAUUGAGAGAUACAAGGCCUGCUUAGUAGCUAAGGGUUAUCAUCAAAUUGAAGGUAUUGACUACUUCGAAACAUUCAGCCUGAUUGUCAAGCUUUCUACUAUCUGUAUUGUGCUCAGUCUUACUUUUUCCCAGAAUUGGUGUAUUAGACAGCUGGAUGUUCAUAAUGCCUUCUUACAUGGUGACUUAGCUAAAGACGUUUUCAUGGAACAACUGCCUGGAUUUGUUGAUCCUCUCUAUCCUACUCAUGUCUGCAAGUUGGAUAAGUCUCUCUACUGUCUUAAAUAGUCACCUCGGGCUUGGUAUACUAAGCUGAGUACUUCUCGCUACACUUGGGAUUUGUUACUUCUAAGAAUGACUCUUCCUUAUUUAUUUGUCAUUCGUCUCAUGGGUUACUUCUUGUUCUUGUCUAUGUGGAUGAUAUAAUCGUCAUUGGGAGCCACUCUCCUCAGGUUACUCACCUUAUCCAACAGUUGCAUCAUUAGCUUUCUUUAAAGGAUCUUGGUCCUUUACAUUAUUUUCUGGGCUUGGAGGUUCAUCACACCCCUACUGGUAUUCACCUCAGCCAAGCAAAGUAUAUCACUGAUCUCCUUACCCGGGCGGCUAUGUUGGAUGCCAAGCCAUGUCCCACUCCUAUGUCCUCCAACACAUAUCUCUCUUUUCAUGAUGGAGUGGCUCUUGAAAAUGGUUCAGAUUAUCGAAGUUUUGUUGGUGCCCUUUAGUAUUGUACCAUGACACGCCCAGAUAUAGCUUUUGCAAUAAAUAAAGUGUGUCAAUUCAUGCACCAUCCCUCUAAUGUUCACUGGCAGGCUAUAAAACGUAUUCUCCGGUACUUAAAGGGCACAUCUCAUUUUGGUCUCUUCCUACAGCCUUCCUAUGACUUCAACAUCACUUGCUAUACAAAUGCCGACUGGGCUUCCUGUCCUGAUGACAAGUGUAGCACCAGUGGCUACUGCCUCUUUCUUGCCUCUAAUCUGGUUUCUUGGUCAUCUUCCAAACAAAAAGUGGUCUCCCGCUCCAGCGCCGAAUCAGAGUACCGAGGGGUAGCAAAUGGGGCUGCUGAAAUUGCUUGGACUGAAUCUCUUCUUUGUGAACUUUCCAUUACUCCCCCUCCCCUCAUUCUCUGUGACAAUAUCAGUGCCACGUACUUAGCUGCCAAUCCUAUUUUGCAUGCCCGCACCAAACAUGUGGAAAUCGACUAUCACUUUGUCACGGAACGUGUUCUUCAAUGCUCUCUUUUUGUCCAGUUUACACCUUCUGAUGAUCAACUUGCUGAUUGCAUGACCAAGCCUCUCUCCACCCAACGUUUCAUCACUCUACGCUCCAAGCUCACUGUUCUCACUAGACCAAUGAGCUUGAGGGGGGAUGUUAAGCCUAAAGAUGUAAUUAGUUAGGAUAUUCUUUUCCCUCUAGUCUUGUAGCUCCACGUGUACAGUUGGUUAGGACCUCAUUGUAUAUAAUGCCUGCCCUGUUAUUGUAGAAGACAACAGAGAUAAAUAAUAUUAACAUUUUUCCUCUCAUCUCUCUCUCUGUUUCCCUCUGUUUUCAUCUCCUCUCUCAUCUGAACCAAAUGAUCCAUGUUAACCUUGGCUUGGUUUGAUUUGGCUCUAUCUUAGAGAGCUCAAGGAUCACGUCAACUCUGGUUUCUACUAUUCAGGUCCAUUCCCAUAUGAACUGGUUCAAAUUUGAGAAAAUGGUAACAGACCUUUAGUGAUGUUGGUUUGGAGCCAGUUGCCAAACCCGCCCUGAGCUUUACCACUAAUGUCAAGGGAGAAAGCCAUUUGAACAAAAACAAUAGCUUCAAGGGACUGAAUCGUGGAUGAAAUCUGAUCCACAUUUCUUCUCAUUUUGGAAACAAAUGAGAACUUAACUAAGAAGAUUCUACGGCCUCAUAGUGCUUUUCCUGAUCUAAGGUUGGUUCGUUUCCCAAACUGUGAGAUGCACGUGCCAGACUUCAGAACUCUCACGCUCAGGAGUGUAUCCACGUGGUGGACAUAAGAUGGUGGCUUAAGAUCUGGUGUCGGUGGCUUUACUUUACUAGGAGAGUAGUGUGUCUUCAUCUCAUUCACUGCCGGAGGGUGGCGUAAGCAGUGACGCUAAGGUGGGGCACAGUCAAUAUCAUUUGCAUUUGACCAUUAUAGUUUUCUCCCGGCUUUAAAGUAACCUUAUCGUGAUAAAGGAUUACUAGCACUAGUUCAGAUGAUAGUCAUGUUAAAUUCGGACCAUGUUUGUGUCACAUUAUCAGCAACCAUGUGUUUAUGGUUCAUGCUUUCUGCAACUAAAAUUGAUAUAUAACCAGGUGAACUUCAAUCUAAAUUCUGAAAGUACUCAUGUGAUAGAUGGUGCCCGUCUGCAGAGUCCAUCAAUUGAAAAAUGGAGUGAGUGUAUCUAUAAGAGGGAAGGCUUGGAAAAUGUUCAGUUUUCUGGGAAUUCAACAAGGAUCUAAAAUAGAUUGUUUUCUUUGCUGAUUUCAAUGGUUGAAAUUUGAGAAGAUUGUGUCCACAUAACACAACUAUUACUGGUCCUUCUGUUGCAAUUUAUCCUCUAAAGCUCUAGCAUGUCUUCCAAUUCCCACUUCCCUGUUACUCCAGGAAAGCUAUUUCUGUCAUUGUGAAGAAGAAAAGAGAAUGUACAUAUCGAUGCUUUUAAGUGACUGGAGCAUUUAUAUCAGGUGGUCUGCAGCCAUAUAUGCCACUUUGUGAAGAUUGGAACAGUCAAUCACUAGGCUAUAUAUUAGUGUGGCCCAGCCACUUUAAUCAAGGACAAGUCUUCAUACUUAAAGUCAAAUUCUGCCUUUAGUCUCAUUAUAAAUUUCUGUUUAAAUAUUAAGCAAACAUUUGUUUAAUGCGAUUAAGACAGUACUAACUCAAUACCUGUUCUAUUUUUGGAUGCAAAUGCUUGAUGGUUUCAUCAUUGGAUGGGAUAAAGGUGCAUUCAUGAUUAGGAAUACUAGUAGUUAUAUUUUAAUUCUCUUUUUUCUCAAUGAGACUUGUUGGCACAAUUUUGCUGUUGAGAAACCUACCUCUCCAUGGAAAAUAAGUUGUGAUUGAUAGUACUGGAUAUAUUCAAGAAAUCUAAAUAUAGAUAGCACAAAAUAUUAUCGACAUAAAUAGCAUUAACAGCGUACGUAUGUCUCAGUGCUCAUCAGCUAUAAGCAUGGGGCAAACACUUACUAUGAGCAACUUACGUCAAAAUUCCAGAAUAGGACAUAGAAGUGACAGAUAUAGAACAUUGCAUAUGAGUCACAAGAAAGGAAAUUACGGGUGCAUAGCAGCUCUUAUUUUACAUACUACUACUCAUACUGAUCAAAGUCACUCAGUUGGGAUGGGUGGGAGUAGGAGGUUUGUGGGGUGGCUUGUGCGGAGGAGUUGGCAGCUUCUUUCCAGGACCUGGUUGCUUCUCUGCUGGAGUUGAAGGAGGCUUAAUCUUCCGAGGUGGCUUGUAUGAGUCUUCAGCAUUCUCAGCUGGAGGGUGACCAGGGUUGUGACCAUAAUGUGGUGGCUUCUCUCCCUUAGGUGGUUUGCCAACUGGGGUUGGUGGCUUGUAUGAGUCUUCAGCAUUCUCAGCAGGAGGGUGACCAGGGUUGUGACCAUAAUGUGGUGGCUUCUCUCCCUUAGGUGGUUUGCCAACUGGGGUUGGUGGCUUGUGUUCUGGGAGUGGCUUCUCCCCCUUGGGAGGUUUUUCCAAUGGGGUUGGUUUGUGUUCAGGAGGUGGCUUCUCCACUGGAGGCUUGUGUUCAGGAGGUGGCUUCUCCACCGGAGGCUUGUGUUCAGGUGGUGGCUUCUCCACCGGAGGCUUAUGCUCUGGUGGUGGCUUCUCGAAUGGGGGAUGCUUAGGAUAAUCAGCAAGUGAGGGGGCGGUGAGAACCACCAGGCCAAGCAACACCACUAGCAAAUAUGUAGGAGACAUCUUUGGGUUUGGGCUCAGAUGGUGCAAAACUAGGAGAAUUGGCUAGCCUUUUAUAGCGGAUCGUACCCAAUAAUGAAAUGACACGUGUCAUUAUGACCCAUGUGUAAUGGGGUCGAUUUGGGUCCUACAGUGUUGAAAACUUCGACAUCCACUUUUGGCCUUUUGCUUUCUCUACAGCCGCCUUGCUUUUUCCCUCUUUCCUUUUGUUUUCCUCCUGCCCCAUUCUAUCAACUAAACACAAUUAUGUAGUUGUUUAAUUCUUAAAUGAGAUAUUAUCCGUCAAUCGUAUUAUAUUUUAUCAAGAGAGAACGGAGUGCAAUGUGGCUGUAAUUUUAUCGUUUAGUUUUAUCUCUUGGACCACUGCAUUUUUGUUAAGAGGUGCAAUAAUACACGUCUUUAUCUGCCAUUCAAUAUUUACAGUAAAGAGAGGGCACAAAACUCUUCACUUCGCACCAUAAUUAUUUUGUUUUCUGGACACCCCGGGGCCCUUUGGUUGGUUUGGGGGUCAGAAAGUGAACAUCAUAGGGGGUUUUUCCCUUAUGUGCAUUUGUAUCUGAUGGCUUUAACUCGCCUUGUUACUACAAAGAAACUGUCACAGAUAGGAACUUAUUCCAGGCUGAGUAUCUCCUCAUAGACCCUAUAAAAGAAGACAAGUCAUAAUGAACAUCUAACCUUUGUUCAAUUUGAUUCAAUGCCCCCAUUGUGUCCAUCUCACAAAUCUGAAUUAUUAUAUCCAUUGAAUACAUAAAUUAAUGAAGAAAAUAUGAAACCCAAGAUACAUCUCUGCACAACCUCAACCCUGGUUGCUAUGUUUCCCUUCUAUUCACAUGAUUUGAUGCUAAUUGCCAAACUUGCAACAAGCCCUGAGUUUGACACCUAGUAUCGAUGGGCGAAUUUAAAGUCUCCUCCAAACAUAUAUUCCACAGCUUGAAGCUCACAGAAGAUGUUACAGGCAGGGAAAAACCUUCAGAGUUCGCUACCAAAGAUAAUUAUUAAGGAGAUAUCACAAAGAGAAUUCCAAGGGGUCUGAAUCAAAGACAAAUUGGUCGUUCGUGGGGGUUCUUACUUUCUUUUGGGUAUAACUCACUGAGGGCACUGUCUUUGUUAUUUGCAUUUCACAUUUAGAGUUCUGUUCUGGAAACAUAUAAAAGGAGCAUCAUUUUGUUCUUGGGUAACCCAUAGUCGUGAGUGGGUCCAUUUGCAUGCUACUUAGUUGAAAAGUUGGACCAUUUGCUCCGACGCCUACCUCCCGGAUUCCAUGCUCGGAUAAAACAAGAAUAAAAAAAAUAUUUAUAAUUUACAAAUGGGGGAAAGAAAAAAAUGUCAACAACAAACCAGGAAAAAAGAGUAGUAAAAUUCAUGUCACAUGCUAGUGAGAGAAGGGGUUGUUACACUCACUCGAAGUUCUUUCCAAAAUAUCGCAUGGUAUUUUAUUUUAUGUGUCAGCGCAGUUGUGAAUGGAACGUGCAAAAGUCCAAAUUGGCGUUUUUCCUUUUCCCGUGUAGGAUGGCGACCUUUAAUAAAUAUUUAAAACAAAAAACGAAAAAAAGGAGGGAAAAGGGAUCAGAAAAGAUAAAACAAUGUGUACAAGAGCUCAAUUAGUUUGCAAAUUACUGUUUGGAUUUUGAUAGUAUUUUAUUUGUCCAUCUAUAUUUGAUGGAAAAGAGAAUUUAAGAUAUUUCUGAAACAAAAGCAUUAGUGUAAAACUAAAUUAAGGUAUAAUUAAGUUAGUUCAAUGCAUUAAUUUAAGAAACUUGAUCUAUCCAAAGUACAAAAUUAGAUGAAAUCCAUUUCAAUGGUUAAAAUGAUCAAAAUCAAACUUUUUCUAAGUAUUUUUUAAAAGCAUCAAUAUUAAAAGACAAUUUUAUAUUUAGUCGGAGUUUGGACAAAACCAAAAAGCACACAAAAUCCAAGCGACCAUCUCUAGCUUGGAUAGUCACUUGAUCCCACCUAGAGAUGUGCAUGAGUAAAAGGAUUUGAAAAUGGAAAUUGACUAAAUAUUUAGUUGAUCAAUUAAAUUUGCAAUGUCAUAUGCAAUCCUAAUAGCUAGUCAUCUAAUCAAUUAGGUAGUCAAUCAAGUGUUUGUAAUGACUAUUUUGUACAAAAAACCACAUGUAUAGUUAAAUAUAAUGCAUUUCAUUUAUAAAUCUUCUAAUUCUUGAAUAACGAUCCUAUCAUCCUUUGAAAAUUUUUAUUACACCUUUUUUACUUUUGUUCUAAAACUUACAUAUCACCCUUAAUUGUACCAUGAGAACCUAGCUAUUUUUUUUUUUUUUGUAAUUCAUCAAAGUUAGCUUUUGUAUUCAUUGUUGUAUUAUUUUUAGUAUAACUUAGAAAGCUAGUGUUUUCAAGUGAGUAAAAUUAACUUGUAAAUAUUGUAAAGAUUCAUUGAUAUGUAUCUUAAACUAAGUGUACAAAUUAAAACAUUUGCUAGUAGAUUUUCUCAAAAUUUAGAAUAGAGCUUGAGGCUAUUGAAAUAGGUGGGGUUACACCAAACCACAUCACAUCGUUGUUUGCACCUUUUUUCACUCUCUUUUACUUAGUUUCUCUAUAUUUGUUGUCUAGUAAUAUCCUAUAGGCUUGAUGGGUUAGGGAGCAUCCCUUUGUGAAAAAAUUUCAUUCAAUUCUUAGUUGUAUUACGCAUAUAUAAAAUGCCUCAUUGUUUUAAUGGUAUUCAGUCGUGGCAUCACAGAUAUGGGCAUCUAAAUUUUAAAAGUUUGAAACUUUUGUAAAGCAUGUUGAUAAAAUCCAUGAGAGUUGUGUACUUGGGAAGCAACAUCGAGGUGACUUUAUUUUUUUUUCCUUUUAUAAUGCCACACCUAAGUCCGGUUUCUAAAUGCUAAAGUGAAAGGGUAGGUAUGGACCAUUGAAAUGUGAUCACAACUUUUGGCCUUUUCCUUUCUCUGCAGCCAUGUUGUCUCUUUUUUCUUUUGCAUGAUUUUCUUACCAAAACAGAAUCAUAGACUUGUUUAGUCUCUAAGCUACUAUAUUAUAUCUCGGUGGACUUUUAAGAGUGCAACCGACAUAGAGCACAUGCAAGUGGGCAUAUGGGACAUGAAAUUUCUUCUUACAAAGAUUGCAUGAUUUUUAUAUUAGAGUUGUUCACGUGCAAUGUAUUUAGCUUGUUUUGCAGUUAAAUUAAUUGGAUAAGUAAACAUUGGCAUUUCUAAAUCGACUGUGAAGUGCUUCAUGUACGUGUAAAGUAUUAGAAAUUUCUUUCUUGGCAACUUGUUUUUUCCUUGCCAUCUACUGGUAGGUUUGACUAAAAUUAUAUUCCCUGUCAUGCUAAUUAAUUUUCAUGUGCAUGCUCAAAAGAAGAGUAUGACCUUAGUGCACCAAAAUCACUUUGAUUAAUUUGUGAUAGGUUUUUUUGCAUCAUUUAGAUAAUGUUUAGUUCUAAGAAAAAUUUAUAUAAAAAUGGUUUAUUUAUCUUACAUAUAUAUAUAUAUAUAUAUAUUUUUUUUUUUUUCAUUUUUUUUUCUUCUAUUUUAUUUAUUUAUUUUAUUUUCCUUAUGUUUUCCUCACAUUUUCCGGAACUAAACAUAGUCUUACGAAAUCAACAAUUGCCUUCAACUGAGUAGAUUCUGUUGUUUUAGCAAUGUUAGGCUGCUAACUUGUGGUGGUACGAACCAAAUGACCCAUGUUAAUCUUGGCUUGGUUUGAUUUGGCUCUAUCUCAGAGAGCUAAAGGAUCACGUCAACUCUGGUUUCUACUAUUCAGGUCCAUUCCCAGAUGAACUGGUUCAAAUUUGAGAAAAUGGUAACAGACCUUUAGUGAUGUUGGUUUGGAGCCAGUUGCCAAACCCGCCCUGAGCUUUACCACUAAUGUCAAGGGAGAAAGCCAUUUGAACAAAAACAAUAGCUUCAAGAGACUGAAUCGUGGAUGAAAUCUGAUCCACAUUUCUUCUCAUUUUGGGAAAAAAUGAGAACUUAACUACAAAGAUUCUACUGCCUCAUUCAUAGUGCUUUUCCUGAUCCAAGGUUGGUUCGUUUCCCAAAUUGUGAGGUGCACGUGCCACUCUCACGCUCAGGAGUGUAUCCACGUGGUGGACAUCAGAUGGUGGCUUAAUAUCUGGUGUCGGUGGCUUUACUUUACUAGGAGAGUAGUGUGUCUUCAUCUCAUUCACUGCCGGAGGGUGGCGUAAGCAGUGACGCUAAGGUGGGGCACAGUCAAUAUCAUUUGCAUUUGACCAUUAUAGUUUUCUCCCGGCUUGAAAGUAACCUUAUCGUGAUAAAGGAUUACUAGCACUAGUUCAGAUGACCGUCAUGUUAAUUCGGACCAUGUUUGUGUCACAUUAUCAGCAACCAUGUGUUUAUGGUUCAUGCUAUCUGCAACUAAACUUGAUAUAUAACCAGGUGAACUUCAAUCAAAAUUCUGGAAGUACUCUUGUGAUAGAUGGUGCCUGUCUGCAGAGUCCAUCAAUUGAAAAAUGGAGUGAGUGUAUCUAUAAGAGGGAAGGCUUGGCAAAUGUUCAGUUUUCUGGGAAUUCAACAAGGAUCUAAAAUAGAUUGUUUUCUUUGCCGACUUCAAUGGUUGAAAUUUGAGAAGAUUGUGUCCACAUAUCACAACUAUUACUGGUCCUUCUGUUGCAAUUUAUCCUGUAAGGCUCUAACAUGUCUUCCAAUUCCCACUUCCCUGUUACUCCAGGAAAGCUAUUUCUGUCAUUGUGAAGAAGAAAAGAGAAUGUACAUAUCGAUGCUUUUAAGUGACUGGAGCAUUCAUAUCAGGUGGUCUGCAGCCAUAUAUGCCACUUUGUGAAGGUUGGAACAGUCAAUCACUAGGCUAUAUAUUGGUGUGGCCCAGCCACUUCAAUCAAGGACAAGUCUUCAUACUUAAAGUCAAAUUCUGCCUUUAGUCUCAUUAUAAAUUGCUGUUUAAAUAUUAAGCAAACUUUUGUUUAAUGCGAUUAAGACAGUACUAACUCAAUACUUGUUCUAUUUUUGGAUGCAAAUGCUUGAUGGUUUCAUCAUUGGAUGGGAUAAAGGUGCAUUCAUGAUUAUGAAUACUUGUAGUUAUAUUUUCAUUCUCUUUUUUCUCAAUGAGACUUGUUGGCACAAUGUUGCUGUUCAGAAACCUACCUCUCCAUGGAAAAUAAGUUGCGAUUGAUAGUACUGGAUAUGUUCAAGAAAGCUAAAUAUAGAUAGCACAAAAUAUUAUCGAUAUAAAUAGCAUUAACAGCGUACGUAUGUCUCAAUGCUCAUCAGCUAUAAGCAUGGGACAAACACUUACUAUGAGCAACUUACGUCAAAAUUCCAGAAUAGGACAUAGAAGUGACAGAUCUAUAUAUAUAGAACACUGCAUAUGAGUCACAAGAAAGGAAAUUACGGGUGCAUAGCAGCUCUUAUUUUACAUACUACUACUCAUACUGAUCAAAGUCACUCAGUUGGGAUGGGUGGGAGUAGGAGGUUUGUGGGGUGGCUUGUGCGGAGGAGUUGGCAGCUUCUUUCCAGGACCUGGUUGCUUCUCUGCUGGAGUUGAAGGAGGCUUAAUCUUCCGAGGUGGCUUGUAUGAGUCUUCAGCAUUCUCAGCUGGAGGGUGACCAGGGUUGUGACCAUAAUGUGGUGGCUUCUCUCCCUUAGGUGGUUUGCCAACUGGGGUUGGUGGCUUGUAUGAGUCUUCAGCAUUCUCAGCAGGAGGGUGACCAGGGUUGUGACCAUAAUGUGGUGGCUUCUCUCCCUUAGGUGGUUUGCCAACUGGGGUUGGUGGCUUGUGUUCUGGGAGUGGCUUCUCCCCCUUGGGAGGUUUUUCCAAUGGGGUUGGUUUGUGUUCAGGAGGUGGCUUCUCCACUGGAGGCUUGUGUUCAGGAGGUGGCUUCUCCACCGGUGGCUUGUGUUCAGGAGGUGGCUUCUCCACCGGAGGCUUAUGCUCUGGUGGUGGCUUCUCCACCGGAGGCUUAUGCUCUGGUGGUGGCUUCUUGAAUGGGGGAUGCUGAGGGUAAUCAGCAAGUGAGGGGGCGGUGAGAACCACCAGGCCAAGCAACACCACUAGCAAAUAUGUAGGAGACAUCUUUGGGUUUGGGCUCAGAUGGUGCAAAACUAGGAGAAUUGGCUAGCCUUUUAUAGCGGAUCGUACUCAAUAAUGAAAUGACACGUGUCAUUAUGACCCAUGUGUAAUGGGGUCGAUUUGGGUCCUACAGUGUUGAAAACUUCGACAUCCAGUUUUGGCCUUUUGCUUUCUCUACAGCCGCCUUGCUUUUUCCCUCUUUCCUUUUGUUUUCCUCCUGCCCCAUUCUAUCAACUAAACACAAUUAUGUAGUUGUUUAAUUCUUAAAUGAGAUAUUAUCGGUCAAUCGUAUUAUAUUUUAUCAAGAGAGAACGGAGUGCAAUGCAGCUGUAAUUUUAUCGUUUACUUUUAUCUCUUGGACCACUGCAUUUUUGUUAAGAGGUGCAAUAAUACACGUCUUUAUCUGCCAUUCAAUGUUUACAGUAAAGAGAGGGCACAAAACUCUUCACUGCUCUGCAUGUGUCCCAAAAAUGCGAUUGGACAAAUUAUGAUUUGCAUGCUAAAAAGAGGCAAAUGAGGUUAAUUCGCACCAUAAUUAUUUGGUUUUCUGGACACCAUAAAAAGAUGUUAUACAGGCAGGGAAAAACCUUCAGAGUUAGCUACCAAAGAUAAUUAUCAAGCAGAUAUCACCAAGAGAAUUCCAUAGAGUCUGAAUCAAAGACAGAUUGCUCGCUCGUGGGGGUUCUUACUUUCUUUUGGGUAUAACUCACUGAGGUCACUGUCUUUUUUAUUUGCAUUUCACAGUUAGAGUUCUGCUCUGGAAGGUUUGUUCUGGAAACAUAUAAAAGGAGCAUCAUUUUGUUCUUGGGUAACCCAUAGUCGUGAGUGGGUCCAUUUGCAUGCUACUUAGUUGAAAAGUUGGACAAUUUGCUCCGACGCCUACCUCCUGGAUUCCAUGCUCGGUAAAACAAGAAUAAAAAAAAAUAUAUAAUUUACAAAUGGGGGAAAGAAAAAAUGUCGGAAAAAAUAGUAAAAUUCAUGUCACAUGCUAGUGAGAGAAGGGGUUGUUACACUCACUCGAAGUUCUUUUCAAAAUAUCGAAUGGUAUUUUACUUUAUGUGUCAGCGCAGUUGUGAAUGGAACGUGCAAAAGUCCAAAUUGGCGUUUUUAUUUUUCCCAUGUAGGAUGGUGACCUUUAAUAAAUAUUUAAAACAAAAGACGAAAAAAAAAAGGAGGGAAAAGGGAUCACAAAAGAUAAAAUAAUGUUUACAAAAGCUCAAUUAGUUUGCAAAUUACUGUUUGGAUUUUGAUAGUAUUUUAUUUGUCGUUCUAUAUUUGAUGUAAAAGAGAAUUUAAGAUAUUUCCGAAGCAAAAGCAUUAGUUUGCUCUGUGAUGUCCCACAUCGAAUAGGGGAGAAAGUUUCUGGCGCUAUAUAUGUAGAGGCUCCUCUUAACCAAGUAGAUGCGUUUUAAAACCAUGAGGGCCCCCUUAGGUCCAAAGCGGACAAUAUCUACAUGAUUGGGUGUAAGUCAUUACAAAUGGUAUCAGAGCCGAUCCCCGACCCCGGUGUGGGGGUUUGUUUGGCCCUGUAAGGGGUGUUUGUCUGUUUGACCCCACAAUCCCAUGGGACACAACGAGGACGUUGUGUCUGCAUGGGGGGGCGUUUGUGAUGUCCCACAUCGGAUAGGGGAGAAAGUUCCUAGUGCUAUAUAUGUAGAUGUUUCUCUUAACCAAGUAGAUGCAUUUUAAAAUUGUGAGGGCCUCUUUGGGCCCAAAGCGGACAAUAUCUACAUGGUUGAGUGUAAGUCAUUACAUGCUCCAUGUCAAUUUCAGCAUUUCUCAUAUGUUUCACACAUACACAGAAGAGCAUCGUUUUUUAAAGCAUGCAUUUAUGUUGGAUUAAUUUGGAUUUUGUGGGAACUGGGGCAAGGAUCACAUGGAAGAGAGGUUGACUUUUUUCAGUACUUCAAUGGUUGAAAUAUGUGAAGGCUUGAUUGAUACUAAAGCUUGAAAUUGCGACUCUGUCAUUUGUAAAAAAAUAUGACAGCUUCCAUGCUCUCGUUUGGUUGCAUUGUCCGGUCGAGAGGUGCAAAAAGCAUUCUCUCUCUUCUAAUAGUCUUUUCGUUUAAAUCAAGGGAUUUGCCUUCCCGGUCGAGGUCCAAUAGAGGGUAACGGUCACCUACUAAACAUUAAAUGCUCCAACAACUAGUGAACUGAUCGACCCCAGCUCGACUAGUUGAGGUUACUUUUUGGUUUUCUUGUCUCCCGAGGUUAGAAACCUAUAAAUAGAGAGCUUCACUUCAUUUAUGAGUAAGAGAACACCUAAAUUUAUUUGUUUACCUACUUGUUUUUGCCAUAAAAGCUCUCAUUUCUUUUCUUGGUGUAUUAAAUCUCCAUUUGCAUAUCCUUUAGUGCACCUUUGUGAUUCAUUCUAGCCUUGAGUUGUAUUUAAGCCUUUGUUGAGCUAGGUUGAGAGUUUCAUACUUGUUUAUUGAGUGUUAAAGCCUUCAAGUGAGUUAAAACUUGAAGAGAUUGUGUAAGAGCCCAUUGGAGUCGGAAUCCAAGUGUAAAGGUGAUUAAAAGCUUGGUUGAAGCUUCAAGUUAGUGGAACUCUCACUCGGUUAUGAGCUUGAGAAGAGUGGACAUAGACAAGGCAGUGUCGAACCACUAUAAAAUCUGAGUUUGAUUUCUCUAACCUUAUCUCUUUAUAUUUGCUUCUCUUGUGCUUAAAUUUUUUGUGUUUAAAAAGAAUUUUUAAAAACUCAAUUCACCCCCUUCUUGGGAGUUUUUCUCUUUUAAGAUCAGCUUUUAUUUUCUCAAUUGGUAUCAGAACUAUGCCUCUUGUUUAAGACUUAAUCGUCUAAGAGGAAAUGGCUAAUCCAUCAAGUUCAUCUCACAUUGAAAGUUUUGCAACCAAUAGACUUCUUUUUUUUUUUUUGCGGGAACUGAUUAUCCCUAUUGGAAAACUAAAAUGACUUGGUUUUUACAAUCAAUUGAUUUAGAUGUAUGAGAUGCCAUUGAAGAUGACCUAACUUUUCCUUCAAAACUAGUUGAUGGAGUCAUGGUUCCAAAACCUAAGCAAGAAUGGGAUGAGCGUGAUUGAAGAAAUUUUCAAUUAAAUGCUAAAGUCGUUUAUACUUUGCAAUGCUCUAUGGACAGAAAUGAAUAUAAUAGAAUAUGUCAAUGCAAAUCGGUUAAAGAAAUUUGGAGAUUGCUUGAAAUAACUCAUAAAGGAACAAAUCAAGUUAAAGAGUCAAAAAUCAAUUUACUUGUUCAUAGAUAUGAAUUGUUUUUUAUGAAAGAUAAUGAAACUAUUGUUAAGAUGAUCACUAGGUUCACCAACAUUGUUAAUGGUCUUAAAGCCUUGGGAAAGACCUACAAGGAAUCCGAAAACGUGAUGAAGAUCUUGAGGUCACUUCCAUCAAAGUGGCAUACCAAGGUCACCGCAAUUUAAGAAGCAAAAGACUUGAUCAAGCUACCUUUGGAGGAGUUCAUAGGGUCAUUGAUGACAUAUGAAAUCAAUUUGGCAAAGAAGUAACAAAAAGGUGAAGACAAAAAGAAGAAGAACAUAACUCUCAAAGCUACAACUAAGGAAGAAGAAGUUGAAGAAGAAAAACAAAUUGAAGAAGAUGAAGAUUUAGCCCUCAUCACAAGAAAGUUCAACAAAUUCAUGAGGGGUGAAAGGUUUAGAAGAAGAAGGUUCACUUCUAGAAGAGACUUUUCUAAAAAGGAAUCUUCAUCUAAUGGUGACAAAAAGAGAUGGGAAGAGAAAAGAGACUUGGUGUGUUUCAAGUGCAAGAAACCGGGACACAUUAAAUAUGAUUGUCCUCUCUACAAAAGUGAAGUCAAGAGGAAAAAGAAUAAGGCAAUGAUGGCCACUUAGAGUGAAAGUGAAGAUGAAUCAUCCGAAGAAGAAAAUGAGAAAGAAGUGGCAAACAUGUGUUUCAUGGCAAUAGAUGAACUUGAUGAGGUAAAAUCUAACCUUAGUGAUUAAGAUAUACAUGAUGCAUUUGAAGAAUUGUAUGAGGAUUUUUAAAAACUUAGUUUGAAAAAUAUUUCUCUUAAAAAGAAAGUUCAACAACUUGACAAAGAACUUAGAGAAGUAAAAGAAAAAUUUUCAAAUGUUAAAGUUUCUAAAACUCAUCUUGAAAAAGAAAAUGAGAUUCUAAGAAAGAAAAAUGAAUAGUUGAACUCCUCUCUUUCAAUCUUUUCUUCUAGACAAAAAUCUUUUGAAAUGAUUCUAACUAGCUAAAAAUGUGUUUUUGACAAACAAGGGUUAAGAUUUAAAUCUUCAAAAAAUCAAAAGUAUUUUAAAAACUAUUUUGUAAAGGAAUCCACAAGUGCAAGUCCUUCCACUACUUGCAACUUUUGUGGAAGAGAAUGGCACAUUAGUAGUACGCCCUUUAAGAAAUGGUUCUCAAAAGAAUUUAAAUGCAAAAACUAAAAAAGAUUUGGAUUGAGAAAUCCAAGGUCACUAACCCUCAAGGACCCAAAAAGAUAUAGGUACCUAAAUCAACUUGAGUUUUAUGUUGUAAGGUUCAAAGAAUGAUAAGUGGUUCUUAGAUAAUGGUUGCUCAAGACACAUGACCGGAGAUGAAUCCAAGUUUGCUUUUCUUAAAAAGAAAAAUGGAGGAUAUGUUACCUUUGGAGACAAUGCAAAAGAAAGGAUGAUUGGUCAAGGCAACAUUGGUAAUGGCACAUCCUCUCUCAUUGAAAGUGUUUUAUUAGUAGAUGGUUUCAAACAUAACCUUUUAAGCAUUAGUCAAUUUUGCGACAAAGGUUUUUAAGUGAUUUUUUAAGCAUCUCAUUGCAUCAUCAAGGAUAUUCAAAAUGAUAAAACCAUUUUCAUGGGCCAUAGAUGUGAUAAUGUUUAUGCUAUAAAUAUUUCAAAAUAUGAUGGCCAUGAUAGAUGUUUUUCAAGCAUGCAUGAUCAAAGUUGGUUGUGCCAUAGGAGAUUGAGACAUGCUAACAUAGACCUCAUUUCCCAACUCAACAAAGAUGAACUUGUUAGAGGCCUUCCCAAAAUAAUUUUUUAAAAAGAUAAAGUUUGUGAAGCUUGUCAAGUGGGAAAGUAAAUCAAAAACUCUUUUAAAAACAAAAACUUCAUUUCCACAUCUAGGCCACUUGAGUUGUUGCAUAUGGAUUUAUUUGGUCCCUCUAGGACACCAAGUCUUAGAGGAAAUUCUUAUGCAUAUGCUAUUGUGGACGACUUCUCUAGAUACACAUGAGUCUUGUUUUUUAGUCAAAAGAAUAAAGUUUUUUAUGAGUUUUCAAAGUUUUGCAAUAAGAUUCAAAAUGAAAAAGGUUUUUCAAUUACUUAUAUAAGAAGUGAUCAUGGGAGAGAAUUCGAAAAUAUUGAUUUUGAAGAGUAUUGCAAUGAGCAUGGAAUUGACCACAAUUUUUUGGCUCUUAGAACUCCUCAACAAAAUGGGGUAGUUGAAAGGAAAAAUAGAACUCUUCAAAAAAUGACAAGAACCAUACUAAAUGAAAACAACUUACCAAAAUAUUUUUAGGCCAAAACGGUUAACACUUCUUGUUAUGUUUUAAAUAGAGUAUUAUUGAGGCUCAUACUUAAGAAAACUCCCUAUGAGCUUUGGAAAAACAAAAAACCCAACAUUAGUUAUUCCAAAGUCUUUGGAUGCAAUAUUUUAUAAUAAACACCAAAGACAAUCUUGGAAAAUUUGAUGCAAAAUUGGAUGUUGGAAUUUUCCUUGGUUACUCAACUUCAAGUAAAGCUUUUCGAGUUUUAACAAAAGAACCAUGGUUGUAGAGGAGUCCAUCCAUGUUAUUUUUUAUGAAUCUCCAAGAAAGAGAGAGGAUUGAUGAUGAUUUAGGUUUGAAGACCUCUAUAGGAAGAUUGCAAAUCGAAGAUAGAAGACAACAAGAAGAAAAUGGAGAGAAUCCAAAGAAAGAAGGAUCACCAUUGGCACUACCCCCUCAUCAACAAGCGCAAGGUGAAUCAAGUCAAGAGCUUCCUAAAGAAUGGAAGUUUGUCAUCAAUCACCCACAAGAUCAAAUUAUAGGCAAUCCAUCUAGUGGGGUAAGAACUAGAUCCUCUCUUAGAAAUAUUUGCAAUAAUCUAGCUUUUAUCUCUCAAAUUGAGCCUAAAAAUAUAAAUGAUGUUUUAGAUGAUGAAAAUUGGAUAAUUGCAAUGCAAGAAGAGUUAAAUCCAUUUGAAAGAAGUGGAGUAUGGGAAUUAGUACCAAGACCUUCAAAUCAAAGUGUUAUUGGAACUAGAUGGAUCUUUAGAAAUAAAAUGGAUGAAAAUAGCAUAAUUGUUAGAAAUAAAGCAAGAUUGGUAGCCCAAGGUUUUAAUCAAGAAGAAAUGAUAGAUUAUGAAGAAACCUUUGCCCCCGUAGCUAGGUUGGAAGCCAUUAGGAUGCUACUUGCCUUUGCAUGUUUUAAAGACUUUGUUUUAUAUCAAAUGGAUGUGAAAAGUGCUUUUUUAAAUGGUUUUAUAAAUGAAGAAGUAUAUGUUGAACAACCACCCGGUUUUCAAAGUUUCAACUUUCCUAACCAUGUUUUUAAACUUAAAAAGACACUUUAUGGUUUGAAACAAGCACCUAGAUCAUGGUAUGAAAAAUUGAGUAAAUUUCUUUUGAAAAAAAUGUUUUAAAAUGGGAAAAAUUGACACAACUCUUUUUAUAAAAACCAAAGAAAAUGAUAUGCUCUUAGUUCAAAUAUAUAUUGAUGAUAUCAUUUUUGGUGCUACUAAUGUCUCUCUUUAUGAAGAAUUUUCUAAGUGCAUGCAUAGUGAGUUUGAAAUGAGCAUGAUAGGAGAACUCAACUUCUUCCUUGGACUUCAAAUCAAGCAACUAAAGGAAUGAACCUUCAUCAAUCAAGCAAAGUAUAUAAGAGAUCUUCUCAAAAGGUUCAACAUGGAAGAAGCCAAAACAAUGAAGACUCUAAUGAGCUCAUCCAUUAAGCUUGAUAAGGAUGAGAAAGGUAAAUCCAUUGACUCUAUUAUGUAUAGAGGCAUGAUAGGUUCUUUGCUCUAUUUGACCACUAGUAGACCUUACAUUAUGUAUAGUGUGUGUUUGUGUACUAGAUUUCAAUCUUGUCUUAAAAAAUCUCACUUAAGUGUCGUGAAAAGAAUCCUCAAAUAUUUGAAAGGGACAAUGGACAUAGGCUUAUGGUAUCCUAAGAGUGAUAACUUUGAAUUAAUUGGUUUUUUGGAUGCUGAUUUUGUCAGUUGUAGGGUUGAAAAAUAAAACACUAGUGGCACUUUUCAUUUCUUAAGACACUUACUUGUCUCAUGGCAUAAUAAGAAGCAAAAUUUGGUAGCUUUGUCAACAGCAGAAGCUAAAUACAUAGCAACUGGUUUAUGUUGUGCACAAAUCCUUUGGAUGAAAUAAACACUUAGUGAUUUUGAUUUAUCUUUUGAGCAUAUUCCUAUUAAAUGUGAUAAUAGUAGUGCCAUAAGUAUAUCAAAAAAUCUCGUGCAACACUCUAGGACUAAGCAUAUAGAGAUUAGACAUAAUUUUCUUAGAUAUCAUACACAAAAGGAUGAUAUAACACUUGAAUUUGUAAGCAUAAAAGACCAACUUGCCGAUAUCUUUACAAAACCUCUAAGAACAUUUUGUUGAUAUUAGAGGACAAUUAGGAGUGAUUUCUUUAUGAUCUAAUGUGAUGAAUUCUUGAUGAAUAUACUUUUUGAUUGCAUGAAUUUCAUGUCAUAUAUGCAUCAUAUAGAAAUAUACUUAGAUAAUGGUCAAAUUUCGACCAAAAAUCAAAAUUCCCAUGGCAUUAGGCAUAAAAAUUUUGGAAUUUCAACUGAAAAUGGUAGGAGGAGGAUCACAAAAUGAGAAAGUAUGCAAAAAUUGAAAAAUCAAAACGUUGACCAAGCGGUCAAUCGGACUAGACCGAUCGACUAGUUUGUCGAGAUUUAGGAUUUUUAAGAGACUCCAACGCUUCAAUUUUUGCACCGUUCUCCUCUAUUUCUUCACGGUUUCUCUGAUUUUGUCUUUUAGAGACUAAUUUGAGUGCGUUUUGGAUCAAUUGAAGCAUUUUGGAUUGGAUUUUAGGAAGAUUGAAAGUUAAGGUUUCGGAUUUGGGUCGCCUUCUCUUCCUCUCGCGUGUCACAAUCAGCUUUAGCAUUGUUCUCUUUCCAUUUUCACACACCUAGGGUUUCAGUUGUGAGCAUCUCUCUCUCUUUACCAACCACUACUCCCUUGCUUCUUCCAUAUGGCUCCUAGGCGAGAGUCCGCUACUUCUAGGGCACAAGGCAAGCACCCAACUGAGUCGUCUCAGUCAAAGGCACGUCGAAAAGUGAGAUUUGACAUUGCCUUGUUCAGUUCCAUGGAGGACUACCAACUAUACAAGCAACACUUUGCUUAGAGACGAGUAGUUCCCAAGAGAAAUAUUAAUUUUCCUCAACUUCAGCAUUUCGAAUUUAAGGGUCUAUUUACUAGGAUGGUUGGUUGUCUAUUGUCACAAUUUCGGAGCCGGUUUUCCUGACCUUAGUGCGAGUUUUUUACUCGAGGGCGACUUAUGGCAUGGGUGGCAUGAUCAUUUCUACUGUUGGAGGAGUUGAGAUCUGUCUGGACCCAGAGAGCAUCUGCCAUAUUUUCGAUAUUGCUCUGGUUGGACUCAAAGUAUACAAGUCCAAAAUGUGGCCCAUUGUGCCAGGAUUUGAGCUUAGAGAGGUCAUUCAGAGGAUUUGUGAACUUCCAGACGCCCAGGAGAUGGGCAAACCAUUGCCACACAGUUUGACGGUCAUCAACAGGGUGCUACACCAUAUAUUGUGCUCUAUCUUUCUACCACGAAGUGGACAUUGAGAUGAGGUCUCUUAUUAUGAGGCAUUCCUUAUUGACUCCAUUCUAACGGAGAGACGAAUUCAUCUACUAUGUCAUCAUUCACUAAGCCUCCUCACAGUGACAUACCACCUCAUCAGGCACCUCUUGCUCCUGACCAUGCUCCAUUGAUGGAUUUAUUUACUCAUAUUAGCUCUCUAGGCACUCGCAUGAAGGAGUUUGUUGUAGUUAGUGAUACAUGGUUCUACUCCAUAGAGGAUCGCAUGGAUCAGUAUCAGACUGGCUUCACGUCACAGUUUGAGUAUCUCCAAUAGAGGAUUGAGCAUAUUGAGGAUCACUUGAGCAUGAGAAGAUGAUGGCUUUUCUAUGCUCUGUGUUUCCACCUCCACCUCGUCAACCUUGAUUUCUUAGAGACCCAUUGUUUUCAUUUUGUAAUGUUGCCAAAAGGGGGAGAUAUUUAGGAUCUAGGACUCUAUAGGAGACUUACAUGCAUAUCAUUUUCAUAUCAUUGUUUGGAUCGUACAUAUUGGAUAGUGAUACUUUUUACUUAUAUAUGAUAUGCCUAUAUGUUUCAUGUCUUACAUUGUUUCUUAUUGCAAAUUAUCUCUAACAUGUCUUGAUUAUCUUUUUUUUAACUUCAUAAAUUUUGAUUGUUAACCCAUGAUUGGUUUGAGGGGAAGAUUCUUCUUCUCCUAGAUAACCAAGGUUUGUCAUCAUAAAAAAAUUGGAGAUUGUUAGCCCAAGGGUUCUCCUAAUCAUGUUUUGAUGAUAACAAACCAUGCUUAAGUUACUAAUUGGUUUGAAUUAUAAAGAAUUUCAAGUGUUAAUUUGAAAAUUCAUCAAAGAACCUAAUGGAUGCAAGAUCAAGAUUUUUGGAAGACCUUUAAUCAUAAGAAACAUAUGUAAGAUGAAUGCAUGGGUGCACUUAAGAUUUGCAUAUCAUUUCAUGCAUAUUUGGAAAACACGGUUUAUGCUUUAAAGUUACAUUUCCAUCAAAAUUUGAGAUCCAUCAAAUGAACCUUAGGAAAAAUGUUUUAAAAUUGGCAUAUAAUUUUACCUAAAGACCUUGCCUAAGUGUUAGAAGCAAAAGGACAAAAAAAAUAUAGGUUUUCUGGUCAAAAAUGGUGAACCAGUCAAGGCAUUGUCUAAAUCAGCUCAAUCGGCCAAGGUACCGGUCGAUCGGUUUCCCUUUCCCUGUCGAGAUCUAGUCAAGAGGUACAAAAAUCACAAUCUCUGUCUCUUUCUCUCUUUGUCUAUCUUCCAGUAGUCUUUCCUUCCCGGUCGAGGGAUUUGCCUUCCCGAUUGAGGUCCGAUUGAGAGUAAUAGUCACUUGCCAAAUAUUAAAUGCUCCAACAGUUAGUGAACUGGUCGACCCCCACCUUGCCCAGUUGAGGUUACUUUUUGGUUUUCUUGGCUCCCGAUGUUAGAAACCUAUAAAUAGAGAGUUCCACUUCAUUUAUGAGCAAGAGAACACUUGCAUUUAUUUGUUUACCUACUUGUUCUUGCCUUAAAAGCUCUCAUUUCUUUUCUUGGUGCAUUAAAUCUCCAUUUUGAUAUCCUUUAGUGCACCUUUGUGAUUCAUCUUAGCCUUGAGUUGUAUUUGAGCCCUUUUUUUAGCUAGGUUGAGAGUUUCAUACUUGUUAAUUGAGUGUUAAAGCCUUCAAGUGAGUUGAAACUUGUAGAGAUUAUGUGAGAGUCGAUUGGAGCCGAAAUCCAAGUGUAAAGGUGAUUAGAAGCUUGGUUGAAGCUUCAAGUUAGUGGAAUCCUCACUCAAUUAGGAGCUUGAGGAGAGUGGACGUAGCCAAGGAAGUGUCGAACCACUAUAAAAUUUGAGUUUGAUUUCUCUAACAUUGUCUCUUUAUAUUUGUUUAUCUUGUGCUUAAAUUUAUUGUGUUUAAAAAGAAUUUUUAAAUACCCAAUUCACCCCCCUCUUGGGUGUUUUUCUCUUUUAAAAUUAGCCUUUAUUUUCUCACAAACUAUUGUAGUAUAGUGGUUUUUAGGUGUCAUCCAUUAGGAUGAAUUGUUCUCGGUAAUUAAGGCGUGAAUGAGAGGAGAAUUAAUGAUUGUGAUUAAGUAAAAUUGAUUUGAAAAUUCAUGGUGAAAAAUCAAUUUAACAAUGGUUUCUAAUUGAGAAAAACAAUGAAAUGUGAAAUAAAAUAAAAUUAAUAGGAAAUGAAAUUCUCGAAGUUAGAAUUUUCUAAAAAACAAAUUCCAUGGUGAAUGGAUGUUGAGAUCUAAUUUUCAUCAAGUUAGAUUGAAAACCGAAAUUUUCAUAUAAACUGAUUUUUUAUUUAGUUUUAGGUCUAGAUUUAAUUUCCCUUAAAAUUAGGUUAUUUAAUCCAAGAAAUCAAUUCAAAUCAUAUAUUCAAUUCAUCUUAAAUUAUCUUCCAAUUAUUCACACAAUGCAACUAUUCAAUCUCAUCAAAUCUAGCUUUUAAGAAUUUAAUGAAUCUACCUAGUUUGCAUUGUAAUAGUCAUCCAUGACAAUUUGAAGAGAAAAAUAAUUCAAUUAAUCAAUCACUUGGAUCAAAUUACCUUUGCAAUUAAAGUUCAUUUCUCUAAUUCACCACAGAUUUUGUCUCUAGAUCCUCCUUUCUCAAAGAAAAAUGAGAUUUAGCCACACAUGAUUGGAGAUUUGGUCUCAUAAGGCAUGUUUAGCUAGUGAUAAAAUGAGAGAAAAUAAAGAAAAAUAGAGAAUUCGAUUAAGAAAGAAAAUCUAAAAAAUUCUACAAUUAGAAAUGUCCAAAAAGCUUUUUCAUGAGAAAAUCAAGUUUCUAUUUAUAGGCCAAGGUCAAGUGGACACUUGACAUCAUCUAAGAGGUCUUCCGGAAGCUUCUUCAUCAAGAAAUCUGGAGUUUAAUAAUAAAAUGGUCAUUUCACAAGAGCUCAAACAAUUUCGCAUGAUUAUGUGAAAUAAAAAAUGCAACAACAGCAAUUUACAUCUUCUUGGAGCAUUUCGCAUGACUGUGUGAAAUUUUCACAUGAUCAUGUGGAAUCGACUUGACAACUCUCAUUUAGCCUACAACAUAAUUCCACCUUUUGGUCCAUUUUUCAUAGUCAUGCGAAAUGGAAAUAUUUGAUUUUUAAGUUUUCUUUUGUCAUUUCUUUCAUUUCCUUCUCUUGAUUCCACUUCAACUACCUCCGAAUCCUGGUCCAAACCAAUUGCAUUACUUCUUUCAUUAUGCAUUUGGAUCAUCAUCAACAUUAUUUGUUCUCUUCAAUUUGAUUCAUCUCUUUUGUCACCAAUUUAUCAAAAUCAUACCUUGAAAUGACUCCAAAACUUCAUAAAACUUGUUAGUAACUCUUGCAAGGGCAACAACAUAUUAAUUAAGUGUUUUAGGCAUAGUUACUACUCAAAAGAUGCGAAACUCAUGAUAAUUAUUAUAUAAAAUAUGCUCUUUUUGAGUAGUAAUCAACUUUCUUGCAUAAGCAGACCUUUUAGGGUGGAGUACUAAAGACCAAUAUGCUUGUCCUUGUUGUAAUAAAGAAACUUGCUCUUAUUGAUUGCACCAUGGGAGAAAAUUUUGCUACAUGAGUUAUCAUCAAUUUCUUCCCACCAAUCAUAGAUUUAGACGUGACAAGAGGCCUCUUAAUGGCAAGGAGGAACUGACACUCACACUUAUACAAUUAUCGGGCAUUGAUGUGUUGCAACAAUUAGAAUAACUUACACCAAUUAUGUUGGGGAAGUCACAAAAGGCAAACAUGAAAACUAAAAGGAAAAAAGAAAAAUGUUACAUAUCACCACAACUGGAAAGAAAAAAGUAUUUACUUUCAUUUGCCAUAUUGGAAAGCACUUAUUUUACAUCAUAAUAAUUUAGACAUAAUGCAUAUUGAGAAAAAUGUGUGACAAUAUAAUUGAGACAUUGUUCAGUAUUGACGAAGAAACAAGGACAACCUAAAUAGUCAUCUCGAUUUACAAGCUCUAACUAUUAGAAAUGAGAUUCACCCAAUAGAAAGCAGGACCAAAUUUAUUUUGCUUGCAACAUGCUACUCACUCACCCCAAAUGAGAUUAAGGAAUUUUGCAAGUUUUUGAAAUCAAUAAAGGUCCCCAAUGGCUAUUCUUUCAAUAUCUCUCGUUAUGUGCAACUCAAUGAAAGGAAGAUAUAUGAGCUCAAAUUGUAUGAUUGUCAUGUCCUAAUGCAACAACUUCUCUCACUUGUAGUUCGUGGAGUUCUACAUAAGAAUGUUUGUGGAGUUAUCAUAGAAUUGCGUAAUUUUUUCAAGCAAUUGUGCUCAAAGGUGUUAGAAACAAAUCACUUACACCAACUUGAGAACAAUAUUAUUGUCAUACUAUGUAAAAUGGAGCAAAUAUUUCUUCCAUCAUUCUUUGAUAUUAUGGUGCAUUUACUUGUGCAUCUAGUAAGGCAAAGGUUGCAAGACUUGUGCAAUAUUGUUGGAUGUACCUAAUUGAACGAUAUUGUUAUAAUUUCAUAUGAAUCAUUUAAUUUUAUUUUAUAUUAUGUUCAGUUCAUUAACAUGUACAUUGGUCUACAUAUGGAUGAUGAUAGGUACCUAAGCACUUUAAAGUCAUAUGUGCGUAAUAGAACUUUUCUAGAAGGUUCUAUUGUAGAAAGGUACCUUGCAAAAGAAUGUACAACAUUUUAUUCUAGGUACUUGAAUGAUGUGGAAAUAAAGUAUAAUCACAAUGAUAGAAACUUUGUUGGUUUCAACACUAGAGGAGAUGAAAGGGGUUAUCUUUAAACAUAUUGGACAUGCAUUGGGAAAGCCCAUAUUUCAUUAACUUAGUUCAAAAGAGUGGUCACAAGCACAUUUAUAUGUGUUGACAAAUUGCGAAGAUGUCAUACCAUUCAUUGAGUAAAAAAUUUAUUUGAAUUUUAAUUAAAGCUCUAGUUUAUAUCCUUAAUCAAUGUUUUUUAAAUUCACAAGGAGCACAAGCAAACCAUCAAGGCUAGACCACAUAUACGUGUUUGAGACGUAGAUUUAAUUCAUAACAAGGAAUUUAUCAAGUGGUUUGAAAGACAUGUAAGUAUAUUCCUUAUUAUAAGGGAUUUAUUUCACAUUAUGUUUAUAUUGAAUCCAAACCUAUUAUUGAAUUGUAGGUUGAACAAUUACAUAAUGAAGGUCAUAUAUCUGAACACCUUCUCACAUUAUCAUGUGUUCCAAAUUCAUUAGUUACAUGCUUCAAAUGAUAUAUUGUCAAUGGAUUUAGAUCCCACAUUAAAGAACGUGAUAAAAAAGUUUUUAAAAAAAGACUCAGAAUAAUGGAAUUGUUGUAGUUGCAAAAACGUCAAGCUUUACAAGUGCAUGUGAUAUGAGUCCAAUUAUUAGUGAUGCUCUCUACUAUGGUGUUCUAACUAAAGUUGUUGAGUUACAUUAUCUUGGUGAAAAUAAGGUUGUUUUAUUCGAGUUUGAUUGGUGGGAUGUUACAAAUAUUGGAAAAUUGAUAAAAGAUGAUGAGUACAAUUACACAUUUGUUAACUUUGCAUGAAUUCUAACCACGAACGAACGAUUUGUACUUGCAUCUCCAGCAAAGUAAGUGUUCUAUGUGAAGAAUGCGAAUGAAUCAGAUUGGCAUACUAUCAUGGAGAUGCAACCUCAAGACCUCUAUAAGAUGAACGGGAUAGGAUCCAAUGGUGAUUUUGAACCAUUUCAACAAAGUGAACUACAUGAUCACUAAUAUAUCUCAGAUUUAGUUGAUGAAGAUAUAAUCAAGUGGAACAAAAGUGAUGUUUUAGGACUAAUCAUCCUAAAAAAUAUUGUAGUUUCUUAAAAAAAAAAUGAAAAUGAAGAAGAUAAUUGAACCUUUGUCAUACUUUAAAAAGCAACUAUGCAUUGUUCAUUUUGUAUGUUUUGGUUUUCUUCAUUUAAUUUCCUGAUUUUUGUGAUUCAAUGUCAUAUUAUUGAUCUUGAAAUAUUUUUCUAAUUUUUCAUUCUACGAUGGUUUCAACAAGGAUGACAUCAAGUCAAAAAAGGAAAUGUGGUCCCACACACAAUAUUGCAUUACAGGGAUUAAGGUCAGGGAAGAAGGUAAAAGUUGCAUUUAAUGAGUACAAUCAAUUGGUUAAACAGAAAAAUGGAAAACACUUAUCGAGCUACAUAGGGACACUUGUAUCUAACCAACACAAUGUACCUCUCCAAGCUAGUGAUUGGAAAAAUGUUCCAAAUGAUGCAAAAGAGAAAGUAUGGCCUUUGUUUUGGUAUGUUGUAUUUCUCACUAUAUGAUGUCAUUUCACUGUUAUUCUAUUUUGUGACUAACGUUUGAAUCAUAUGUAAGAAAAAUUUGAAGUAGAUAAAGACUGAAAAGAUUACAUGUUGGGUAUAGCCUCAAAUAAAUAUAGAAGCUAUAAAAAUAUGAUGAAUGCAAAAUACUAUGACCCUUGGCAUAAGGAUGCAUGAGGAGAGGUUAAUACAUAAAUCACCAUUUGUCUCUGAUGUUGAUUGGAAGUGGCUUGUCUCUGAUGCAUAAACCAAAUCCCCCACUGAAUGUUUGAUAUUUGAUAGCAGGAAAAACACACCCGCAGCUAUACACCUCCAUCAUUCAGAUAAUUAUAGUGGGGGAGAUGAUUCAUGGUUGCCCUUAUACCCUUUAUUUGCACCAUCUAUUGAGAUUCUUUAUCAUGGCCAGGUUUUACUGCAGCAAUAAGAUAUGGUGGCAACAAUUUUAUCUAUAGGUGCGGUUCCAGACCGCCUCCAUAGGUGCGGUUCCUGACUGCCUCCAUAGGUGCCUCUUCUUGUAAUGUUUGUUCUGGGAAUUACACUUGAAAGCCUUAUCGUGAUAAGGGAUUACAAACACUAGUUCAGAGGACAGCCAUGUUAAACUUCCACUAUGUUUGUGUCACAUUAUCAGCAGCCUAGUGUUUAUUGGUCAUGCUAUCUGCAACUAAUAUAACCCGGUGAACUUCAAUCUAAAUUCUGAAAGUACUCAUGUGACAGAUGGUGCCUUUCAGCAGAUAUCAUCAAUUUAAAAGUAGUGUGUGUGCCUAUAGGUGGGAAGGCCUUGGCAAAUGUUCAGUAUUCCGGUAAUUCAAGAAGGAUAUAUCUAAAAUAGAUUUUCUUCUUGCCCAUUUCAAUAGUUAAAAUUUGAGAAGAUUGUGUCCACAUCACACAAAUAUUAUUGGUCCUUCUGUUGCAAUUUACCUCUGAACAUGUCUUCCAAUUCCCACGGUCCUGUUACUCCAGGAAAACUAUUUCGGUCAUAUUGAAAAAAAAAAUAUUAAAGAAGGUACACAUGCUUUUAAGUGGACUGGGGCAUUCAUAUCAGGUGGUCUGUAUCCACAUAUGCCACUUCGUGAAAGGUGGAACAGCCUAAUCACUAGGCUAUUUAGUGUGGCCCAGCCACGUUAAUCAAGCACAAGUCUUCAUACUUAAAGUCAAAUGGUGUCUUUAGUCUCAUUACACAUCGCUAUUUGAAGAUUAACUCAUCACUAGUGUAAUGCGAUUAAGACAGUCCUAACUCAAUAUUUGUUCUAGUUUUGGAUGCAAAUGCUUGCUGGUUUCAUCAUUGGAUGGGAUAAAGGUGCAAUCAGGACUAUGAAUACGUGCAGUAAUACUUCAUUCUCUUUUUUCUCAAUGAGACUUCUUGGCACAAUUUUGCUGCUCAGCAACCUACCUUUCCAUGGAAAAUCAGUUGUGACUGAUAGUAAUGGAUAUAUUCUAGAAAGCUAAACAUAGAUAGCAUUCAAUAUUAUCGAUAUAACAUUAACAGCGUAUGUCUCAAUGCUCAUCAGCUACAAGCAAUGGACAAACACUUUGAGUAACUCACAGCAGUCAAAAUUCCUAAACAGGACAGACGUGACAGAUCUAUAUAUAGAACACUGCAUAUGAGUCACAGGAAAAGAUAAUACGGGUACAUAGAAGCUCUUAUUUUACAUAUUACUCAUACUGAUCAAAGUCGCUCAGUUGGGAUGGAUGGGAGAAGGAGGUUUGAGGGGUGGCUUGUGCGGGGAAGUUGGCAGCUUCUUUCCGGGAGCUGGUUGCUUCUUUGCUGGAGUUGAAGGAGGCUUAAUCUUCCGAGGUGGCUUGUAUGAGUCUUCAGCAUUCUCAGCAGGAGGGUGACCAGGGUUGUGACCAUAAUGUGGUGGCUUCUCUCCCUUAGGUGGUUUGCCAACUGGGGUUGGUGGCUUGUUUUCUGGGAGUGGCUUCUCUCCCUUGGGUGGUUUGCCAACUGGGGUUGGUGGCUUGUGUUCUGGGAGUGGCUUCUCCCCCUUGGGAGGUUUUUCGAAUGGGGUGGGUUUGUGUCCUGGUGGUGGCUUCUCUCCCUUGGGAGGUUUACCAAUUGGGGUCGGUGGCUUGUGUUCUGGGAGGGGCUUCUCUCCCUGGGGAGGUUUAGUGGGUGGCUUGUGUUCUGGAGGUGGCUUCUCCACCGGAGGCUUAUGCUCUGGUGGUGGCUUCUCGAAGGGGGGAUGCUCAGGGUAAUCACCAAGUGAGGGGGUGGUGAGAACCACCAUGCCAAGCAACAACACUAGCAAGUAUGUAGUAGACAUCUUUGGGUUUGGACUCAGACAGUGCAAAACUACGAGAAAUCGCUAGCCCUUUAUAGCGGCUCGGACCUAAUACUGACAUAAUAUAAAAUAAAUAUUAUAUUUUAUCAAGAGAGAACAGAGUGUAAUUUUAUCAUUAAUACCGAUCGAGGCCAAAGAAAGAAGACCCAUAAUCCAUUUCCCACAAGCAUACACAAUGCAGCUGUAAUUUUAUCAUUUACUUUUAUCCCUUGGACCACUGCAUUUUUGUUGAGAGACACAAUAACACAUUUUUAUCUGUCAUUCAACAUUUACAGUAAAGAGAGGGCACAAAACGCAAUUAGAUAAAUUAUGUUUUGCCUGCUAAAAAGAGGCAAAUAACUUUAUUUGCAACAUAAUUAUUUUGGUUUCUAGUGACCCCGGGGCCUUUCGGUUGGUUUGGGAUCGGAAAAUGAACAUCAUAGGGGGGGUUGUGCCCUUAUGGGCAUAUAUAUCUGAUAGCUUCAACUGGCCUUGUUCCUAGAAAGAAAUUGCCAAAGAUAUAAACUUAUUCCAGGCUGAAAGUAGAUGAGAGUCAUAAUGAACAUCAACCUUUGUUCAGUUUGAUUCAAUGCCCCCAUAGUGUUCAUUUCACAGAUCUGAAUGAUUAUAUCCGUUGAAUACAUAAAUUAAUGAAGACAAAUAUGAAACCCAAGAUACAUCUCUGCAUAACAACCCCAACCCUGGUUGCUAUGUUUCCCUUCUUCUAUUCACAUGAGGAUACUGGUUAUAAUUGUCAAACUUGCAACAAGCCCUUUGACACCUAACGUCAAUGGACGAAUUAAAAGUCUCCUUCAAACGUCUAUUUCACAGCAUGAAGCUUAUAAAGGAUGCUGACAACCUUCAGAGUUAGCGACAAAAGAUAAUUAUCAAGGAGAGAUAGUUCCAUGAGAAUUCCAAGGAGUCUGAAUCAAAGACAAAUUGCUCACUCAAGGGUUCUUAUUUUCUUUUAGGUACAAAUCUCUUGAGUGUUGUUAAAGAAACACGUCACUGUCAUUUUGAUUUGCAUUUAACAUUUCACUUUUGUUCUGGAAGGUUUGUUCCGGAAACAUAUCAAAUGAGCAUCAUUUUCUUCUUCGGUGACACAUGGUCGCGAGUACGUGGGUCCAUUUUCAUGCCACUUAGUUGAAAAGUUGGAAAGAAAAAACAUGCCAACAAGAAGAUAGUGAGAGAAGGGGCACUUCAAGCCUUUAACAUGAACAAACAGUAAAUAAAAGAUGUUUCUCCACUCAUAAAAGUGUGUUAGAUAGCAAUAUAACGAAUCACAUCCAAAAUCUUUACUAGGCUCAAACAUAAAGAAGACUCAUUUUUAAGAAAAGAUAAAAAUGGCAUUGUCUGAUAGUAUCCAAUACACGAGAUGGCACUUAAUUUGUACAAGAUCUGUCAAUGCUGACGCACAUUUUCUGAUUAAAAAAAAACUGAUCAGUCAAAAGCAAUGAAGAGAAGUGAUGACAAUGAAUGAUGCUUCCAAUAUUUUCACCCCUUAUAGUGUUCUUCAUGAUUCAGAUAUAUAAUUGGAAAUAGAACAACCCUAUGCCAUACAUUCGUCUAAGUAUGGUGUCUAAUUUUUUGUGUCAGCGGUUGCGAAUGGAGCGUGCAAAAGUCCAAAUUGGCGUCUCUCCAUUUCCACAUAGGAAGGUGACCUUUAUUGACAAAUACCCAAUAUUUGUAGACAUUCCUUAAAUAUCAUAACUUCUUGUUGAUUUGAAAAUCAUUUUUCAACUACCAUGUUUUAAUAAAUAUUUUUUAAAAUGUAUUUUUAUCAAAGUCCACCAUGAUGGAUAAUAUUCACCAUGCAAUAAUUAAUAAAGUACAAACUAAGCGAAAUGAAAAGCAUUUUCUUUGCUUUGAGUUGAUUUUGGUUGCAUUGAGUUGAUUUUGGUUUCAUGGUUUUUUCAACUCUUAUUUUGAUUGGAAGAUGUCAAGAAAAGAAAACAUAAAGAAAAAUUAAAAGGGAAAAAAGAAGAAAAAUAAAAAAAAAUAGAUUUAAAAGUUAAUAAAUUAUUUUUUAUAUUUAUUUUAAUUCAUUUCACUUAUUUUUCUUUUACUAUAUAAAAUUUAAAUAAUUUAAAUUUUAUAAUUAAUUUAAUUACAUUUCAUUUUCUUCUAUAUUUAAAUAUUGGAAAAAUAUUUUACUUAAUAUUUUUUUCUUUAAUUUCUUUGGCAUUUUGGGAACCAAACUUAGCCUUUAAAAUAAAAAACAAAAAAAAAAUGAAAAUAAGGAGGGAAAAGUGAGAAAAGAUAAAAACAAUAUGUAAAGGAUUUGAAAAGUAUUAGUUUGUAAUUACUAUUUGGAUUUCAAUAGUAUUUUAUUUGUCUUUCUAUAUUUCAUGUAAGAGAGAAUUUAAGAUAUUCCCCAAGGCAAAGCAUUAGUUACCUGCAAUCAGUGGUGAUAAGGCUCCAAGCCAAUUUUGGGCCCCAUAUCUUAAGACAGUACAAUUUCCAUUUCAACAUUUCUGAUUUCUCAGAUGUUUCACAUACCACAGAAGAACAUUGUUUGUGAAAAUAUGCAUUUAUGUUGGAUUUUGUAUGCUGUGGGGACUGGGGCAAGGAUCAUAUGGAAGAGUGGUUGACUUUUUCUGUACUUUAACGGUUGAAAUAGGAUAAGCACGGGCAUUUGUGAGGCUUAAUUGAUUUUGAAGCCUGAAAUUGCGUUUCUGUCAUUUUGUCAAAAAAAUGGCAGAUUCCAUACUCAUAUGUUUGGCCUGUGGCCAUGUACAGAUGCCAUUUAGUGACCAGUUUGUAACUGUCAAUCGUUGCGUUUUGACUCUGCCUCAACAACAUCUGCCAUUGACGGGUUUUCAUACUUGCAAAUCAAAUAGUCUUUCGUCCCAUCAGGAAUUUCGGUUUAAAUAUUAUUAAGCAUACGUUUGGCUGACAAUCAUUAUCCAGUUCAUGAUUUGGUUUCUUACCCUUAAUCAAUGGUUUCUAAGUGAAUAUAUGUAGAAGGAAAUCCGAAGUGUAGACAGUAGUAUCGAUAACUCUCAAUAUUCUCUAUAUAAUAGAAUAAACAGCGUCAUAGUGAUCGUCGCCUACAAGCAAGGUACAAAUACCAAAACGAGUGACUCACAUAGACAUCUCCCAACAAGAUGUAGUAGUGACUGACACAUGGACACAAUUAACUCGUAGAAAAGGAUAAGACCAUUGCACAGCAGCUCUUAUUUUACAUACUACUUAUGCUAACCAAAGUCAAUUAGUUGGGAUGGGUGGGAGAUGGAGGUUUGUGCGGUGGCUUGUGGGGCGGAGUUGAUGGCUUCUUUCCAGGAGCUUCUGGCUUUUUCAUCGGAGCUGAAGGAGGCUCAAUCUUAUGAGGCGGCUUGUAUGAGUCUUCUUUACUCUCGACAGGAGGGUGGCCAGGGUUGUGAUCAUAAUGUGGUGGCUUCUCUCCCUUAGGUGGCUUGCCAACUGGGGUUGGUGGCUUGUGUUCAGGAAGUGGUUUCUCUCCCAUGGGAGGUUUAGCAAUUGGGGUUGGUGGCUUGUGUUCUGGGAGUGGCUUCUCUCCCUUGGGAGGUUUAGUAGGUGACUUGUGUUCUGGAGGUGGCUUCUCCACCGGAGGCUUGUGCUCCGGUGGUGGCUUCUUGGUUGGAGGGGGCUUGGGGUAAUCAGCAAGAGAUGGGGUGGUGAGAACCACCAGUCCAAGGAACAACACUAGCAAGUAUGUGGGAGACAUUUUUGAGUUUGGGCUGAUCAGAUGAUGCAAAACUAAAGCAUUACGUGACCUUUUAUAGCAUGUAGCUCCCAAUACCCACUAAGUAUUGUGGGGUCCAUUUGUGCCCUACGGGGUUGAAAACUUAGACAAUUGGGCAAGGACCCACCUGACUAUGGAGGACUAGUGAGGUGUGAUCAUAGCUUUAGGAUUUUUCUUCCUCUGCAGCCGUCGUGCCGUUGGCAUGAUUUUCUUAAUCUUAAAUAAAGGCAUAGUUAUAGAGUUGUUUAAUCUCUAAAUGGGAUUUUAUAUAUAUCUUCAGAUAGCCAUUAAUAUAUUUGAUGAAGAAAGAAAGACAAGUGCAUACAACAUGUAUACGACUAGCUUUCAUGGAGUUCAUUUAUGAUCAGUUUUCCUGUACAUGUAAACCAGGAUCAUAUAUAUGUUUCUGUUCCACAACUAUUUUGGAAUCUUGUUUAUCAGUUUUUAUCAUUAUAAUGUCACAUAGGCUGCCAACUUGGGCGCUAAAAGAACCAGUUGGGCUAGUUCGUUUCAGAAUUUCAAUGUGGAUUCAGGAAUUGUUUUGUAAGAUAUGCGAAAUAGUAGAGGGAUGAAUAGUGUUUCAUUAAUAAAAGUGUCCUGUAAAUUAGAAGGUGUCAUAGAAACUAUAAUCAAUAAAUAACUUUUUUUCCCCACGGGUGGUGUUUCUUGUGGGGAUCAGUGACUGGUUUAGGUUCACCCAAAAUGAGUUCAGACUAAAAUUGGUUUGAGUCAAUGCCGUGUCUCUUUUUUCCAGAAAUCAACUAUUUUAUGCAUUGAAUAAAUCAUACAAAGAAAAUAUGAACGCCCGCAAAACCUAAACCCUGGUUGCUAACUUUCUAUGUUUCAGUUCUAUUCACGCAAGAAUAUUAGUUUAAGUUUGGGAAAAAUGGCAACUUACCUAGUGAUUACUUGGUUUUGGUUUGCGACUAUUUACGCAACCAACCAUGAGUUUGACUUUAACGUCAUGGGUUGAAGCCUCCUACAGGAAGGGAGAAAGCUCCACAGCUAGCUCCAAAAGAGAAUUAUCACAUUGAUAGCUCCAGAGAUUCCCAAGGGGACUGAAUCAAAGACAAGUUCCUCACUUUUUCUUCUUUUGAGGCCAAAUAUGAACCAAGGAUCACACAACCUCAUUCAACUUCAUAAGUUUGAUUUCAUGCAGUUGAACACUGGGUGAAGGCCAUGACAAGAAUUGAUUCAAAAAUUCUAUCACUCUUUUAAGUAAUGGAAGAUUAUUAUCUCUGAUUGGCAUCACAACAGCACAUGCUCCUAGAUCUUUCUAGACACUCCAUGCAAUGAAAGCACAAUGGAUCUUGUAACGAUAGAAACUAAGCCAUGCUACAGUACUAGAUGAUGAGGUAAAACUAGUAGACACGGGUGGCAGCCUAUAUGGGAGGGACACAAGUCUAAUUGAUUUGCAUUUCAGCAUUAUAGAUAGGUAUGUUUUGGAAGAUUUGUUCUGGAAAUACCGCACCAAGUAGGAUUCUUUUUCUCUUUAGUGGGUCCACUUGCAUGCCAAUUAACGAGUUGAAAAGUAUGAGCACCUACCUCGUGCUCGUGGAACCGAAGGUCAGUGAAGUGGGGCUCCUUUUGGCCUCGUGUAAACUUGAUUCAGAAGUGAAGUUAAUAGUCUUCCAUUCAGAUGGAUACAUGGGAAUUUUUCUCUUUUAUUUAUUUAUUUAUUUUUUUUUUGUGUGUGUAUGUCAAAGGAUAAUGAAUGAAGCGCGUUAGCUUGUUUUCUGACUGGAACCGCAGAUGUCCAAAUUGGAGUUCCUUCAUUUCUUACUUAGGAUUGUUACAUGUAUAAACAAGGUAUAAGAAAUAUGCCAACGUGUCUUGAGGAGUUAUUGAUUAGAAAUAACAAGUCACCCGACUGUAGAGUUCCAAGAUUUGAAUCUUCAGACCCUAUAGCAGCCUCUGGGGUACGUGGCAUCCUAUAGCAUAUUAAUGAAGGCUUUUUCGAUUUAGACUUCACAAUACCAAUUAAUAUGUAUGCACAAAAUGGAGAUGACCCCAAAAAAAACAGAAUCGCCAUAGUUUAUGAGGUUAAGGUGAUUCUCCACUUAAUAUCUACAUUAGCUAAUUAUGUAAAUCAAAUGAACUUCUAUUUUUCCUUUUUUUUUUUGGUUUAUGUCAAAUAGUAGCCCAUAAUUAACCCAACCAUUAGCCUGUUUGAAUUGAUUUCACAUGCACAAUGUUGUAGUAGUUCAUAUUUUGAAUUUUAUUUUUACAAAGGUAGUUAAGGAAAAUGAAGUAUAAUAAUUAUAAAAGCAGACUAUAUACACUACAAUAAUUGUUAGAAUGGUAUCUCAAAUUCUAAUUUAAAAUAUUAUUUUUUGUAAAAGAAAUAUUAUAUAGAAUAUUUCCUAAUUUUAUAAAUGAUUAUAAUUAGAUCUUUAUAAAAUAAGGAAAGUUGGUAAGAAUAUCUUUAUAAAUAUUUUAGGUCAUGAGAGAAAGAAAUGGGAUAAAAAUGUGAUGAAGAGGUGAAAUAAGAGAGUUGAUUAGGAUAUAGAUGUGAAGAAGAAAGGGAUUCAAUAUAUAUAUAUCUUUCAAUUACCACAUUAAAACCCUGUGAACCUUUUAUAUGGUUUACUUUAUUUUUAUAUUCCUCCUUUAAUAUAUUUACAUUAAUGCUUCCAUUGGCACAACAAUAACGAAUUACAAAUACAAGCAACAAGUCCCAUGUUUUAUUACCAAAAGCAGGUAAAAUCCACCUAAUAUAUUACAAUAUAUUCAUCCAAUAUUUUAGACCAAUUCUUCACCAUAAAUAUCAUAAUGUGGCUUUUGUUCUUUCUUAAAUUUAAAUUGAAUUGUCUUAUAUCAAUUUGUUUGUGAUUUUUUCAUUAACUUCACUUUCAUUUGGUUAUCUUUGGUUUUUGAAAAGUAUUAAGGAAUUAAUUAACAAAAUAAUGUUAAGAAAAAUAAUUUUCUCUCUUUUGAUUUUGAUUUUGUAGUAGAAAAAUAUAAUUAAAAUUAUUUAAAAAGUAUGUAAUUUUAAAUUAUUUAAUAUUUAGAUAAAAAAAAUAAGUCUAAUGAGUUUAAAAUAACAUAUAAAAAUAAUUUAUUUAUUUUAAAUUUAUUUUUUAUUUUCCAUUAUGUUCUCUUUCUCUUUUACUUUUUCAUAUUUUUUCUUACGAAGAAUCAAACACAACCUCAUAUUAUAUGUCAAGUGUUUGUCUAUAUUUGAGCAAUGUUAGAUACGGCCAUGGAUUCAUCAAACUAAACUGAUUUUAAUAGAUACUUCACAAAUUGAUUUAUACACUAAAUCAUUGGAUAGCAAUGAUGCAUUGGAAUUAAACGUAGGAUGAAGCUCGAAGAACACUGUUUGUGUAACAACAUAUUUAUGAAAUUAUGCAAAGGAUGAGCUUCGGGGUAGUAGUACAAGGUCAUUAAUGGAGAGCCGUGUUAAACCUUGAUUGUGAUUGGAUUCCGUUAUCAGCAACAGCAACCUUGUUUGUAACCUUGAAAGUCAUUCUGUCCACAUCGAAACUCCAAUUUGACGUUUGUAAUUACCAUUCCUGGAGUGUUCCUUGAUUGAAAUUUAAAUAAUAAUUGCGGCCCACAAGGAAUAUUUUCGAUUCUGUGGGAAUUUGACAAGGUUUGUUAGAGAAGACUGGUGACAUGUUGACUUCAAUGGUUCAAAUAGGAGACGUAUGUGGAUUUGGGGGGUUUAAUUGAAACUGAGUCCCUAUGGCUUUUUAAUAUUUGCAUUGAGCAGUCUCCAUGUGACUUCCUAAUUCCCACCAACCCUCCUGUCCAUGCUGUGAAACUAAAUUGUAAUUUAUCAGCCUUUGUCAAUGGUUUCUAAAUUAAAGAUAUAGACCAUGCAUGUACUUUAAUAAAAGCAAAUCUAAAGUGUAGAUAGCAGCAAUGGUGACACCCAAUAUUCUCCAUAAAAUAGAAUUAGAAUAAGCAGUGUUACAUUGUUCAUGAUCACCUACAAGCAUACAAGAACUUCCAUGAAUAACUCAUAGCAAUUGCCAACAGGGCGUCGUAGAGACUCAUACAUAGAACACUAUCCACCCAGAGGAAAGGACAAGACCAGUGCGCUGCAGCUCUUAUUUUUCACAUGUAUACCACCACUCGUAAUAACCAAAUUCACUCAGUUGGGAUAGGUGGGAGAUGGUGGUUUGUGGGGUGGCUUGUGGGGAGGAGUUGGAGGAGGCUUUAUUUUCUGAGGCGGCUUGUAUGAGUGUGCAGGAGGAUGCCCGGGAGUGUGACCAUAAUGUGGUGGCUUCUCUCCCGUAGGUGGUUUGCCAAAUGGGCUUGGUGGCUUCUCUCCCUUAGGAGGUUUACCAAUUGGGGUUGGUGGCUUGUGUUCUGGGAGUGGUUUCUCUCCCUUGGUAGGUUUGCCAAUUGGGGUUGGCGGCUUAUGUUCUGGGAGUGGCUUCUCUCCCUUGGGAGGUUUGCUAAUUGGGGUUGGCGGCUUAUGUUCUGGGGGCGGCUUCUCUCCCUUGGGAGGUUUGCCAAUUGGAGUUGGCGGCUUAUGUUCUGGGAGUGGCUUUUCUCCCUUGGGAGGCUUGCCAAUUGGGGUUGGCGGCUUAUGUUCUGGGGGUGGCUUCUCUCCUUUAGGAGGUUUGCCAAUUGGAGUCGGCGGCUUAUGUUCUGGAAGUGGCUUUUUUCCCUUGGGAGGUUUGCCAAUUGGGGUUGGCGGCUUAUGUUCUGGGGGUGGCUUCUCUCCCUUGGGAGGUUUGCCAAUUGGAGUCGGCGGCUUAUGUUCUGGGAGUGGCUUCUCUCCCUUGGGAGGUUUUGUUGGUGGCUUGUGUUCUGGAGAUGGCUUCUCCCCUGGAGGCUUGUGCUCCGGAGGUGGCUUCUGAAAUGGCGGGGGCUUGGGGUAAUGAGCAAGAGAUGGAGUACUGGUGAGAACCACCAUUCCAAGCAACAAUACUAGCAAGCAUGUGGGAGACAUCUUUGAGUAGUUGUAGCUAAGAUGGCGCAACACUGUAGGCAUUGGGUGGCCUUUUAUAAAGGGCUGGACCCAACAGCCAUAUGACACGUGUCAUGAUGACAAAUGAAGUUGAGGGGAUCCAGAUGGGUCCUACUGAGUCGAAAACUUGCACUAAUUGAUCUGGUGAGAUGACUAUUUCUGUCCUUUUGCCCUUCUCGGCCACCCUGUGCUGUUUUCCUUUUGCACGAUUUUCGUUGCCAAACAAGCAAAUAAUAUUUCGCCAAGAAAGAGGAGAGUGAAUGUGGAAUGCAUCAAGUCCCAUCAAGGAUGGCAGAGAAGAAAUAGAAGAUUGCCCAACUGUGAUAAACAUAGCAUACACGUAGCACCAGGAACUUCAUUUACUUCCAUCUAAUGGAACAUAACAAUCUUCUAAAGUUUUUGCAUGAUUUUGUUAUAUGUCUCUUAGCCUAAAGUUGGAAAUGCGCAACAAAUUUUGUCACUUCUCUAUUUCCCACUGAUGAUGUUAAUUAGCCUUCAUAGAUAUCAUCCUUUCUACAAAGUGCUUCAUUUGUGUGUUAUUGUAAAGUGUAAGAAAAGUAAUUGAACAUGUUCUUUUUCCUUUCAUAGAUGACUUUUGAUGUGCAUUUUAAAAGCAGCGCUGUGAGUCGGUGACCUUGAUUCACACGGAAACUAAGGCUCCUAUAGGACCCACUUUUAGCUGGUUAGGGGUGAAGAAAAUAUCAACUUUUCAGAGUGAUUUAAGUCAAGGCCAAGCCUCACUGUGUCAUUACUCGUGUGAAUUUUAUAUGCACAUACAUACAUAAAUAAAGUAUGAGACCCAAAUAACACCUUCCCUUUACAAACUUAACCCCAGCCGCUCUCUUUCAAUUCUUUUCACACAAGGGUAUUGACUCUAUAAAGGUCAAGAAAAUCAUAAUUUCCUAGGGUUUACAAGGUAAUUGGCUUAAUGCUAAUGUGAAAACAUAAAAGAUAAUAGUAUAUUGUAAGCUAACGAAUAUUCUAUAGUUAUAAUUAUUUGUGAUGUGCAUAAAUAAAUCUUCAUAUAUAUAAUGGAACAAUGAAUAAAGAACCAAUGAAAAAAUACUAUAUAUCAUUGCUUGGCAUUUAAACCGUAUAUGCUGCUCUUUCUAGCUACUCCAUCCACUGAAAGACAACAAGGUAAUCCAUGUUAUAAUGAUAGAAGAUACUGUCUCUAGGCUUUUUGUGAUGAAAAAUAUAAGAUAUGGGUAGGGUUGACCCUUGUAUGUUUGUCCUAUAAACACUUCAAAGUAACAUAUUUUUCUUCUUUAGCAACUCAUAAUGAUGGGGUUCAUUUGCAUGUCACUGAGUUGAAAAGUUGGACAAUUGCCCAUGUCGCCUUCCUCCUAGAUUCCGUAGUUCACGGGAAGGUAACUCAAGUUUGACAUAUUUUGAAUUCUUUUCACUCGGACGUCUUCAUAACCUGACAAAACAAAAAUGAAAAACAGAGGAUUGGUAUAUUAUUCAUGGUAAGCCUCAAAUUAUAGUAGUAUGAGAAAGGAGAAAAAGAUUUUGGGAACUCCAAUCUGGAUAAUUCUCGUUUCUUCUCUUGAAUAAAAAUUUCACUUACCUAACUUCGUUUGGAGAAAUGGCAUAUUUUAAUUUUGUACGUCAUUGCUAAUAAAUGGAGCAAUUUAGCAUGUUUUGUGACUGAAACUGCAAAUGUCCAAUUGGCAUUUCUUCAUUUCCCACUUAGGAUCUGAUCUUGUAGACCAUAUAACGAUAUGUAUCUGUGCAAGCAUUGAAAACUAAUGUGAACUAUGAGGAGUUACAAGCCACUGGACUGUAGAGCGAGUGCCAAGAUUUAAAUCUUCAGGCUCUAUCUGGGUAAGGGGAGGAUAGCGACCUAACCUUUUACCAAAGGCUUAGAAUUUAGACUUUUGGAAAAAAAUUUCUCAUGUUUUGGCUGGAUUUCUUGUGCUUGGCGCAAAAAGGAGAUGGCCUCAAGAAAUAGCAGACUCACUUUUGUUUUCAGCCCUUAAUAAUUCUCCACUGCUUUCCAUAACUACAUGGGUUAUACAUGCAGUCUGCUGCAAUAUUCCAGUUAUAUUUAUUAUUUCAAAGAGGGUGAAUGACUUCACAUGCAAUAUGUUGCAGUAACAACCCAAAUUUUGGCACACCAUCUUAAGAAUAGAAAAGUAUAAUAAAAGAAAUCAAUCAGAGAAUCACUUUGCAUGCAGUUCAUAGAGUUCGCCCAAAAUGGAGCCACAUGUACGGACAACCCCACAAUAGACAAUCUUCUCUAUACAGUAAUAAAAUACAGAAAUGGUUAAUGAAGCUCUGUAUUUCCUUAUCAUAUAUGACCGGUUGAAAACUCAGCAAGUCUUCCUCAAUCACAGACAGUUGGAGUUGCUUCAUCAAAAUCAUGCCUUCAUUACUGGCUUCAUUUUGGUUUCAAUGUCUGUUCUACCCUUAAAUUGGGUCUCUGCUUACUACCGGGAUAUCCUUUAGCGUCCUGCAAUUCUACUAGAUUAAAGAGAAUGACUUAAUUCUGCAUUCUGCCGUCCCUAGUCCAAGUGGUACUAGAAUUGAUGUUUCCUUUAGUGUCCUUUCUUCAUACUUUCAGGUUCUUCCCUUGUUUCAAUAAUGCUGUUUUCCUUCAUGUUUAACCUCUGUUGAACCACUUAAAACAACACAAUUUGCACACCAAUGUUUCUUUACAGAAAAGACUGUUUGCAAAAAUGCACAUGUUAUAAGGUUAAUGGAAGAAUUAAUUUGGGGAUAAGGGACUAGGAUUGGGCCAAUGAAGUUUGGUGUUAAAUUUUGAUUAUGAUUGCUUUUCAUUAUCAGGUACCUUAUAUUUGCUGAUGCUAUCUGGAACUAAAUUCAAAUCAGACAUUAUCCGAUUACUAACAGGACAUAUCAUGUCCCUCUGCAGAGUUUCUAAACUAACAUGUAUCGAAAUGUGGCCCCAAAAGGAAGGCUAGGAAGAUGGAGGAUUUUGUAGGAAUCGACCAGAAUCAGAUGGAAGAGAGAUAGUCCUGUUGACUUUAAUGGUUGUGAUAGGAACAUGCAUCAUUAUAUGAGAAGUUGCAUGAAUUUAUGUAUCCUGUUAUCGUUCCUUGACGAUUUCCCAAUGCAAUUUCACUGUCCACAAGACUAACCUCUCCAUGCAGUCAAAUGAAUUGUAAUUUCUCUAUUGGUACCAGUAGUACAUUUCAUACCAAACAUAUAGUAAAUAUAAAAUAUAAAUAGAUCAAGGAAAUCUGAAUUGUAGAUAGCACUGCAAGUAACACUCAAUAUUCUCUAUAUAUAAUAAAAUAAACAGUGUCACAAUACUCAUCACCCAGUGGCAAGGGAGAAAAACCUACAAUGAGUACUCAAAUCACCAUUCUCAAACAGAAACAUAGCAGUGACUGAUACAUAGAACCUAUAUGCUCACAGGGAAAGAAUAAGAUGACCAGUGCACAGCGGGCAGCAGCUCUUAUUUUACGUACAACUCAAAUCCCAAACUAACCAAAGUCGCUCAGUUGGGAUGGGUGGGAGAUGGUGGUUUGUGGGAUGGCUUCUGGGUAGGAGCUGGUGGCUUCUGUCCCUUUGGUGGUUUGCCUAAUGAGCUUGGUGGCUUGUGCUCCGGGAGUUGUUUCUCUCCCUCGAGUAGGUUUCGAGUCUUGUCAGAUGGCUUGUGUUCUGGUGGUGGCUUCUCUCCCUGGGGUGGUUUGCCGAAUGGGCUUGGUGGCUUGUGUUCGGGGAGUGGCUUCUCUCCCUGGAGAAGGUUACGAGUUUUGUCAUAUGGCUUUUGUUCUGGUGGUGGCUUCUCUCCCUGGGGUGGUUUGCCGAAUGGGCUUGGUGGCUUGUGUUCGGGGAGUGGCUUCUCUCCCUGGAGAAGGUUACGAGUUUUGUCAGAUGGCUUGUGUUCUGGUGGUGGCUUCUCUCCCUGGGGUGGUUUGCCGAAUGGGCUUGGUGGCUUGUGUUCGGGGAGUGGCUUCUCUCCCUGGAGAAGGUUACGAGUUUUGUCAGAUGGCUUUUGUUCUGGUGGCGGCUUCUCUCCCUGGGGUGGUUUGCCAAAUGGGCUUGGUGGCUUGUGUUCGGGAACUGGCUUCUCUCCCUUGGGAGGUUCAGUUGGUGGCUGCUGUUCCGUAGGUGGUUUCUUCACCGGCGGCUUGUGCUCCGGAAGCGGCUUCUCUACCUGGAGAAGCUUACGAGUUUUGUCCGAUGGCUUGUGUUGUGGUGGUGGCUUCUCUCCCUGGGGUGGUUUGCCAAAUGGAGUUGGUGGCUUGUGUUCGGGGAGUGGCUUCUCUCCAUUGGGAGGUUUAGUUGGUGAUUGGUGUUCCGUAGGUGGUUUCUGAAGUGGGGGAUGCUUGGGGUAGUCAGCAAGAGACGAGGUAGUGAGAACCACCAGUCCCAGCAGCAACACUAGCAAGCAUGUGGAAGACAUCUUUGAGUUCAGGCUGAGAUCUGUGCAAGGAUAACAGAAUUAGGUGGCCUUUUAUAGAGGCCUGGACCCAACACCCAUAUGACACGUGUCAUGCACUCAUGGUGACACAUAAUUCUAUGGGACCAUUUGGGUCCUACAGAAGUUGCAAAGUUGGACUACUGAGGUGUGAUCACAACUUUUGUCCUUAUUGCUUUCUCUGCGGCCAUUGCACGAUUUCCUUUAGCAUCAUUUUCUUGGCUAAAUAAGCGUAUUAUAUUUGUGGCAGACCGUCCACGUGUCAUAAACAGAUAUAUUAUAAUAAUGUAGUAUGCUUUUCUCCAAUGGAACAUGACACUCUUCUAAGUCUUGUUUUAAAUAUUGUGCAGGAUUACUUUAUACGUUGCAGUUCCAAGUCAAAAUUGGUGGGCAAACGUUGGCCUUUUUUCAUUUCACCUAAGAUUAAUGCUCACCUGGGAUAGGCACUACAUGACUUAUCUGCUCUUUUACUGUAAAGUUGCUUUGUGUAUGAGAUACACCUCCCCUGCACACCCUCAACAUUCGUUGCUCUGUUUUCCUUGUGUCCAGACGAGGAUAUUAAUUGGAGGCUGACAAAACGACUGCUAGCCCAGGAUUUACAAGGUCCUGGUUUGAGGCUUCGGUGAAAGUAUUUUUGAAAAGACACACAUAGAGAUAGUGCGUUUGGUGCAAUGCAGCACUGUGAGCCAUUCUGACGCGUUCUUAAUUUCAAAACUAAUGAAUGCUUCAAAAUUUUAAGAAGUGACAUUUCCAAAUAUUUGAGUUCGUUUAAUUGAACAUUGGAUAACUAGUGAUCAUAGAUUAUUAUCUGUGCUUGGCACUAUAAGAGGGUAUAUGCUUCUUUUUCUGGCCCCUCCUUCAAGGGAGGAGGGACAAUGUGAUCUGUAACGUUAGAAGCUAUUCCAUGUCAUCUUUGGGCUCAGUUCAAAACUAAAAGAUAAUGGGGGGGGGGGGGGGGGGCAUAUCAUUUUAUAUUUCUUCUAGAAGGUUUGUUCUGGAAAUAUUUCACAGGAGCAUAUCUUUUUCUUCUAUUACGUCAUCCGCAGCCUCCAAUAGGUCGGUUAACAAGCCACCGAGUUGAAAAGUUGGAAAAAUGGGAACACAGCCCGCCUCUUGUAUUCAGUAGUUAAAUAAAAGGUCACUAGAAGUGAGAUCCCUUUUGGCGUCUUGAUUUUCAAUCCAGCACCUCUGUGACCUGACAAACCAAAAAAACUAAAAAAUAAAAAACAGUACGUGGGUUGGUGUUAAGCAUCAAGACAUGUUAAUGAAAGAAGGUAGAGAAUAGGAUAUUGAAAUCCCAAUCCUGAUAACAUGAUUUUCUUUGCUAACAACCAUAUUAUAUUUUAUCAAGAAAGAGUAAUGCAUGUGGCGUCCAUCAAGACCCAUUAGAGUUCCGCUAAAGCUAUAGUUCUGUCAACGUUAUCAUUUACGUUUCCUCUAGAUAAUGGCAUUUUCCUCUAAAGCUCUUGCACCAUUAGGCUUCAAGUCAAAAUUUCACAUGUGAACUUUGGAAAUUUUCUCCAUUUGCCCCUAAGGAUACAGUUAGAAUUGACUUAAAAUCCUGAUUGAUAUGUACUAUUAACCAAAGAAUAUUGUAUAUAAUAAUUGAAAUAUUGUUGAUUCAUCGUGGAAAUACAUUUUGUAAGGAAAGUUGUUGAGAAUUUAGUAUGCUAUAUGGAGAAAAAAGUCAUGACUUAAGGUUGUGUAUGUAUAUUCUAUAUCAAAUAUUAGGUAGGAAUGUGGGAAAGAGCAGAGUGUAAUGAUAAGAAACAAAGAAAUAUAAGAUAUUCUUGAAAGUGGAAAAUAUAAAAUGGCUAACGAGUCAAAUUUAUGAUGCGUAAGGGGGAUCAUGUCACAUAAGAAAACCAUGGCAUACUAAAGACGUACGUGUGGUAUGGAGUAAUAAUUUUGUUAAAAUAAGUUUCUUGUUGGAGUACAUUAGGUGACUAUUCAUAACGUAUCAAAUUAAAGAGUCAAGUGCAUCAAUGAAGGCAUAUGUAGAAAAUUUGUUUGUGACAUGUACCAUAAAGAUAAGAUUGACUUGAUAGAAUUUAGUCUAAGUAGGAGUUGUUAAAGGUGUCUUAAAUUUCUAAUUGAUGUAUAUUUUUUUCUAAAAAAAUAUUAUAUAGAUAUUUUAAUAAAUGAUUAAUUCUUUGUAAAAAUACUUACAUAAUAAAAAACAUCAUUAAAAAUAUCUUUAUAAAUAUUUUAAGUUACAAGAAGGAAAAAAACCACUGUGAGAUAAUGAUGAACAUGCAACACUGUACCAAGUAAAUAAAAAUGUGAUAAAAAAAAAAGAGAAACACUCGAUAAAGGAAGGCUCGUAUAUAAAGAGUAAUAUUUUUAAUCAUAUGAUAGAAUGAUUUUCUCUCAUUCAUGAAUAUAGGCAAGAUUGGGGAACCAUUAUAAAAUUUUGUACACCUCGUGUAAAUUGAUGUUUGUCUUCAUAUUUUACACCAACAAAUGACAUUGAAGUUGUCAUUGAUAAAAGGGAAAAGGCAUGCCUCCACACCAUGUGCUUGAUUCGAAUGGUUCAAGUUUGAAGAAUUUUCUCCGGAAGAUCUAAAACAUUUUCGCCUUUAAAUUUCAUUUGAUUAUUAAUAUCCGAAAAAAUAGUUAAAUACUCUUUCUAUUUUUGAGUUGUUGAAUUUUUUGAAAGUUUUUAUAUUUGUUAUCAAGAAUUUCUAUUUUAUUAAGGGUGAAUAUUUAUAAAUAAGAUAUUAUAUAAUAUUUGGAUAAGAGAGAAUGGUGGAAUAUAAUAAAGUUUUAAUCCUUCCCAAUUUUGAACCUUUUUUUUUUUUUUUGAUAUAAUCGCCUUUCUCUUGCAAUCCUAUUAUCAGGUACCUUAUAUUUGCUGAUGCUAUCUGGAACUAAAUUCCAAUCAGGCAUUGUCCAAUUACUAAUAGGACAGAUCAUAUCUCUCUGUUUCUAAACUAACAUGUAUCGUAAUGUGACCUCAUAAGGAAGGCUAGGAAGAUGGAGGAUUUUGUGGGAAGCGACCAGAAUCAGAUGGAAGAGAGAUAGCCCUGUUGACCUAAUGGCUGUAAUAGGAGAAGCGUGUGGUUUUAUGGGACUUAACUGAUACUAAACCUGUAUGAUGCUUGGAGUGGUGUUUCUUUCAUUUUGUUAAGAAAAUAUGGCAGCAUACAUGCUUUCAACUGAGUGCAUCAGAGCAUCCAUAACAGAUGGUCUGCAACCCUAGGUGCAUGCCACUUUCUGACUGAUAAUGAAAUUGUCAGGUACCUGGCCUUGACUAAGCUCAACAGCAUCACAUAAAGAGAAGCUUUCAUACUUAGAUUACUGUUUAAAGUUUUUGCUUAUUUGAUUUCUUAAUGCCAUUAUGACAUUAUUGAUUCAAUUCUGCUUCCGAUUUUCGAAGUUCUGGGCAUCUACUGAUUGCAUCAUUAUAUGAGAAGUUGCAUGAGUUUAUGUAUCCUGUUAUUGUUCCUUUGCGAUUUCACUGCUCACGGGACUAACCUCUCCAUUCAGUCGAAAUGAAUUGUAAUUUCUUUACUGGUAGCAGUAGUACUUUUCAUAGCAAAGAUAAUAGAAAAUAUGAAAUAUAAAUAGAAGGAAAUCUGGAUUGUAGAUAGCACCAUAAGUAACACUCAAUAUUCACUACAUAAUAAAUAGACAGUGUUACAUAGGUAGAGAAACCUACAAUGAGUACUCAUCACCAUUCUCAAACAGAAACAUAGCAGCGACUUAUACAUAGAACCUAUAGGCUCGCAGGGAAAGAGUAACAUGAUAAGUUCACAGCGGGUAGCAGCUCUUAUUUUACGUAUUACUCAAAAUCUCAAACUAACCAAAGUCACUCAGUUGGGAUGGGUAGGAGAUGGUGGUUUGUGGGGUGGCUUCUGGGUAGGAGCUGGUGGCUUCUUUGUUGGAGUUGAAGGAGGCAUAUUCUUCUGAGGUGGCUUGUAUGACUCUUCGGCACUCUCUGCAGGAGGGUGCCCAGGGUUGUGACCAGAAGGAGGUGGCUUCUGUCCCUUUGGUGGUUUGCCUAAUGGGCUUGGUGGCUUGUGCUCCGGGAGUUGUUUCUCUCCCUCGAGUAGGUUUCGAGUUUUGUCAGAUGGCUUGUGUUCUGGUGGUGGCUUCUCUCCCUGGGGUGGUUUGCCGAAUGGGCUUGGUGGCUUGUGUUCGGGGAGUGGCUUCUCUCCCUGGAGAAGGUUACGAGUUUUGUCAGAUGGCUUUUGUUCUGGUGGCGGCUUCUCUCCCUGGGGUGGUUUGCCAAAUGGGCUUGGUGGCUUGUGUUCGGGAACUGGCUUCUCUCCCUUGGGAGGUUCAUUUGGUGGCUGGUGUUCCGUAGGUGGUUCCUUCACCGGCGGCUUGUGCUCCGGAAGCGGCUUCUCUACCUGGAGAAGCUUACGAGUUUUGUCAGAUGGCUUGUGUUGUGGUGGUGGCUUCUCUCCCGGGGGUGGUUUGCCAAAUGGACUUGGUGGCUUGUGUUCGGGGAGUGGCUUCUCUCCAUGGGGAGGUUUAGUUGGUGGUUGGUGUUGCGUAGGUGGUUUCUGAAGUGGGGGAUGCUUGGGGUAGUCAGCAAUAGACGAGGUAGUGAGAACCACCAGUCCCAACAGCAACACUAGCAAGGAUGUUGAAGACAUCUUUGAGUUCAGGCUGAGAUCU